GCCGCCUCCCUGGCCCUAGCCCUCGCCCUCGCCCCAGCACGCGCCGCCGCCAUCCUUCACCCAGCCCGUGCCGCCGGAUUACGCCCUCUUCACAGCGCGCCACCGCCCUCAUCUUCCCCCAUAUCAACAGAGCAACCGUCCUCCUGCCCAACGAGACCGAACCACCUACAAGCCCGAGCACCCUCUCCCGAAGAACACCGGCCACGCCCCGAAGUCUGCAUUGAUAUUCUCAACUAUCAUCAAUUUUUUGGCUGGAUUUCUUAUGUUCUUGCAUGCGCUCACUUUUUAUAGUGGUCGUUUACUUUGCCUGUUAGCUUGCCUUACUGUCCACCGGAGCGAUUGACAUGAACUUGUAUUUCUACCAUAAAGAAGAACCAGGUGUUAUGUACCAACUGCAUCAUAUUUUUAACAGUAAUCUGUUAUACUGGAGCAUUUUUUAUAACUCAACUGGAUGUUACUCAUCAGCUGCAUCAUGUUUUUAACAGUAAUUUAUUAUUGUUUGGCAUUUUCUAUCCACUCUGCAUCCUGUUGUUCACUUAGUAAUUGAGAAAGCAGCAUUAUGUUUUUCCUAAUUUGCUAUGCAAUUUUUGGCGAAUCAUUUGUACAGGCCGGUUUGUUCUUUUACGGUCUUGCUUUAUAAUUAACUAGGCAUAUCAUUUAGAGGCAUCUUAACCAGUCUGUAAAACUUAAGCUUGAGAUACUUGUGUCAGUCUAGAUCCUUCACAAUAUGCAUGAAUAAUGAUUUUAUAGAUAGAAAGUGUUGCAGGUAGCAGAGGAACAGAGUGCAGAAAUAAUGAUUUUUCCAAAAGGUGCUCCAUGUAAGGAGAUAUUGAAGCCAUUCAAUGAGAAAUCUAGGAAAACCAAUGUGGACGGGAAAAGGAUCAGGACUUGUUCGAAUGUGGCAAACCAAAUCACGACAGGCGAACAUAUCCUGUCCUGAAGUAAUCAUUUAUGUUUUGCUGUUGUAUGUACUUGUUUUAUCUAUGUGCUAGCAAAUGAACUUACCAUUUUUUUUGUUUAGGCCACCACCUGCGACAUGAUGAAAUUGAGUGGUGUCCGGCUGCUUAUCUGGUGAGCUCAUGUAAAAACAUGGAUGCUGAUUAUGCUCCACAAUGCCAAUCUGCCAUGUAUAUCUUCCAUAUAGAGAUUUCCAUAUAAUUGUUUGAUAAAUUGUCCAUUGUAGGAGUUAGGCUAUGGCUUUGGAAGAGGAUCCAGCAGAACCACAUGCUCCUGAGAUGGCUUCCGCCGCACAAGCUAGAUGGAUUAGUCGUGCCAUUUGCGAUGCAGUUGUAUUUUUUAGAAUAAAUUGUGCUAAGAAAGCCAAAAAUGAUGUCUUUUGUCUAAUAUGCCAAAUGUUUGGCAUAUCUGCCAUGCUUGGUAGUGUAGCAUGCAAAAAUGAUACAAGAGAUUGUAAUGUGCCAUACAUUGAGCUUUUAUUUAUGUUUUUGUGGUACUAUAACUCCAUUUCUGUAAUUUCUUGAUGCCAUGAAAAAUUUGGCCCCAAACAAGCUGAAAAUGUGGUCUACAUGCCUACCAAAUUGAUGCCAGAAUUUGCAUUUUCGGACCACAAUUUGACAUUUUUUCAAAGUUUCCGGAUAAUCUUGAAAUUUUUCCAAUAAAUAGUAAAUGCUUUGUUAUAUAAUCUGGGAAAAUUUCAUCUCAUUUUAGUGAACAGUUCAAAAGUUAUGAGCUUAUGAAGUUUUUUUCCUUAAGAAAACCCUGGUUAUGUUUGCUAUGCAGCGAUCGGCAAGUUCUAUCGUGUAGAGCCGAUAAGAUAACUCUCUCCUUACUAGUCAUUUUUUUUGUUCUCUUGAGCAAAUAACUCUUGUCAUCAAAUAUCAAUGCAGGACAAUUGUCCAAUGUUUUGAUCCAUCUCCUUGAGUCAUAAGUCGAUUAUAAAGGCAUCGCUUGGGACAUUCUGCAACUUGCUACAUGUACAUAAUGCAAUUGUUUAUGGAGAGGGCAAUCAUCCGAUCUGCACCUCAUCAUGGAGCUGUUUAAGCAAAAGGCAACUAUGCCGGUCCGUCUCUCUGCUCGUUAUUUAGCUGUUGAUAGAUAGGUUAUAUGGUCUGUUGAUCUCGAUCCAAUCUCCCAUCUUUGCCUUGUUUUAUUGCCUUGUGGUUUCAAAUAUUCUUCUGAUGAAACAAUUUCAGAAAAUGUGCAUUUUUGUGUCAAAACAGGAAAUGUGCACCAGAUGAAAGUGAAAACAUGAAUAUAUAAAGUACAACUAUAAAUAAAUACAAAUAAACAUAUUUUCCUAUAAAAAAAUACAAAUAUCCAUAUCUUCGUACAUACAGUAAAGAAUAUGACCCCAUAUAUAUAUAUAUAUCCUUCAUGAGGCAACAACAUUGACUAUACAUACUGCUGCUGUACAACCUGAACAUCCUACUAGAUAACCUACAGCCUACAGAUUGAAAUGUUCAAAACAUCCAGCUGAAUUCUGAGUACUCUUCCUAUACUUUCUGAUCCAUGCCAAAAACCACAGAACCUGCAAGACAUCAAGAAAAGCAUAGCAGUCAGCAUCAAAGACUCGGAGUAGGGUUCUUUUUGUUUUUGCUGGAAGGAGACUCAGAGUAGGAUUAGUUUUUGUUUUAGAGUCUGAAUACUUGGUUGUGCUGGGGCUGCAAGACAACUAAUAGUCUGAAAAGUUACAUCGAAGUGACAGAAUAUGAUUAGGGUGAGCUCCCUAUGUCUACGGUAGAUGAUCAAGUUACUUCCACGCGUAUAGAUUGACUAACUUACAUCAAUUAUUUUAAAAACUAGCCUCCAUGUAGUUUAUAAUACAUAGUUACGUCUACCACUAUAGAGUAACCUGCACACACAAAAUACAAUAGGUUGCGGAUCAAGGACAUCUAAAAUGAUCAAAUUACAUAGUUACAUCUAGCAUUCAAAUUGUGACUACCUUUCCCAUCUAAUUAGUUUUGUUUUUAUGCUGUUGAGAUAGAACCAUGCAUAUGUUCUCAUUGAUCCCAUUCAAGUAUUCAACCACAAUAUUGUGCUUCCUACAAAAGCUCAACUAGUGCUCUUGAAAGUGAUCAAAUUUCUCUGAUAAUUUUGUGACUAUCACUAAUGACCAAAGACCCAUAAAAGUUCAUCCGACUAAUUAAGGUCCCCAACUAAUAACUGGUUGGCUGUGAUUUAAACAUGCACAAAAGAUGCAAGAUAGGAAGUCUGCAAUAAUGGUCGGUCUAGUAAAAGCACAUAUUAAAAUAGUGGUGUAGUCAUGACUUUUGAGACCGCGACCGACGACAACAGCAAAACCAAAGCGUUCUUCGGCGUUAUCGAGGAGAUCUAGGAAUUGGAGUACUUGAUCACAAAGAUCCCAAUGUUCUGUGUAAGAUGGACCAAAGGUGACAAAGCAGAAAGUCACAGGUUCACGACGAUGGUGCUACCUCCUGAGAUCCCUCGUGAACAAGUUGACGUGAGAAAAAUCCUGGCAAGAGAGGAGUCAUGGGUCUUUGCUAAACAAUGCAAGAAAUUAUUCUACAUAGACGACCCGGCAAAUAAAGGCCGCGUCGUAGUAAGAAGAGGAAAAAGAAGCAUUGUUGGAGUGGACGGAGUUAUUUCACAAGAAGACUACGAAGGUUUCCAUGAUCCGACGACCGCCGCAGAUGACGAAGAAGCGGAACGCACGACAUUAACGAGGAAAAGGAGAGGGAAAAGAAGAAGUGAUGGGAGUGAGAGCGAUAAAAUAUCACAAAACCCCUACGUCAGAAGCACUACUGCGAGGAGUCAAGUUAUGACUUACCGAAGGAAAGAAAAGCACUAGUAGUCACAUUGUUAUGUACUCGUACUGAAUUAGAAUGCAAACUUUGUACUAGGUGAAAUUAUGUGUGAUCGAUGUACUUUUGUGUAUGCAUGUUAAUACAUGGCUUUGUCACUCCUAAAAAGUCAAUCCAAAAUUAUAGGUAUUAUGUCAUGAAUUUUUUAAAUUAAAUUUAGCACAAAUACUAGACAAAAUGCAUGAAUUUAUUCAUCAAACUUUCACUUUUUUGUUUCAUCUAUUGAAUGUGACAAGUACAUGUCCUAAAACACUAAAAAGGACAGGUUUUAAUUUUUUUAAACGUUCUUGUAAUUUAAAUUGGUACAAAGCUCAACAGGUAUAGAUGCACAUCAGUAACGGUCGGCUGGUUAAUUGCCCGUUACUGAUGUGCAUCUAUACAUCAGUAACGGUCGCGAACUUACCGGACCGUUACUGAUGUAUAGAUGCACAUCAGUAACGGUCGCGUGGGAAGGCGACCGCCACUGAUGUGCUUGGGCAUAUAAAAGGAACGGCCGAAACCCUAGCCCGUUAAUCCUCUCGCCUGCGCGUCGCUUUCACAGCCGACCAGCAGUGGGCUCUCUCCUCCCCCGGGCGAAGCCCUGCCGGAUCUCCGCGCCGCCACUGCCGUCCUUCUCCUCCGCGCCAUCGACCUCCUCCUUCUCCUCCGCGCCUUCGACCUCCUCUGCUGUCCCGAGCCCUCGAGCCCGCCGCCGCUCUCGACCUCCUCCUCCUCCCCGAGCCCGAGCCCACGCCGUCUUCCUCCUCCACCCCGAGCCCAUGCCUCGUCGUCCGCCACGGCGCCCGGAGCCUGCCGCCGCUGAGCCCGCGCUGUCGUCCCCGAGCCCGACGCCGCCGUCUUCCUCCGCGCCGCCGCCCGCCGCCGCCGUCGACCUCCUCUGCGUCGAGCCCGCCGCCGCCCUCGACCUCCUCUGCGUCGAGCCCGCCGCUGCCUCCCUCCGCGACACCCCCGACGCCAUCCUCCUAACCCUAGGUGCGCGCGCUCCUCUGCCUCCCUCUCCUCUGAUUUCCAAGAACUAGGGUACAUGCUGGAAUUAGGGUUAGGAUUAGAACCAUAUUGUAUAUUCUGGAAUUAGGGUUAGGAAUAGAACAAUGUUGUAUAUACAUGCUGGAAUUAGGGUUAGGAUUAGAACAAUGUUGUAUAUACAUGCUACAAUUAGGGUUAGGAUGCUGGAAUUAGGGUUAGGAUUAACAAAUGUUGUAUAUACAUUCUGGAAUUACGGUUAGGAUUAGAAUAAUGUUGUAUAUACAUUCUGGAAUUAGGGUUAGGAUGCUGGAAUUACGGUUAGGAUUAGAGCAAUGUUGUAUAUACAUGUUGGAAUUACAAAUGUUGUUUAUAUACAUGCUGUUUGAAAGCUAUAUACAUUGUACAUGCUGUUUAUAAAUGUUGUUUAUAUACAUGCCGCUUUGGAAAGUGCUUCAUUUAUGUGAAUUGUGGGCCCGACCAUUGUGUCGGGUCAUUGGAGAAGGGGCCGGCCAUCGUGCCGAGGGGGUACAUUUGCGGGCGGGUUUUUUAUGCAGGUUUCGAGCUCCUAGUAGACAAAAUUUGCUAGUUUUUUAGCAUAGGUCAUGCCGAAAUUUUCGACUGAUAUAUAUUUGAUGGUUUUGAAGGCAUAGGUACGAAAUGGGCAAGAGUAGUCAGAAAUCAGUUCUUAAGGACGUAUCUCCUGAGGAGGUGUAUCGUGUCGAUGAAGAGUCUUCAUCGGCAGAGCAAAUUGCCAGCUCUGGCGGCGAUCCUAGCUCUGGCGAAGGUAGCUCUUGUUCAGAAGAGCAGAACAACGAGCGACGGGUGGAAGAGAGUAACCCGUAGCCAACUGCUUCUACGGCGAAGAAGCCAAGGAAAAAAGAUGCCGAGGGGGAGCCACAACUUGAAGAAGUUUUGCUACGUGGUCACCCGGCACUCUGACAGAGGCUGCCCGGAGUCGCCUGAGAGGGCACAGAAGGCCUUCGCAACCACCUGUGGAGCUGUUGCAUGUAAAUAUUGCAAGAUCACCAACGAGUGGAGUGACAUCUCCGAAGUCGUUAGAAACAUGUGCAUCGCGGACGUUGCAAGGAGGUUCCAAGUCACUGACGAGUGGCGCGAGCGAUUCCUAGCGUCCAUCAACAUAGCAGGGCGGAAUGGUCUUGCUACUUGGAAAUGUACCGCUAGAAAGUGGAUGGACAAACCUUACGAGAUCAUCAAGAAGAAAUGGCUGUCGAUAACUGAUGAGGCCGAAUGGGAAAAAUUCAAGAAGGAAUCGUCUGACCCUGCCUUCAUUGCGAGGAGUGAACGUAUGAGGGCGUUGCGCGCGAGAAAGCCCUUGAACCACAGGCUAGGGAGUGCAGGGAAAGAGGGGAAGAAGAAGGUUUGGUGCAAGCAGGACCGAAUUCUCGAGGCGGCAGGCAGGGUGCCUCCAGUGCAUAACAUUCUGGAGGAUAACCGUGCUAGAGAAUAUGCACGUCAGCACAUGACACCAGAGGAGUGGGCGGGCAUUGAGCCAAUGCAGCCGCCUGUUAAAAGUUUUACGGUAAAGGUUCACGUGCAUUAAUUUGUUUUCGGCGUUAAUUAUGACACUCAGGAUCCAUAUAGACUCACGUCAUGUCUUAUAUGAUAACAGGAAAAUGCCCACAAAUGGGAGGAGAGCAAGAGGUUUGAAACAUCCGCCGACUCCGUGCAGAGCAAGAGGUGGGAGUCGGCUGUGACCGCUGGCUUGCAAAAGACGGAGCUCAUGGGCCGUGUUUUAGGGGAAGGCGAAGGGGCCUGCUGGGAUGAUUAUUUCCCGCCUGCUCCGAAGCGAAGCAGGGUCCCUGCUUCUGCUGAAAUAAUAGAACAAGCUAAGGCGGAGGCGCGAGAGCAGGCAUCUAUGGUGUGUCAAGAGGUGUCAAGAGAAUAUGCAGUGCAAGACGUCCAUCAUUUGGUGUCGGCAUUGGCCAAAGACCACCCCGCCCUUGACGCCAUACUCGGGGGAGGAGUGGAAGGUUUGAGGAACCGCUAGCAAACCAGACCCAAGCGAGGGCAUCCAGGAUAACGAUCCGGGUCCGAGAGACAACAUCCUUGUAAGCAUACUUUUCAAACUCUUUUUCACUCCUUACCUUCAUGAAUAAAGAUCUUACACACAUAUGCCUUGUUCUUGUUACGUGCAGGCACCAGUGAAGUGUCGUAUUCACGUAGACAAGCCUAGGAAGCCUGUAGGCGCCAUUGGCCGCCUGAUGCCCAGACAAUCACCGCCACUGGUGCACGACAUUCUUAUGAACGACACACAAGUGAGUGUGAUGGUGGACUCCGUCAUCGAGGAGCAUCGUGAUUAUGCUAUCCCGCUACCUCCAGAGGAAGGCGUGGAUAUCCUAGGCGGUUGUCCAAACUACCGCAUUAUGUGGCCUAGGAGCUUGGUAUCUCUCUACAACCAGCGCCAGUCCUCUAUGACUCCAUCUCCCUCCGCCCACAAAGGUACUUCUCAAUCACCGCUCAGCCUUUCCCCUAGGAUACUGCCUCCUGUCGAUGCUGGCGGAUAUGAAGAGCAGGCAAUGUCGAUGCCUCCACAGCUUAAAGAUAGCCAGACCACAGGGUCGGCACAGGCUAGAAGCGUCCCUCCUACCUUCUCUCUCUUGGGUGCCGCUGAGUCCAUAGGUGGCCGCAAGAUCGAUGACAAGUACAAGGCAGAGGAGCAAAAGGCAUGGGACAAUAAGAGGAGGCAUAAAAAGAGGGGGCACGGCGGCAAGACCAUCAAGGACUCCUCGAAUGUCAAUCAUGGUGAGAUGCACUAUGUGCCUGACAUAACUGGAGUGUGGGAAGACAAUAGGCCUGACAUUCUCAUGAAGAACCCCCGUCAAGGCCAGAGAUUCGAAGACGGAUCCUAUUUCGUGGCUAGGAAGUUUGACCGGGUGCUUAUUUACUAUCCUGGAAGACCGAUGCUCACCGAAGAUUUCCUGCGUGCCGUGUCCAGAGAGAUGCAAGAGCUUCAUCAGUUCUACAUGCAAGCAUCAGCUGGUUCUCAACAGCAUGCCCAACAAAUUAAUGUUCAAAUCCUACGAGACUAUGGCUUCUUUGACCAAGAAACCGGGAGCAUUCAGGAACGUCUUAUCACCUUUGGUGUGGAGUUCAACGAACUGUUCUACCUCUUCAACCACCAAAAGCUUGAUAUCAACCCUUUUAAGGCUGUGGUCUGCCUACCAAAUAAGAGAAAUGCGGUAAAUCGAGGUCAAAAAAGUAGCCAUUAUAGACCCCGCGGUUAACUACGGUGACAUCGGUCUUGAGCCAGAAAAGGAUCCCUCAAGAAUCCUGGCGUCUAAAUACUUGGUGGCAUGUCUGGAAAAAUACGCAGACCACGACUACCUCCUCUUCUUCCUUAAUUUGGAGUAAGUUGAAUUUUAUAUAUGAAACCGUUUGUUUUUCCUAAUUUAGUCUUUCUUAUACACCCUUAGAUACUAAAGUUUGUUUUUUUUGAAAACAGAGACCAUUGGGUGACACUACUCAUUUGUUUGCCUUGGUCCGCAAUGUACUAUUUCGAUUCACUACUUCCGAAGAAGAGUGUUCGAGGUCACUACUGGAAACCCAUCAAAUCACUCAUUAACACUGCCUGGAAAGUUGCGACCAAGGGAAAACUAGCUGGUAAAGGCUAUAAAGUCGAGCCUCACCACAACCACAGGUUCCCUUGCCAGCAACAGCCGGCCGACAGUGUGUACUGUGGCUACUACUGCUGUCACAUCCUUAUGGAGAAUGCCAGCAUGUUUAAGCCUGAGUGGAAGGGUCAAUCGCGGUGAUGGAAGAGUACUGGCGGCCCCGAAUGACAAUGGGACACCAACCUAAAUGGGUUGUGUAUAACAUUCAAAGGGAGUUCGCCCAUCUCAUCAACAAUGAGGUCAUCAAGCCUAGUGGGGACUUCUACGAACGCGUGGAACAAGUGGUGACUAGGGUUCACCCACAACAAUAGUUUCAAACUUGAUUUUGCUAUGAGAUUUUGACACUUUGUAAUCAAUGUCGUGCAGUUAGAUACAUUUGUAUUCUUUAUAUGCUUUAAAUGAUGCGGCUUUAUAUACAUUUGUAUGCUUUAAAUGAUGCGGCUUUAUAUACAUUUGUAUGCUUUAAAUGAUGCGGCUUUAUAUACAUUUGUAUGCUUUAAAUGAUGCAGCUAUGUAUUUUUCUGUGCUGAGCAGUGUAUUCAAAUAUAUAUUUUUCUGUGGUUUUAAUUAAUUUUUUUAUUACUGAAAAUGUAUUAGUGUCGGUCGCUCGUCCGACACUGAUAUGGCAAAGUGACCGUUACUGAUGUACAUAUCAUCAGUGACGGGCGCGGAAACGUGACCGUCACUGAUGAUGGUCUUCAUCAGUAACGGUCGGGUCAGGCCGCCCGCCACUGAUGAUGGUACAUCAGUAAGGACGCAGCGACCGUUACUGAUGAUAGGUACAUCAGUAACGAUUGGAGCGACCGUUGCUGAUGAUACCCAUCAUCAAUAAAAGGAAGUUAGUAACGGAGGCCCCGACCGUUACUGAUGUUGUUUUCGUUACUGAUAAGUCUUUCUGUAGUAGUGUUGUCUUGUACUCCAAAUCUAUCUCCUCCUUUGUACCUCUAUAUAUACCCCAUAUGAAGAUCAGAUCAAUAACAAUAUCGAUUAUUGUGGAAUACCAAUUAGACUUUCAAUCUCAUAUUUCUACAUGGUAUCAGAACGGUUAGACUAACAUCACCAACUCUUGACACACAGCUUCCGCAUCAUGCCGCGUCCGGGGAGAUCGAUGGCUCCCAUAGUUUCCCCUCCGAUCAUCAUACCUGAGAUCGGUUAUUAAAUUAGAUGAGUUUCCAAUCAUAGAUUGAUUUCCUUAGCCAAAUAAAGUCUUUCAGAUCUAUCCACGACCCUCGAUCAGUGACAACAAAUCGAUGCAGAUCGAUGUGCAUACACCUGUGCUAUAUGCCUCCAGUGCUCCACGUCCUCGGCAGGCGUCCGCAAUCGCACCGGCCAUGCCCGGCACACGCACACCAGCAGCAUCGACCGGACUCCACGCGGUGCGAUGCACAGCGACGGCUUCUCCAAGCGACCAUGCAGCCCUGCCGAUCAGGCCGGGGAGGACGGAUCUGUGUCGAACUCACGAGCCCGAACAUGCAUACGUAUACGUACGUGCAAUCUUGCAUGCAGCCAGCAGGCCGGAGCCCUCCUCACAUGCUGCAUGGCAACACGAUCAUCAAUCCUUGAAGCCGGUUACAAGCAACAGCGACGCCACCAAGCGGAGUAUCGGUCUCCUAUGCGCCUGCACGGCCAACGACCAGAUCUGGCCAACUACGCGAGCCGGCCGGUGUCUACGACGAGCAUCUGCACCAGCGGCAACCACGACAUCUACGAGCACACGAACGACUGCACCGACACAACGCCGAGCUGUACGACUACAUCAGCCCAGCUACAGUUACCUCUUCGUCGAGUACAUCUACGAGAAGCACAUGCAUGCACCAUCCACACGACAGGCCGGUGUGGAACGACAUGCAAUCAUCAACUUCUCAGGCACGACAUGGCGUCGACACAUCGUCGCCACAAGGGACGCCUUCAAGCGACGCACCAUCAUCGACAAGCCUGCAAUAGCCACGCCGACACUCCAUCGCCAAAGGUCUUCAUCAAUGUGGUCUCCAUCAACAAUCUUCGUCAACUAGCCGCCGCCACGUCCACACGGAUGGACAUCUCCCGCGUCCUCUGACAGUUCAACUGCAAGACGCAUCAGCAAUGACGGCAUACCCGCGUUAGCUUCAUCGGCGAUGGCAUCCCCGCGUCAGCGACACCGACGCUGGCUUGACCGCGUCCGACGUAGAGCAACUGCAUCGACACCGGCAUCACUACCUACACGGUGCACACGGUUCUGGCAAAACCGUUGUGUGCGGUGGGCUACCUCCAAUUUUGGCAAAAUUGGUGGUCUCACCUACGACCGCGUCCUCUGACAUCCGCAAGACGCCCUCGAAGGUACCUCUCAAGGUGCAAAACGUCGGCCCCGACGGUACCAUGUGACUUCCACAAGGUGCAAAACAUCCCUGAUUGCAGCUCCGUCAUACACAUCGCGCUUUUUUUUUGCGCCUUCGGUUAUUUGCGGGUCCAUCCACUUCGACGACGACUACUACCUCGACCACGGCUACAUCAUGAUCGGCUACCUCGACAUCGACAUCAAGGGCUACGACGUCUACAGCGACUCAUCGGCAACAACUCCAGUCAAAGCAUCCGCGUCGUCACUAGCGUCCACGACACUCCCGCUAUGACUGCGGGAGGGAAUAGAGGAGAGACAAGGGACGGCACCAGAAGGGGACGGUAGGCACCGCUCCAGGUGACGGACCAGUCCAUUAGAGACGCAGUUGAUGAUGGCGAAACGGAGAAGACGACGGAAGCACAAGACUUUAAAUCCAAUCACAAUCGUCCGCUUUGCUCCCGCUACGACUGAGGGGGAAUGUUAGAGAUAUAAUACGGUUGGGAUUAGAGAUAAGAUAGAAUUAGUUUAAGCGAGAUUACUUCCCUUGUACUCCAAGCCUAUCUCCCCCUUUGUACCUCUAUAUAUACCCCCCCCCCCCAUAUGAGCAUAUGAGGGUCAGAUCAAUAACAACAUCAAUAUUGUGGAAUACCAAUUAGGCUUCCAAUCUCGUAUUUCUACAUGCCAUCAUCAACUGCGUCUCUAAUGGACUGGUCCGUCACAUAGGGUGGUGCCUACUGUCCCCUUCUGGUGCCGUCCCCUGUCUCUCCUCUUUUCACUUGAUGUGUACCUCUUCGAUCGGGGCCACAACGUUGGCCUCCCAACGAUGCGUGCCAUUGCGGUGGGUGUUGCGAGGGGCCUCCGAUACCUCCACAAGGAGUGCCAACAGAAGAUUGUGCACUACGACAUCAAGCCCGGAAACGUGCUCCUCGACGGCAGUCUCACCCCGAAGGUGGCCGAUUUCGGACUCGCACAAGUGUUGAAUCGGGCUGACACGCACAAGACUAUAUCUGGGAUGCGCGGCACCCCAGGGUACGCCGCACACGCACAAGACUAUAUCUGGGAUGCGCGGCACCCCAAGGUACGCCGCACCGGAGAUGUGGAUGCAGGCUGGCACCACGGAGAAGUGUGACGUGUAUAGCUUUAGCAUCCUUCUGUUCGAGAUCCUCGCCAGAAGGAGGAACUUCAACGAGGCUGCGCCUGAGAGCCAGCAGUGGUUCCCCAAGCUGGCUUGGACCAAGUACGAGAGCGGUGAGCUUAUGGAGAUCGUGGAGAGUUGUGGGAGCAUCAACGAGAAAGAUAAAGAGACGGCGGAGAGGAUGUGCAAAGUGGCGUUCUGGUGUGUGCAACAACAGCCAGAGGUGAGGCCGCCAAUGGGUGUGGUGGUGAAGAUGCUCGAGGGCGAGAUGGACAUAGCUCAACCGACCAAUCCAUUCCACCAUCUCAUGGCGGUGCCAGUGGCUGCAAACUUCUGGACUAGCAGCGAGAAUAGCCUAAACUUGGCGAAUUCUAUGCUGGCAGCUAGGGUUUCUCAUGGUAGCAACGACGAGAUCAUCUCGGAGCGGUCUACCAAUACUCACCAGUACUAGUGGAGUGCCCGUGCGUUGAGUACGGACUGACAAAUUCAUGUGCGAUGCUUAACUGCUUAAGAAUAAGCAAAAAAUAUAAUAAUAUGUACAAAAAUAUAAUAAGCAAUUAAGCAUAAAAACAAAUUAAAUGAAGUCAUCAUGGGUGACGAAGUUCCUAUUAGACGGCGGAUCGAGCGUAGCUCGGGCUGAUGAUGAAGUUCCAGCGAGACAGUGGGUCAGGUUGAGCUAAGAUGUCGUAGAAUUUCUAACUAAAAUUUGCCGCGACGGUAAUGACGUUAAGAUACCCAAACAUAUUUGCCAUUAGCCUACCAUCUUUCAUCACCUGUAUAGUCAACAAUCCAAGCAAUAUGGCAACAAAAUUAGAAGAUUAUUUCCUAAUGUAAUAAUUAUGAGCAAUAAUAAACUUUCAGUUAAUGUGACCAAGCUUGCUUCCGGUCUGAGUCAGAGGGGCUAACACACUCCUGACAACACCUAACUUCGGAACCUCUUCCCUUUCUUACCCGUGUUUGAGGAUUGAGCAGAACACACAGUUUUCCAAGUUUUCCAAUAACUAACAGCCCUCACAAAUGUUCCAAUAACUAACAGCCUCAUUUUCUUACCCUAAAAAAAACAGCCUCACUUUCCUAAGAGCAAAAUACACAAGUAUCUACUAAUUCUGGACUGGAUCAGAUUGAGAAAACAAAUACUGCACUGGAUAAGCUAGCAAAAUACACAAGUAUCUACUAAAUCGUGUAGUAUAUAUGAGUGUAAUUUCAAGUUCCAAGAGUGCAGUACAUUGUAUACAAUUAUCCAGAAUAAAGAGCAGAGAUUCAAUCAGAUGACCCAUAAUUUCAUGAUUUAACUCUACUAAUUUUCUGCUGUACAACUUCAGUUGCCUAUAGACUCGCUUCAAUCAGAAAGAAGAGCAGAUGAAUAAAUUACAGAAGGAAUGCUCUGAAAGUGAAAAGGCACACAACAAUGAGGUACCACUGAUUGGAUGAGGCACCGGUGCUGGAGCUACCAGUGAUUAAGAGCGCUACUGCCCACGGUGCUGCUCCUGGCACCUUCUGAUCACUGGUCACCUCGGGCACGAAAGAGAGCGAGCCUGCGACACCCAACACCUGCCGGCCGCCGUACCCGCGCGGGGGAGGGAUUUUAAAGUACCUAGAGCACGACGAAACGCGGUCCUGACAUGAGAACAUAGUAAAAAGAAAAAUACCCUUAGCAAGAUGAACCAGAGAUUACAAAUUUACACUUGCUGGAAAAAUUCCGGAGAUCAUGACAUGAGAACAUAGUAAAUAUUGCUUUUGUGGUGCGUUCUCGGAGUACCUUUCUGAGGGUAUGAGAGUAGAACAUGAGUCUCUUAAUGUCAGCUACCUGCACAGCGAGAUUAUGAGAACAGAAAAUAAUUGGAUGUCUUCAAGUUAACUGUCAAGCAUUGGUUCCCAGAGAAAAGCACUGAGACGCUACAUAAAUAUAGAGUUGAUUCCACUCAGGGAAUGCCAAUCCAAAUUGGCAUAGAAAAUGAAAUUGGCAUAUAGUUCAUAGCAACUCGCACAACGAUAUAGAAAUUUACAGGUAAAGCAAACUACAGGAAACUGCCACUCUUCUACCAAGCCAUGAAAUUUACUACAUUACAGAACUGGCAGACAUUCUUGAUAGAGAAGUUAUCACCUCAACCAGUGGCUUCUUUCCAUGAAGUAGCAUAUCCACACUCCUCUCAGUCUGCACAAGAGAGACACACCAUAUAUUAGCAUUCAUCGCAGGUUGAGAAAAGAAAAGUACAUUUCAUUUUUCUUGUAAACAAAGGUGAGCAGAUUACAUUCAGGUAAUAUAUCCUGAGUUCUGACAAUAUUCUUGGUAAAAUAGCAGAGCAACAAUAGGAGAAGCAAAUAAUUUUCAGAUAAUUCCUCAAGGAUGAUAUAUAACAAAAGGCGAGCUUAGAAAAGAUAAGCAUUAUCGCAAACGGCAUUACCGCACUAUAUUAGCAAAUUUGGUCCAGCAAAAGAUUCCCCUUUAAAAACUAACACCUCCUCAUCUGUUUGACUUGAAGGUAUUGCAAGUGAUUACUAUAAGACAGACUACAAGGAUCAGUACAGAUUAGAACAUUUGAAGCAAAACCAUGAGUUGAGAUAGAUAUCAGCAGUAUGAAAAUUUGAUGCCCGUGUAGAUCCCUAUUAAUUUGUACCCUUUCCACAGAAUCCCAGUAACACAUUCAUCGUAAUCUUAAAAUGACAAGAUAUAUCACUGUGCAAACCUGAUACUUCUACACGGUUUCGGCCUAAAAUUUUAGACCUGAACGCCCUUGACCAUGUUAACACAAAGCUGAAAAGAUACAUACUUGAUACUUGUCCACAUUGACCAUUUGACAUAUAUAUUCAUACCCGUUGAGUCACCCAAUAGUGUCGCUCCCUCACCUCAAUAAGGAAAGGGAACGUUGGAUAGGUAGUGCACUCCACCACCUAUCUAGAGAUUUCAGAUCUUGUGAAUCAACACCCAUUUGAAGAUAGUACCUAAUUCAUGCAUCAAUUAUGCAUUACAUUAGAAGCUGGUGAAAUAUCUUUAUCAGAUCUUGGCCUCAUUUGAAGAAAAUAUAAAAUAAAGAGUUCUAAAAAUAAUCAGUGGAUUACAGAUGGAAAUAGAAGAAAAACUAAGGUGACAGUACCUGAAUCCUGCAAGCAACAUCUCCCUACAAAUUUAAACUGAAUUGGAAAGACAGAGUAAGAUUCAGUUGCAAAACAUUAGACCAUGCUCUUCUAGUGGUUACCUGCAAGUGCAAAGAAUAACUUGAUUAGUGUAUUAGGCCCACAUAAAUUGGACUCAACUAAAAUCGUUUUCCUAGAACUUGAAGAACAUUGAAAAAGAGAUCUAGAACGCUGAAACAGAAAUCUUGACACACAUAAACUAUAUUUUAUUAUUUGUACUUAUAUAUAGUUCUAGGCAAAAAUCCUCUAAUUUAGGCUAAAGCAUUACAUACAAGCAAGUAUCGGUAGCUUAAUGAAGGAUAAGUAUGCGGCAAUGAUUGCAUCAUAUGUUGUUACUACCAUCAUUCCCGAACAAUGCAGAACUAACUAAAAAUAAUUGGACUGUCAAAGCUUAUAACAUUUUUGAACGAUAAUAAAAGAUUAAACAUCAGUGAACACAUCAUAUGCAAGGCCAAAGCUUAAUGAAAGAUAACACUGCAACUGUUCGUAAAAUGGACACUGAGAUAAUCUUUUGCUUGAAGAAUCAGACAUCAUGGACGUACUGUUCAGAAAAUUUAUUUCAGAUUCAAAAUGUAUCAUCUAAAAGACUUACAUUAUGUGAUCCACAAGUUUCACGGACUGUUGGGACGCAAGGUAUCAACAAGAAAUUUAGAAUAGUUACUGAAUGUCUGAAUAUAAACAAACUCUAACAAAAAGACAGGCACACAUACCCCAAUUAUCUGUUCUCCACAGAGGUUGUGCUUGUCAGUGCCCCAAACGGGCUCGGUGAGAGUUUUGGGAGGGGACCUGAACCCGUAUGUGGUGUUGGGAAUGGCGACGCAAGCGGAGGUGAGCAGCGCGGAGGACGACCAGCCGGAUUCUGAAUCUUCUGGCGGCGGUCGAGACAAACCGAAGUGGAGAUCGCGAUUCGCUGCAUCAGCCAGCAAAGAGGAGAGUGAUCGAGGGGAUGUGUCGGAUGAGGAGGCGUGCUGGGGAAGGAUAUGCAGGUGGCGGUGGCCGGGGGCAAGGCGGUUGCGGGCGGAGGUGAUGGGGAACGGCGAUGAGGUACCGAUUUGGGGUCAAUCCGGGAUAGGCCGGGGAGGAGCUCCGGUGGGGUGGAGGGGUCGUGCAGAACUAUACAUCGUAGGAGGGCUGACGGCAAGAUGGGCGGGUGAGCAGUUGCGGGGGCUUGUUUCUGAUCGGGUGGGUAGGGCAGCGGAGUAGCUACGGAAGCGGCGGCGUGCGACGGCGGCAGAACUCUGAGGCGUGCUGAGUGGGGAGGAGGAGAACUGGGAAGCGGCGGCGGCAGCGGAUGCGGAGGCGCGGGUUCGGAAGAGGAGAACGGGGAUGUGUAUAGGCGGCAGAGAGGAGGUGUGGCCGCAAAGUAUCGGGAAGGCCGGACGGCGACUUCGUGCUGGAAAGGAUGUUAGAGGGCGGCGGCGGCAGCGGCGGAGGCGAGGAAGGGCGGCGGCGGAGGCGGGGAAAAUCCUAUCAGGAGAGAGAUGCGAGCGAAGGGCAGGUAGCGACGGGGAUCCGGGUUUUUUCUCCUUUUCGAUUUUCUCGCGCGUGGUUCGGGGUAGGACGGACCAAAGUAAAAUGAAGAUAAAGAUACCUAUACAAAAAUAAAGAUAAAGAUACCUAAGCAAACCCGGACCGGGCUUCAUAAAGCCCGACGGGAAAACCUCAAACCCGAGCCCGGCCCGGCCCGAAGCCCGACAAAAGGACCAUUUUAGCAUUAAAGUAAUUGUUUUGGAAAUAAAUAAAUAAUUUUUUAUACAUAUUUUUUCUAAAAAAUACCCGUUUUUAUUCAUUUCGGGCUUUCGGGCCGGGCUUGGGAACUAGAAAGUGAAGCCCGAGCCCGGCCCGGGACGUUGGGCUUCGGGCCGGGCCACGCCACGUAUGCCCAAGUAUACUCACUGGUAAGGGCAAGUGCAUUAAUAGAAAGGCAUGUUUCACAUCUUGAUGUUGCAUUAAAAAUACUGGUUGUCAUAGCUAUCUACGCUAUAUUUUCCAUCUAAUUGAAUAAAAUGUCACAUAUCACCACUCAUUCCUUUUCUCAAUACACGGUGCAUUAGAUUUCAAAGAGAAGGUUUUGGCAAAUGAUUACUUCAUUAACAUGUGAAAGCAAACCAUAGGAUUUUGUUGUUCCGAAAUAUUUCCAUGCUAAUUCAGAAGAAUCGUGUAGGAAAUUGAAAACAGAGAGAGUUUAUUUUACUGUGUUGAAUAGAGAGAGUUUUUUUUUAGCGAGAAUAGAGAGAGUUAAUUCCAUGGGAAGCACAAACGUUUGUUCGGCCACAUUCUUCCUGGGCUUUGGCCCAUCUAACAAGCCAGGCCUGCAGCGUAGCGGCCUUUCCUCGUUCGCCUCUGCCAUAUUUCACGAGCACACACGCAGCGCCGCUCGCCGGUGCAAAUGGACGCUUGUUUGGCUAAAAAAAAAAAUGGACGCUCGAAAUUCCUCUCCCUCGACCCUUUAUAGCAUCAUCAGAAGAUGGCAAGACGCUAGUUCAGCAGAAAAUGGGCCUAGCUAGGAUGAUCGAGGCUUGUUUGUUAGCAUCACCAGAAGAUGGCGAGUCCCAUGGGUUGGGCACAUUUCCAGACAUCUGUUCAAGCCGAUUUGGGAGUGAAUGAACGAAUGAAAUAAAGCAAAUCUUACUAGGUUCAGGCUGCAUCUAUACUCAGACAUGUUGAUAGCUGAUGAAUAUAUAGGAGCACUCGUUCAACAAGGUGAAGAUAAAGAUAAGAUAGGUGUACGGAAACAUUGCUCAGAAAGAAACACAUCUUAUAUAGUAGGAGCGUUAAUUCACCUAGGCGAAGAUAUAAAAGAAAAAUAAUAUUUCCUCCGACCGGUAUUAUUUGUCUCAAAUUUGCUCAAAUACGGAUGUAUUUAUGUGUAAAACGCAUCUAGAUACAUGUAAUAUUUCGACAAGUAAUUCCGGCAGCAGGGGUACUGAAAUCUUGCACUCGCAUGUCAUAGUGUUGACGAGUAGAUACGGUGGAUUUCCUCAUGUUACCAUACAUCAAGAUGAUACGCAAAAUCCCAUGAAAUCCCAUGAUCAUGAGAUCUCUGUCUCUCUAACCCAAAAGGUCUACGGAACAAAACUCUUCUUUUAUGAUGCGCAAAAUCCACAGUGUCACAUCAACAAACACGACGAAAGAGAAAAACACAGCGAACUUCAACUGACAACACCCGGAGAUAUUGAGAAAGUCCUUCAAUGCAACGCCUUCAAAAAUAGAUCCAACCAUUGGAUCAGGUCAGGGAUUUUUACCUCAUUCAGCAGGUUCGACUAACUUCAAAAAUUGCCUUCAAGGAAGUAAAACACGCGUUCACGGCCGUUGUCAUUUCCAACCAAUUAUUAAGAUCAGACCUGGGAAUUUCUUUUACAAGCGAUACUUGACGACCAGUCAUCGCCAUUCCUCUCAGUCUUGACAAACAGCGGUAGGACACGAACUCAAUCAAAGGUCCCGGCACAGCCCAGAGAGGACAUCCCAAUGGACAAAUCGACACUGCAAGUUAUGCAUGAUAUAUAUCGACCCAACCGUCAGUGCCAACAUGAGAUUUUGAUUUUGUCUUCUAUAUUAUUGCACAUCUCCUUAAGUACAAUCAGAUGCAAAGUGUUGAAGCUAAACGAUCUCAUUGCUACCAUGAUGAACACCAUUUACCGAUGCUGACACCGUGUUUACACUGCUCGUCACGGUAGUCCACAGGUUUGCUGCCACCGGCGCCGCCAUGAGAUGCAGGAACGGGUUCGCCGGUUCAGUUAUGUCCAUCUCGCCCUCGAGCAUCUUCACCACCGUGCUCAUGGGCGGCCUUGCCUCCGGCUGCUGCUGCACGCACCAGAACGCCACCAUGCACAUCCUCUCCACCGUCUGCUUGUCCUGCUGAUCGCCCAUGAUCUCCAUAAGUUCCCCGCUCUCGUACUUAAUCCACACCAUCUUGGGGAACCACUGUUGGCUCUCGGGCGCUGCUUCGUCGAAGUUCCUCCUCCGGCCGAUGAUCUCAAACAAGAGGAUGCCGAAGCUGUACACGUCGCACUUUUCGGUGGCGCCGGCUUGCAUCCACAUCUCUGGUGCGGCAUAACCGGGGGUGCCACGCAUCCCAGAGACGGUCUUGUGCGUGUCAGCCCGGUUCAGUAGCUGUGCAAGCCCAAAGUCGGCCACCUUGGGCGUGAGGCUGCCGUCGAGGAGCACGUUGCCAGGCUUAAUGUCGUAGUGCACGAUCUUCUGCUGGCACUCCUCGUGGAGGUACCGGAGGCCCCUAGCCACGCCAACAGCGAUAGCGCGCAGCGUCGGGAAGCCGAUACCACGGUUCCGAUCAUCGAAGAGGUAGGCGUCGAGCGCGCCGUGCUCCAUGUACUCGUACACCAGUGCGCGCACGCCAUGGGUGGCAGAGUCGAAACAGAAGCCAAAGAGCCUGACAAGGUUGAUGUGGUGGGUCCUCCCGAUGGUGCCGACCUCCGCCAUGAACUGGUCCUGGGAGGUCCGGUCAUCGUGGGUGGUGUGGAGCCGCUUCACGGCGACCAUGAGACCGUUGGGUAGCAUGCCCUUGUACACGGUGCCGAACCCGCCGGCGCCGAGCCGGGCCGAGUAGUUGUUGGUGAAACCAGAGAGUUGCUCCGGGGUGAAUCGAAUGGGCUUCUCGCCCGCGAUCUCCUUGAGAAACCUCUCGACGGUAGCCUCCCGUAUCUGAGAGUCCGGCACCACCGCGUACAUAGCCGAUGCCGUCGACGAUGAUGAUGCCGCGGCAGCGGUCGUGUUGAUGUUGAUGGCGGGGAGGCCGUUCUUCUUGACGCACCUGUACACGAAGUAGACUAUGGCGACGGUCCCCAGGAUGCUCAACACCCCAAAAACUGCAUGUCGAAAUUCAGGUAAACAUGCGCAAAACAAAACAAAAAUUGCUCUUGAAAUACGAUUUAAUGGCUGGGACUUGUGCGCUCACCGACGGAGAUGACGAGGAAGUUGUUGAAGGUGCUGGAGGCUUGUUUGCCGAGAUCGUCGUUGGGAGACGAGGUUGGGAAAUUGUUGGAGUCCCCAGGCUGGAAAUUAGACGACAUUGUUGACGAAAUUAAUUGGUUUGGGAAAUGAAACGGCCGGCUGGAUAUCGAUCGUUUAAUUAACUAGCCUGCAGAACGCCAAUCUCUACUCGAUCGUUGUAUAUGUAGCAGGAUCCAUCCACCCACAAGAAAAAUUAAUGUGGAGAAGCACGCAGUCCACGUACUCCGGUCAGUCAACACUUCAAUAUUAUCCGGCACGGCAGAUUAAUUGACCGGCUGUGUGGACUUAAUCCUAGGCGAGGGACAGUUGACUUGCUGUCAGCUAGUCCAUGCCAAUUACUGAUACGUACAGUACUUCCUAAAGACGCUGCUGACCGCUGACCAUCCUGAUCGAUCCGGCUCGGCUCUCCGUCCAGUCGAAUACUCCCGCCAUCUCAUAUUAAAUGAUUUUCUAUUACAUGUAUUUAGACAUAUUUUAGUAUAUAUAGAUACGUCCAUAUUUAAACAAACUUGAGUCACUUAAUAUGGGACGGAGGAAGUAAUUAUUAGUAAGUACGGGGACGUGUAAAAUGGACUGAUGUCAGUCUUUUCUUAACGAUGCCAUGUUGGAUAAAAUCUGAUGUGGAAGAGAAAUGAACGAAGGAAAUACAUAUGCAUUCUCUUAAUUAAGAGAUGAUCUCUUCACAAGAAGGAUAAGGCAAAGAUAAAACAAAAAUUUCAUCUUUUCUUAACCUUUAUUUUGUUAAUUUUAUUCAUCUAAUCAUUAAUCGUAAGAUAUGCACUAAGAGAUAACAUAUCGUACAACAUAUUUUGUUGUCUUCUUAUAAGGUAGUUUUAUCAAGCACUGUGCAUGCCCGGCCUUAGUCGUUUACCCAAACCCAACCAAUUAACUUUGAGAAACCCAUUCAGAGAUAAGAGUAAAUUUCAGAAAAUAACAGCUUUUUUUGGGCAUACAUAGUUUUUAGGGCCAUUUGUGUCAAGUAGUUUUUCCGGGUAUGCCGGGAAUAAUUAUUCAGCGCAGUCGCGUCGUUAAAGCACACUUAACGAAAAAAUUCUCCACAAAACCAUAGGAGCAGACAUUUUUCAGUGUGUGCGCGCGCGGGGGAGCUAGCUAGCUAGCAGUCAUCUCUGCAUUCAACAAGGCGAAGAUUAGCUAGCUUGACAGCUUCCAGGAAAGAACGGGGAUGGUCAAGGAGACGUAGCAAGACCCUCACACUCACAUGUCAUAGUUGACGAGGAGAUACGGUACUGGGUAGAGGCCCGGCCGGCAAGCAUAAAAUAGCUACAUCAACCGGGUCUUCUCCGCGAUUUCCAUUUGUUGGUCGCACCACUGCGUGCCAGGUAAUAUGAGGACAGGGAUGCUUUUGGAGCUCAGGCUCAUUGGAGUGCGAUAUUUUUAAAAAAUAAAUAAAUAAAUCAUAUUUCUAAGUUUUAAAGGAUCCUGAUUUUCUGUAAACAUAGAUGUAUACUAUGUACCUGUAAAUAUUCAUCAAGAAAUACGUUAAUUUGUGAUCUGCCAAAAAAAAUCACAAAUCUGUAAAUUCUACACAUUACAAUUCUAGAUCUACAUAUUUGCGACUUUUGCAUAGAGCGCGAAGUAUACAUCUAUAUAUAUUUACAUUGGAAAACAAUCAUUUUUUGUUAAACUACAAUAUUAUUUUUAUUAAGUUUUAAUAAAGGGCUCGGCGUAAACCGGGAGCUAAAACACCAUGUUUGACAAGGAUAGACUUUUUGAGAGUCUUGUGUUCCGGACCCUAGGACAAUGUUCCUACAUACUGGGAGUAUCACGCAAAAAUCACCCAUAUGAUCGAAGCCGGGGGAAAUACUGAAAGUUUCAGAUUUUUGUUAAAUAAAAAUAAUAGUUUGGUUGGAGGGGUGAAAUACUGAAAUCCUAUAAACAUGCUGUGUCUCCCCUUUUUGAAAAAAAAAACACUCACAUUCAUUUGAGAGGUUCGUAAAAAUACCAAAUUCAGCAAUGAAUAGCCUUCCAAGAAGGCUACGACCUCUGCUCCAAAUUAUAAGAAGUUUGGGAGGCUAAGCGUGCCGUCACUGGAUGUACACCACCCAAAGAAAAGAAAAUGUAGCAGUCCACGCUAGCAAUCAAAACGGCAAAAUUAGUUAAGAUCCUUGAAGAGAAAUGUCAGGCGAACAAGGCGACCUAGUCGACACUCAAAAUUUUCUUUUUGAUCUGGGAAAGCAACCUCCAUUACUUCAGUAGGAAGUUACUACCAACUUCAUUAUUUUACAGGAGAUUCCAUCACAUGGAUACCUGCAGUCACUGAACAUGAUAGGACAGCACCGGAUCCGGCAGAUAAGAUCUUGGAAAGAUGGUGCGCCUCCAAGGGACAGGGAGAUUGUGCAGAAGCGCCACGAUCAUUCGAUCCGGGAAAACCGGGGUCCGUCCGAUGUUUUCCUCCCGACUCCAGGCUUCAGUUUGCGGCCGAGCUUGCAUCGUUUCCCACUUCUGUCUACUCGAUCCGAACGAGUGAACGACGGUAGCAGCGACAUCUUCCUCUUCAGCUCUGCUUCAUCUUCUUGAACACAUGUCAAUUGCUUGAUUGGAUAUGUGUUGGCAGAUUUUGAUCCCAAAUGGUCGUACAUUUGUUUGUGCCGAGAGCUGUUUGUAUUGCAUUCACUGUUUGUAUUGUAAAUGGCCAAUCAAGCAAACUUGGUAUAUGGAUUUCUAUUUAUGAUCACGUGAUUGUUGAUGAUGAAAUGUGCAAAAAAGUCAAACAAUCAUGUUGAAAUGAGUAGGUAAGCUCGCCAUGUAGGUAACCACAAUCUUGGGCAAUGCAAAUCUAUCAACCAAACACGAAAUGGGUUCGUCCUGCCCAUUUUGACUCAGCCAACCAAAUACGAAUUCGACUCACACCCAUCUCAACCAAACACUCACCUUGAAUGGCUCCACCCCUAAAUCCGGUUGGCCGCAACCCAUCCAAUUUCAUCCAUCAACCAAACACACCCUAAACCGGAUGGGAAUUCGAAUCAGUUUCCUAAAAACUUUUAAAUUUUAAGAAAGACUUUCAGUUUGUUGAAAAAGAGCGAACUUCUAAAAUUGUGGAUGAGCGUUCAACAAAUGUUGACAAACUUUUGGACUUUCAGAAACGAACAUUCUAUUAUUUUGACAAACUUUCAAAAUUUCUGGAUGAACCUUCCAAUUGUUUUUGACAAACUUUUAAAAAUUCAGAUAAACUUUUAUUUUUUAAAAAUUGACUUCCUUUUUUCUACCGACUUCCAAAUUUUAGAGAUAAUUGUUUCUAGCUAAGUUUUUUGCAUCCUGAUGUGCUGGCCUUGGCUUGCUUAGCGUAAAGGCUGAUUAGCGUGAAGCACGUUUCGUCCGCACGGCGCAAAGCUUCGAGCAAAAAGUUCUUCCGUUCAUUUAAAAAAUAAAUCAAAACACUAAACCCUUACACUCGUAUCUCAAAAGUUGACGAGGAGAUACGGUCUUGUCCUUUGACGAGGAGUACACCAUGGUUGGAUCAACCAAUAGAAGGACAUUGAGAAUGGUCGUUCAAUGCAAUGCCUUAAAAAAAUGGGAUGAUGGGCCUGCGUCACAGUUGGUAGAUCCAACUAUUGGGCUAACCUAUAAAAAAACUAUUGGGCCAGGCUAGGGAUUUUACAAAAAAAAAUCUUUUUCGAAAGGGCAGACAUCCAUUUCCAUUGCAGAGUUGUUAUAAGUUAGAGAUCGUGUAAACAAAUAUAAGCCGGCCGAAAAGAUCAAAUAAAGCGAGUCUAGACAACUAAGCGUCUAGUACACCGGCAGCUGAACAGGAUCGAAAAUCUCCAAAUAAUACCUGAACAAGGAAGUAACAGACUAAUACGCAUUAACGACCAUUGUUAUGUCCAAGCAAUUCAGACCACAUCUGGGCUUUCACACAGGUACAUGAACGACACAACCAAACUGAUGUCCUCCCUGUGCUUUCACGCCAGCUUGAUCAGUGUCUUGUCUUAAUCACCAACAUAUGCAAAGUGUUCAAGCUAAGCGAUCCCGUCGCUACCACGAUAAACACCAUUUACCGAUGCUGAAACAGUGUUUAUGCUACUCGUCCCGGAGGUCCACAGGUUUGCUGCCAUCGGCGCCGUCAUGAGAUGCAGGAACGGGUUCGCUGGCUCGGCAACGUCAAUCUCUCCCUCGAGCAUCUUCACCACCGCGCCCAUCGGCAGCCUCGCCUCUGGCUGCGAGCUCUUUUACCGUACACCGAAUUUAAUACAGACCGUUUAUUUGUCCCGAUCCAAUGAUCGGUAUAAUUUGGCACUCCACGGUUGAUUCUAUGAAGUACCGGGUCAAAAAUUACUGGAGUUCCUUGAUUUGGAGGGUAAAAUAGUAAUUUGGGGAGGAUAUUUUAAUCUGUCUCGUCCUAACCUGAAUCGUUACUUUCACUUUCCAAUAAAAAAGACAAAUGAUUCAGCUUUGACCUAACCCCGCCGCCGCUUGACUGGCCUGCCACACCGGCGUAGCGGACGAAGGUGCGGAUGAAGCAUAAGCGGCACUGCCGAGCUCCUUCAUGCAUGCAACGGAUAAUGCGGUGCCGCCACCCACCCUUGCAAAUGAUCCUAGGCUAAUUAAGUUGGUUUGCUCUCUCGAGGGUUGAUUCGGUGUAGUGGAUAGUAGUUUUGAUCUCUUUUUUUAUAGAACUCGAUCGAACCAUGAGCAAAUUCGAUUCAACUGCCCAGAUGUGGAUGCAUUAUUUGGGAUGUGCAGAGAGAACCGCUAGGAACCCAAUUUGUGCCAUGAUUGAUUCAGCUAAUUAAACACUACACGAUUAAUCAAAUAAGCCAAUCAAGGUGCCUAGCUAGCUUUGAACAGAUCAGGUUGUUGAUGGCAUGUUGAAGGAGGCGCCCGAGAUGCCAGACUCCAGACGCCUAGGAUGAGACGGGUGACAUGCAUUACGACGGAGGAUCGCCGUCCGUCCAUGGUGACGAAGGACGAGGAAGUAGUGUGCUACCAGGAUACCGGAGUAGAUUAAGAUAAAACAUAAUAUUACUCAUAAAUUAGCAAAAGAAAUCGACCAAUUUACCCUUCAAUUGGACGGUCAGAUUUACUUGGUACUCCAGCCUCUAGUCAAGGAGUACCAGGGUACCGUAAAAUUCCUCCCGGCUGCUGCUGCACGCACCAAAAUGCCGCCUUGCACAUCCUCUCUGCUGUCUCCUUGUCCUGCUCGCCCAAGAUCUCCAUAAGCUCGCCGUUCUCGUACUUGAUCCAUGCCAUCUUAGGGAACCACUGCUGGCUCUCUGGCACGGCCUCGUUGAAGUUCCACCUCUGUCCGAUGAUCUCAAACAAGAGGAUGCCGAAGCUGUACACGUCACACUUCUCGGUGGUGCCGGCCUGCAUCCACAUCUCAGGCGUGGCGUACCCGGGGGUGCCACGCAUCCCCGAGACGGCCUAGUGUGUGUCGGCCCGGUUUAGCAGCCGUGCGAGCCCGAAGUUAGCCACCUUGGGUGUGAGACCACCGUCGAGGAGCACGUUACCAGGCUUGAUGUCAUAGUGCACGAUCUUCUGCUGGCACUCCUCGUGGAGGUAUCGAAGGCCCCCUGGCCACGCCAAUGGCGAUGGCGCGCAACUCCGGGAAGCCGAUGCCGCAUCUUCGGUCAUCAAAAAGGUAGGCGUCGAGUGCACCAUGCUCCAUGUACUCGUACACCAGAGUGCGCAUGCCGGUGGCACUGGCAUCGAAGCAGAAGCCGAAGAGCCUAACGAGGUUGAUGUGGUGUGUCCUCCCGAUGGUGCCCACCUCCGCCAUGAAUUGCUCCUGGGAGGUCCGGUGGUCGGAGGUGGCGUGGAGCCGCUUCACGGCGACCAUGAGGCCGUUGGGUAGCAUGCCCUUGUAUACGGUGCCGAACCCGCCGGCGCCGAGCCGGGCCGAGUAGUUGUUGGUGAAGCCGGAGAGCUGCUCCGGGGUGAACCGGAUGGGCUUUUCGCCGGCGAUCUCCUUGAGGAACCUCUCCACAGUGGCGUCCCAUAUCUGCAAGUCCGGCACCACCGCGUACAACGACGAUGCUGGCGUCGCGACAGCGCCUGUGGUAUUGAUGUUGAUGGCUGGGAGGCCGUUCUUCUUGACACACCUGUACACGAAGUAGGCUAUGGCGACGGUCCCCAAGAUGCUCAACACCCCUAGAACCGCAGGAAGAAAUUCAGGUAAACGUAAAUAUAAAAAAUCAUCACUCUUGAACUAUUCUUGAAUAUGAUUUAAUGGUGAUCCGUGUGCAAAAAAACGAUUUAAUGCUGAUCGAUCGAUGGAACAGUCGUCACGCACCGACGGUCAAGGCCAUGAAGGAGUUGAAGGUGCUGGAAGCUUGUUUUUUCUUUUGAGGGGAAGCUUUAGGUCAUAAAACCUAUAGCAUUUUAUUAAUAAAUAAAGAGAAUAUUUACAAAUAAUUACAAGUGACAACUAUCUGAAGUUUUUGAUCCAUGAUUGCAUGGAAUGGUAUUUCUUUCUUUUGGCUCUAUGGAAGACCAGGUUGAGCUCAUAUUUGAAGGUGCGUUUGCAUCUGUAGAGCGAUGGGUUGAUCCCAUUGAAUAUAUAGUCAUUGCGUGUUUUUCAGAUACUCCAGUUGACAGCAGUAAUUAUCUCCAUGUGAAAUGGGACUUGAAGCGCCUGUUUGAUGAUCAUGAUGUUGCCAUGGACAAUUGGCUGGGGCAUUGUCGGAGCACGGUCUCCGGCACCGGGGAUGCCGAGCACCCCCUUUUUGGUUCGGUGGAGGGCGAGGUGAUCGCUCCGGCGAACGCCGGCGUGGCGAUAGACACGAAGUGUAGACACAAGAGUUUUACCCAGGUUCAGGCCAGCCGGAGGUGUAAUACCCUACGUCCUGCUUUGAGUUGUAUUCACAAGUUUGAGAGCGUACAGAUCACCCGGGGAAUUCCCGGGUUGGCUACUUAGGUGAACGCUAUGCUAUGUUCUACUCACUCGGGUUUGAACUGAGCUGAACCCUUUGACCGGUGGCAUUGGUCCUCCUUUUAUAGACAAGGGGAUACCACAGGUGGCUAUGCAUGCAGGGUGACACGUUGCCUAGACGCGUGUCACAGCUAUAUGGAAUACACUUUUGCUCAUCCACGUGAGACGCCAUGUAGCGCCCGGUCCACUGUACACGGUAGAAAAAAUGGUUCUCAGGGUAGCCUAAGACUCCUGUCGGUGCAUUAAAUGCACUGCGCCCGUCGUCUUGUCCUGUUGUGGUGACCCAGACCCGUAAGGAUCCGGACCUCUGUGUACUCUGUGCUAGUCCCUGGAUCAAAUGCUAGCACACACAGUUCCAUUGAUGAAGUACCAUACACAUGUCUAUUACAUCGGUUCGAAUUACAAAUCCAAAGUACUUAAUACAACCAAGCGGAAGUUCAAAAUAAAACAAACUGAUAGGUGCAGGUCAGUACAUUGAAUGUACUUGCAAGUCACACCUGUGUGGUUAGGAGGAAUGCAUGGAAAUGAUGAAGGGUUUCCUAGUUUGGCUACUAAGGUUGUUUUUGCAAAAUGCUGCUUUUGGGGUUUUGAAUUACUCAUAGUACUUUCCUUUGAAAACCUCUAAUCCUGGAGUUUUGAUAAAACAAUGUUUGAUCAAUAGUAUGGUCAUUAUGUGGAAGUUCACUCCACGACCUAGCUAUGCACUCUGGGUCAACUGACACUCACAUAGCAUCCCUUUUUUCCUGACUCAUUCUGUGGAACCUUCCAUCGAGUCAAAACAGUUCUGGGGUUUUUGAAAACAAAACCUGAAGAUCUCCACUUCUCCUGACUUAAUGACUCAAAGUCGCCCGUAACCAGGGGCAUGGCUAAUCGAUUAGAUUGACACUCUCGAGAGGUUUGUACACUUUACCCACUUGACACAAUCAGUCCAAAGUGUUGCCUGACGACAAGCGUGCGCAACAGAUAAAGAUUGUGACGAAGUCUUUCACUAGAAGCCCCCUGAUACCUAAUUCUGGCACCGCCCGCCCCAUAUGAGCACAUUGGCUCCUCUCUGGAUGGCGAUACCCAGGUAAGGGUUUCCCGCUAGUUAGUCGACCAAGCCAGAGCCCAUAAUAGCAAUUGGUUGCACAAGAAGCUUUUGGGUACAUGAGAAGGUUUGAACUCUUGAAUUUCUGGACAGCGGUCCCCACCUUCUCCGGAGCGUGUACCCGUUACGGGGCUACAACACUUGCCGACAGCCAACUGGCCUCCAUCAUACCACUCCAUCCAGAUAAAACAUUUUGGUUUUAUUUCGAAAACAUUUUUCCAAAAACAUACUCGCUCAUAAAGAGCACUUAAUACUUUUCAAUAUAGUUUGGGUCCCGUCCCGUUAUAAUAGUAUAGCAUGCUUUGGAAAAACGUAAAUACAUAACUUAUGGUAUUUGGUGGCAUGGCAAUAAAAUCCUAUAAGCAAUCUACUAGGAAUAACUAAACAUGUUGAAAACGCAUUUGAUAAAUACUUCAUAAAGAAAUAACUCUAACAUGCAUCCCUAUGCCAUUGUAAACAAGAUAGCUUAAGCAAAAUAUAGGUACUACAUGAUCAAUAAGUGUAACUUGCCUGGUUCAGAAAAGUUGUUGCGGUCGUCAACUCCCUGGCACUCGUUGCAAUCGCAAUCCGAAUAAUCUAACGCGAAGAACGAAUCAACAAUAAAUGCAUAGUUCCAAACAUCUCUCAAAAUCCAAAUAUAACUCCAAAUGAACUUCGGAUAAAGGAUGUGUCACAACCAUACAAAAACAGAAUCUAAACAUCAUCUAAGUAAUACCAUAGUAUUAACAAUCAAGUUCUAAAGCCUAAGGUUAACGCUAGUGUGGCUAAGUCUGAAGAUUCAGUAAUCUGCUUCUGUUAACAGAUUGCAACUAGGGUUGACAGGAAAAAGGUGCUAAGGUACAGAACAUGGAAUGAAACAUAAGCUACAGUGUAGUUCUAAUGUUGUACUAACUAACGCAAUAGGUUUCAGUCCAAUUGGAUAAACAGACCAAAAGUUACUGGCUUGCAAAGGUGGCUAGUCAGAUUCUGACAGACAAAGAAUACUAACUUCUACUGAAAAGCUACUGGUGCUAAACUAUUCCAAUGACAGAGAAAUAAUCCAAGGAAUCCAAGAAUAUGAUAUACUCUUCCAAAUGGCACUGGUUUCACUAAUUAUGGAGAUAUGAGGCAGUAGCUAUGAACAGGUGAAUGUGGUUACUCUAAAACAGAACAGUACAGGAUAUGAACUUCUACCGUCAUGCUGCUAGUGAAGGUGAAAUUGAAAUGGUCCAACUAGGAAAUUGCUUUGAAGGGGUGUACCUAAGGUUCAAACUACAGAAAGAAUCAACUAAAAUGAUGCUACGGACAACAAAAAGAACUACUACGAAUAAGGCUACCCACUAAGAAUGGUGCUGCAACUUCCUGCCGUGGCAGAGAUAUGGCAGAGAGGCUGCUUAGAAUACAAUUUUGCGACGAGGAUGCAGUGCUCAAGAUGAACCAUCUACGGCUACUGUCUACAGAGCAAUUAUAGAGAAACAUUCACUCUACACAAUGGUGAAAACUAGAGCACAUAAUGAUCAACGGUCUGCUGACAAUCGACGCUUGAAAAGAGCUAACCGAAAAGCACGGGAGAUGAACAUGUUCAUACCCAAAUCUUCCCGGAGAUGAACGGAAUCGAAGAUCCGAAGAGCGGGAACGAAGAAGAAGGGUUGGAGGAGAUUCACGGUGUCGCGGGGAUCGCGCAGGCGAUGGCGGUUCGGCGAACGGAGCAGCGCAGCUCCGGCAAUUUCUCCCCGGAGUUUGGGCGGCGGCGGCGGCGGUUUCGGCCGGAAAUCGGGGCGCAGGGCGAGCGGGGAGCGGGGGCGGGCGAGGGCAUGCGCGAGAGGGGGCGCGGGGUGCUUUAUAGGGCUCGGGCGCCUGGGCGGCGGGGCUGGUGGUUGCGGCGCGACGUGGGGUCGCGGGCGCGUGCGGCGACGGCGGUUGCGCGGGCGACGCGGGCGGCGGCAGGGCCGGCAGGGCUGAGGGCGGCGGUGGAGUCGGCGGCGCGGGGCAGCGGCGACGGCGGCUGCGCGGGCGAGCAGGCAGGCGGGCGCGGGCAGCGGCGGCGGUUGGAGACGGCGGAGGUGGCCAGAGGAAGAAAAUGACUGGUGGGCCCCACCUGUCAGUGAGAGAGAGAUAGAAAGCGUAUUUCUCCAAGAAUACGUUUUCCUGCGGAGAAAGCGUAAUCCAGAUAAAAAGAAAAAGAAUAAAAGAAAAAGAUUAAUAAAUACUUUUCAGGAUCUAUAAUUCACCCGAAAUUCCAUUUAAAUCAUUUAAAAUAUCAAUUGGCAUCAGAAAAAUUCCAAAAAAUUCUGUAAAAUAAUAUAUUUCAUUUAGAGUCAAGGAAAAUUAUUCCCACUCAAAAAUAAAUUAAUAAAAAUAGUUGUAAUGUUUUUAAGCUUUAAAUAAAACCAAAUAAAAUCCUAGAAUGCGUUUUUAAAUUCUAGAAAAUUCUCAAAUCAAUUUCUAUCAACCUAACACAUUCCAAGACACCAUUUAAAACACUUUCAAUAAUGCAUCAUAACGAACACCAAAAUUUUAAGAUAUGAUCAAGGUGAUAUGCAUAAGAAAUGAAAAGGUGCGAACAUUCGAAAUCGUGGGCCACUGGUACGACAGUAGCCCUCGGGCGUGCGCCGGCAGCCUUGAAGCUUCCAGCAAGCGCUAUCCUCGAUCGGUUGCCGGGCUACGCCCUAUUUGACACGUGGGUCCCAAGGGGGAAACCCAUUGGCACCCGGCCUCGUGGGCCGCAUUUAUAGUUCCACUUCUCCGAGCAAAACGGUCGGGCGCACGAUUUCGUGCCUUAUCCCCCUUAAUCGCCAGAGAGUUAAGGCCACGUCGCGCACCCCCUCUUAAUCUUUGAUUCUUUAGGGCUCUUUAUUGAUGAUCAUGGGGGUGUCCGUUGCAGUCCGCCAGCCCCGAUAAAUACCCAAGGCCAGUGGCGGGGCACUCCCCAUUGUCUCUCGCUCCUGCCAUCACCUCCUCCCAAGCUCCCCGCUCCCCAACUCCAACUGAACCACCUCUCCACCUCCGCCGAUGUCUUCCAAGGGCCAGAACCGUCCCAAGGGGAGCACCAGCAAAGGGGAUAAGGCCGGCAAGAAGGAUCUGUCGGACAGGGCUCGGAAGGAGGAGGAAAUGCGGGCUAAAUUUGCCUUCUCCCCCCCCCCCCCCCAGGGUACAACGGCGAGGGGGUCGACAAGCUGGACUUGGUACUGGCCACCAAGCACAAUGAGCACGGGCCGACGCAGGUCCUUCCCGUCGGAGCGGAGCGUGACGGGCACUAUUUCCGGAUCUUCGGGAGGUUCAUCCUUGCCGGGUUCGUGCCGCCGCACUCCUACUUCCUUUCAGCCAUCAUGGAGACCUACAAGCUCAUCAUGGCACAGCUUCACCCCAUGUCGUUCUUCACAUUGGCUAUUUUCCAACACCUCUGUGAAGCGUUCGUGGGGGUGAUGCUGUCGGUGGCGCUAUUUCGCCACUACUACUACCCGAGGGUGGAGAAGAAGGCUCCCCUGUCCUCGGGGGUAGUGUUCCGAUUCCGCGACAGAAUCAAAUCGGAAUUCAUCGAGCUGCGGAAGAAGAAGAUCGAGCAUGAGUGGCGCUAUGACUGGUGCUGGGUGCGCACCGAUGAGCUCCAGGAAUUCCACGAGGAGCCCCUCGGGCCUCCGAAGGGCUCUGACGACUGGACGCUCCGCGACCAUAAGGACGAGGAGCUGGCCCCAAUCUGUGCGAAGAUCAAGGCGCUCCGUGAGGCCGGGCUCACGGACACGGAUGUGGCGCGCCACUUCAUCGGGAGGCGCGUGCCCCCUCUGCAGCGGCGCUCUCAUCCGGCGUGGAUGUACACCGGGGCCAGCGACCGGACCCGGCUGCAGCGCACGGACCUCCUCGCGGAGGAAGUGCAGUUCUGGGUGAAGGGUAUCACCGGCGAGGACGAACCUUACCGGCUACUCUCGCCUAGAACGCACUCGCUCCACGCCGAGAUCCCGAACCCGGGAGCCCGGGAUCUCCCACUCUGUGACGAGUGGGGGAUUGUGGAGGACCCCUCGGUGCAACCCUCACCCCCGCAGCCUAGGUCCCGGAAGGGCAAGGAGACGACUGCCGACUCGGGGAAAGGGGUCCAAGGCCAGGCCUCCACCAAGGCAGAGGGCUCGGACUCCGACGACUCCUCGCUGGGUGUCGGAGGAGACCUCAGUGACGACGACGUUCCCCCGGCAGCCGGCAAAGUCGUGCCAGAGGUGGAUGACGAGUAAGAUGACGUCCCCCUGGUGAGGCGGUCCGCGGCGGAGCGGGCGGGAGGCCAGCCCACAGCUCCAGGAGCCUCACGGCGACGCGGGGGCUGGGGCCUCCGAUGGCAGUGGCGCGGCAGCAGCAGCCGCCCCGACCACCUUGGCAACUCCAACAGUUCCCCCCGCGCGAAGCGGCCCUCCGGCGAGGAGCAUCCUAGCGGACAGGGUGCUCAAGCUCAAGCCUGCGGGGUAAGUCCAAUGUUGUCCAGAACAGUUUUGAUUUCGUGAAAUUAUUUUGUGCCUGACUAAUCUAUUUUUGCGUUUUCCAGUUCGUCGAGGAAGAGGGGGCAGGCCAGCGUGUCGCCGGCAGCCCCAACCAAGAAGCCUUGCCCGGCAUUGGGCGGCCGCGACCAAGACGCUGCUGACGCUGCGGUUGCGAUGAUGGUAGCGGGGUCCCCGAUUCGAGCUCGCAGGGCACCGGCCCGGCGGUAGGUACGUGCAAGUUCGAACACUUCCUUUAUCUGUUCGCACCAAUCCCCAUGCUUGACGCAGGUGCCGUUCAUGCAGUUGCCGGAGGGGCUCCAGCUGCGCCCGCGCCUACAGAGGUGCGGGUCAUCGACCUUACUGGCAAGGUCGACGACGAUGCUCCGGCGGAGGUUUCCUUCGCCGGAGCCCUUCAGCAAUCGACCACGGCGCCUGCCGGGGCCAUGACUGCUGCAACAGGUGACGCCACGCAGGGGGUGCCAUCUGAGGCGGGCGACACAGAGCAGCCUCUUCUAGCCGGGGUGGGCGGUGGUGCCCUGGAGAAGCCCCCGAGCCCCCAGCUCGCCCCUUCGGACGAGCAAGGAGCGGCGGGGCUCGGCCAUGCCGGGGGCGCGCCAUCAAAUCCUGACGCGCCCUCGGGGUCGCAGACGGUUGCGGCGGGGUCCUCCUCCUCCGCCGGAGCCGCCUUCAGCCUGGGAGCAGGGGAGCUCGCCGGGCGGACUCGGGGUCGGAUCACUUUCGAGCCCAGCGUGUUCCAGCAGGGACACCAAGUGAUCGACAACAUCCAGCAGCAGCAGCGGAUGUUCGUCAAUUAUUUCAACGACGCGCAGCAGCACCACGCCCGCGUAGUGGCCGAACUGGGCGCAGCGCGACGGGAGGCGGAGGAGCAGUGCACCGAGCUGCAGCGGCUCCGGCAGGAACUCCAGCAGGCGUGGCAAGCCGGGGCAACGCCAGCUCUGCAAGGGGUGCCGGAGGCGCAGGUCCUCCAACAGCUGUGGGAUCUCUAGCAAGAGCACAGCGGGAGCUCGAGCUGGUGAAAGCCACACAUGCCAAGAGCGAGGAGGAGCACCAGGCGGCUCUGGACUCGUUCCAAGGGCGUCUCCGGAAGAAGACGGACUUACUGUCCGGCUACUCCCCGGAGAUCCAGCGCCUCCGCCGCGAGGUCGGAGAGCUGGAGACGGUGGCCGCAAUAGCAGCCGAAGCCUCAGCGUGCCGGGAGAAGGAGCUGCGGGACCAGGCCCGCUCCCGGGAGCGUGAGCUUGCGGGGCAGCUCAAGGCCGCCCAAGAUGCCAGCUCGUCCCUUCAGGGCGAGUUCGACAUGGUGCGGCAAGAACUCCGGUUGGUCGACGACGACAACACCAAGAAGGCGUCGGAGAUCGGUAGGCUGAAGUUCUAGUGCCGCGAGCACAAGCUGCAGGCCCAGGAGGCUCGCGGUGCGUGCAUAGAGCUGCGGGCCCGCAGGACAGGGGAGGUGGCCCGGCUGAAGAAGCUGGCCGACUCGGCGGUGGAGGCGUUGCAGGGGUUCGACAUCCCUGUGGCUUCCUUCGAUGGGGCAGACAUGGGGAGGUUCACUUCGUUCUUCUCAGACUUCGUCGGCCGGCUGAGCGGCUUACAGAGCUGUGUCACGACCUUCGGGGACCGGCAAGUCGGCCUUGCGGCCAAGCAGGUCGCCAGGCAGAUUCUCACCCGGGUCCACUCCGCCCACCCCGACUUCCCGUUCGAGUCGGUCUUCGACGCCUGGUCGGACGAGGAAGAGGCCAAGACCCACCGGGAGGCGGUGCAGGGCGUCGUGGACGAGAUGGUGGCGCGAAUGCAGGGUAAGGUCGACGAAGACGAAGCCGCUGCUGAGGAGGUUGCCGGAGAAGCCCCCGAUGCCGAGGAUUCCCCUGACAUCGACGCAACCACCCCGGGAGCACCUCCCGCGUAGUUCUCUUCCUUCUCUUUUUUUUAUUUCCCUGGAAGUGGUGCAUGGCGCCUUAGAACUUUUUAUGUUAGCUUUCCCUUGUCAUUAUCAGUGUUACUCGUCAACUUGUUUUGCCCAAGCUUUGAUAUAUAUCCAAUGCUACUUUUAUUUGCUCCUUUGCCUAAAACUAGCUUGACGGGGAGGGGCUCUGUCCUUCCCGUGUUUUAGCCUUGCGUACUCGGAGACUCGCCAACCACAUGCUUGGCCAGACUAGGGACCCGGGAUGGACCCGCGAUGCCGACCUAGGGCCAAACAGCAGCGGCUAGUCACUCCGCCUGCGGGUUAACUACCCCAGCGCGCACGCCUCUGGGACGGACCCGCGAGCCACGUGUGGGGGGCGUCCUCACCCCGCAAGCGUCCUUCCUACGCUCCGGCUACACGGGGACCGAGCUUACCCCAGCAAACCAGUGUUACUAAAGGGGAAAAACCAAGGAUCCAAGAUACUUAGCUUCCCGUUCUUUUUAGACUUGUUGCGCCUUGUUGAGAGCCGUGGCAAGGACGUGGUGGCAGUGCACCCUCCAGCAGUACCUUCGGAGCUGCGGAGGCAUGCACCACCAGCCUUUACGACGCCUCUCGCUUGUCUCAUCGCCAUUUCUAGUGUCGCUCCAUAAGAGAUGUGGCAGGGCCACGAUGGUGAGAACACCCUCAGCGACAAGCGCAGAGGGAUGCAACACCAUCGCCUCUCUGCGACAUCUCUUGUUUUCUUGCCCGUUUCUGGUGUUGCACUUGCCCUGGUCUCCUUAAAUAGCCAAAGGGUUGUUCUUGCCUCCACACGCCCGGGACCACCAGCCGCCGCGUGGAGGGCACUGGCCCUGUCUCAGUUUCCUGCAUCAAGCCUCGAAGUAAUCGCCAUAUAUGUACAACUUACUCGCAAGACGACGACACCCGUGACCGCCACGAGUGUCACUGUGUGCCUUCGCCUCAUCCCUAUUCUGCAUGUCAGAUUCCUGCAGUGCCCAAGGUAUAUAGCAAAAAAAUUCGAAAUGUACGAAAAACAAUAUAAACUGGAUAACCUCCUGCCUCCCAGCCCCCGGGCACAGAAGAAUCAACCUCAGACCUGGGUGUGAACAUCUCUACGUUUCCACGGUGCCUCUCUGGCACGUAGCACGUUGCAGACGGGCCCGACAACUGCUAGGCCUCGUUCCGGGGCGUCCCGGCAACGAGCUUGGUUUUCAGGGUUCCGACAGCCCCCUGCUCACGGCCAAGGAUGAGGAGACAAUUCGGUGCACCUGGAGCAGGAGACAGAAGCAUUCACAGACAGGAAAGCACAAUAUUUACCAAUGUAACACUUAUCUUUAUUCAACUUUGUGCUAGUGGAUUACAAUCGGGCCUUGCCCGGCUACACUAGCUUAAAGAGGCAUGCUGCCGUAGCGUCACCCGUGGGUAAGGCACCAUCGUUUCACGGGCAAAACUUGCGUAUGUGCUCAAUGUUCCAACUAUUGGACACCGGCAAGCCUUCUUCGGUUUAAGGACGGACAGCCCCCGGUCUGGUCACCUGCACUACCCGGAAAGGGCCUUCCCAGAUUGGAGUCAACUUGUUCCCGACCUUCAUUCCUUGUAUCCGGCGCAGGACGAGGUCUCCAACCUCGAGCCCCAGGGGACGGACUCUCCUGUCGUGAUAACGACGGAGUCCCUACUGGUAGCUUGUAGCUCAUACAGCAGCUCGGCAUCGAAUCUCCUCGAUGAAUGUAAGGUCAUCAAUCCUCUGCGUGUGUUGGCUCUUGUCGCCGUACGCGCGUACCCGAGGUGACCCAUACUUGAGCUCGAGUGGCAGCACAGCUUCUGCCCCGUAGACGAGGGCAAACGAAGUUUGACCCGUCGCCCGACUCGGCGUGGUCCGCAGUGACCACGGCACGGGCUGGAGUUCUUCAACCCAGUGUUUCCCGUGGUCUUUGAACUUGUCAAAGGUUCUCGUCUUGAGCCCCCGCAGCACCUCUGUGUUGGCUCGCUCAACUCGCCCAUUGCUCCUCGGAUAAGCAACAGAGGCAAAGUGAAUCUUAGUGCCCAUUUCCUCGCAGUAAGCUCGGAAAACCACACUAGUGAAUUGCGUGCCCUUGUCGGUGAUGAUGCCGUUAGGCACACCAAACCGGCACACAAUGCCCUUGAAGAACUUGAUGGCUGGCUGCGCCGUGACGGCUCGGACAGGCUCCACCUCGACCCACUUCGAGAACUUGUCGAUGGCCACAAGUAGGUACUCGUAGCCGCCAACUGCUCUCGGUAGUUUGCCGAUGAUGUCCAGCCCCCAGACCGCGAACUGCCAUGAGGACGGGAUGACUUGCAGGGCUUGCACCUGGUUGGUUGCGCUUCUUGGUGUGAAACUGGCAUGCUUCACAGAUCUUGACUAAUUGCUCGGCAUCGGCUAGUGCUGUCGGCCAGUAGAAGCCGUGCCGGAACGCUUUUCCAGCUAGUGUUCUGGAGGCCACAUGGUGUGAGCAUGUGCCUCGAUGUAUAUCUUUCAGCAACGCGUGCCCUUCCUCCUCGGGCACACAGAGGAGCAUGACUCCGUUAAGACGCCUCCGGUAGAGUUCUCCGUCCACCAGGGCGUACAUUUUAGCUUGCCGGGCUACUCGCUCCACGGCAAUGUCUUCCUCCGGGAGAGUCCCGUCCUUGAGGUAGCGAAUAAUAUCCGUCCCCCAGGAUGGUGUUGGGAAUAUGCCCUAGAGGCAAUCAUGUAUGAUGUAAUUCCCAAUGUAUUCAUAAAUAUUAUUAAGUUGUCCUUGUUUGAACAUCUGAUAUGUAUCAUUGAAUAUGUGAUUUGAUUGUGAAACUAUGUAUUCUUGUUGUUCAUACUAAAUUGUCCUUAGUCAUUGAGGUUGUGCUGGACACAUAACCUAGACUAAUGUGAAAGUUGGCUGAUGACUCGGUUCCACUUGUCAUGGGCAUGGUGAUGUCAUUCCAGCUUACAUGGACUCGGCUAAAGAGUUUAGCGAGUCGGACUGACCCAUAUUGAGAUGCAACGAGUAGGUCGUCAUUUGCAUGUCUCAAUCAAUGUAAUCCUUAGACCUGAGGUUAUCGCACAAUCCGAGUUGUGGAUCACCAACUUAGGUUCUGUCAAACGUUGUUCCGUAACAGGGCAGUUAUAAAGGCAGAGUUCGGGUUGACUGAGAAUCAAGCUGUGUGAUGUGGAUAACCAAGAUGGGAUUUUGCCCCUCCGACUGGAGAGAUAUUCUCUGGGCCCUCUCGAGUGAUAUGAUUCGGGAAGCAUGGCCAUGCGCGACUUGGUUAACUGUUAACCGGGUCGAUCGACUAAGAGUUAGUCGGAUGAAUCGUAUAUCACAAAUCGAGAAGAGAGUUGAACUAUUAAAGGGAUGACGAUUAAUCGCCUAUAGUUCGACAAGGUAUAUCGUGAGGCAAAAGGGACUAAGACGUAUGUCACAUUGGAAGGUACGUCGUCAUGACUCGAUGGUACUUGGGAGUCGGCACGUUCUGCUAGGAGCCGCUACCGAUUGAUCGAUUGUGAGUCGGACUCCAAUCGUGUCCAAGUCGCCAUGAGCCUGCGGGGUCACACACUUAAGAGCGGGAGCAAGUAUUUGGUCGGGUUGGACCUGAACUGGAAUUGGGCUGACAAUGCGAGUUGGACUCGCUGGGUGGAUGGGCCACAAGGCUUGGAGCCCACUUCCACUCGGUAUAUAAGCAGGGGCGUGGGAUGCCUAAGGGGCAACGGUUUUUCCACUCUCAUGCGUUGAGAACUCUAGCCCGAUUCAGUUCAACCGUCGCAACGGACCUAGCAGUCCGCCGCCGGAGCUCCUCCUCGCACGUGUGGAUACCGGCAGAGGUGCUGUACGUUCAGCACUUCGACGAUCGCGGGAUUGGAUCGGCUGGAUCGGAUCGAGGGACUGCACUGCAUCAAGGCGCCGCAUCGAUAAUCCGCAACUGCGCGUCUAGUGGUAAUCCUCGUGGCCUUCUACCUCGGCUAGAUCUUGGGAGUUCGCGUAGGAAAAGUUUUGUUUAUCUCUACGCGCCCUUCAGAUGGUGGCUCCCGGCUAGUAUAUGCCCCCAAUUUGGCGGCAUAGUCCCCUGCAGCUGCAGACUCACCUUGAGUUGCCGGAGGGGCUUCCCCGGUAACUGCCUUGGGGUCGACAGAGGGCUUCGACUGCCUCUGCACGAACACCCCAGGAGGCACCUUGCUGCGUUCCGCUGCCCACUUGGACAGUUCAUCCGCAACAAAGUUGUCUUUACGCUUCACGUGCUCAAAUCGAAGUCUUUUGAACUUGGACUCCAAUUUUCGCACUUCCUCCACGUACGCUGCCAUCUGGGGGCAGUCAUAGUCCUUGUUUACCUGGUUGAUCACGAGUUGGGAGUCUCCGCGAACAACCAAGCGCUUGAUGUCGAGGGCGAUCGCCGCGCGUAGCCUGGCAAGUAGUCCCUCAUACUCUGCCGUGUUGUUGGUGGAGUUAGCGAAGUCGAGCUAUAUCACGAACUUGAGCUGGUCUCCGGUGGGCGGCUCGAUCACCACUCCGGCACCAGCGCCCUGCAAGAAGAAGGCGCCGUCGAAGUACAUGACCCAGUACCCUUCGUCCAAUCUGCCGGGAAGGCUUACUUCCGGCUCUUCUUCCUCUAUGCCUGUCGACGUCCACUCCGUGACGAAGUCAGCGAGAGUGCUUUUGAUGCUCUUGGUGUUUGUGAAACGCAGGCGAACUCUGCCAGCUCCAUUCUCCACUCGGCCACCUAGCCGGUGGCUUCACUGUUGGUGAGGGCCCUCUCCAAGCAGAACCCCGACACCACCGUGAUGCUGUGCGCCUGAAAGUAAUGGCGCAACUUCCUUGAAGCGAGCAGGAUCCCAAGCAGAAGCUUCUGGACCUACGGGUACCGUACCCGGGCAUCGCGCAGCACCGUGCUAACAAAGUACACAGGAUGUUGUACUAGCCGCUUGCGGGGGCCAGCCUGCAUGGGCUGUCCCUCGGAUCCAGGGGCAGAGGAGGUAGCCGGAGGUUCUUUCGGCUCGCCGGGAGCCCCCGCCCCUUCCGUCUCAUCCCCCGGGACUUGCUCUUCCCUCUCGGCGAUGAGCACGGAGCUCACCACCUGAUCCGUCGCUGCCAGGUACAGCAGCAAUGGCUCGCCCGGCUUGGGGGCGACGAGGACCGGCGGCGACUUCAGGUACCUCUUCAAGUCUUGGAACGCCGCUUCCGCCUCGGAAGUCCAAUUGAUUGGACCCUUCUUCAUCACCUUGAAGAAAGGCAGGGCUCGCUCGCCCAGCCUUGAGAUGAAAUGCCCUAGCGCCGCCACGCACCCGUUGAGGCGCUGGACGUCUCUAACCUUGCGGGGUGCCUCCAUCUUCUCGAUCGCUUCGAUCUUCUGUGGAUUGGCUUCGAUUCCCCUGUGAGAGACCAAGAAGCCCAGCAAGUGUCCCGAGUCCACACCGAACAUGCACUUCUCGGGGUUAAGCUUGAGCUUGAUCCUGCGGAGGUUGUCAAACGUCUCCUGCAGGUCGCCGACGAGCGAGUCCCUAUGCCGCGACUUGACGACGAUAUCAUCCAUGUAGGCCUCGAUGUUCCGGCCUAGCUGGGGUCCCAGACACUCACGCAGGGCGCGCUGAAAUGUCGAGCCCGCGUUCUUCAACCCAAAAGGCAUGCACGUGUAACAGUAGCAGCCAGCCGGGGUGAUGAACGUUGUUUUCUUCUCUUUGACUGCCAUCUUGAUCUGAUGGUAGCCGGAGAAAGCGUCUAGGAAGCACAAAGACUCACAACCCGUUGUAGAAUCUACUAUUUGAUCGAUACGGGGUACAGGGAAGGGGUCCUUAGGACAUGCACGGUUAAGAUCAGUAAAAUCUACACACAUGCGCAAUUUAUUUUCAGCUUUAGGGACUACAACAGGGUUUGCUAACCAAGUAGGCUACAACACUUUCCUGAUCGCUCCGGCGUUCUUGAGCUUCUGCACUUCCUGCUAGAUGAAGUCCUUGCGUUCUUGUGCUUACCGGCGAACCUUCUGCUUGACGGGCCGCGCGUCCGGCCGCACUGCCAGCCGAUGCUCGAUCAUGUCCCUAGGGACUCCGGGAAGAUCUGACGGCUCCCAAGCGAACACGUCAGAGUUCUCCCGGAGGAAGGCGACGAGGGUGCUUUCCUAUUUGUCGCCCAGGCUCGCACCAAUGGAGACGAUGCGUGCCUCGUUGCCGGCAUGCAGGGGCACCUUCUUGACCUUGGUGCCCUCCUCCUUUAGCUUCGUGCCCUUGCUUACGCGCGGGCUGGAGCUGGAGCUGCCCCCGGCAUCCUGCCUGGGAGCGGCCCGUGCAUUCUUCUGGGCGGGUUGUUCACCCGCAAGUGGAUCCUCGCUCCCGGCAACGUCGUAGUCGUUGGGAUCCGCACUGCGGAGGUCUUCACGACCUCACCCACGCACCAAGCAGCAUCCUUCAGGUUGCACUUGAUGGAGAGAACGUCGUAUGUUGACGGCAUCUUCAUCACGCCGUAGGCGCAAUGCGUUGCCGCCAUGAACUUGAUCAGCGUUGGCCGACCAAUGAUCCCGUUGUACGGCAACGGGGUGUGAGCCACAUCGAAAAUGAUGUGCUCAGUCCGGAACGGUUUCCGGGAACCGAAGGUCAUCGGGAGCGUGAUUCGCCCCAUGGGCUGCACCACUCCGGGAUUGAUCCCCUGGAACGGGUCGGUGGGCUUCAUCUGCUCCAGGGAGAGCUGAAGCUUUUCCACUAGCUUGGCGGACAGCAAGUUGAGGCUUUCCCCGCUGUCCCCUAGUACCUUGGUCACCGUCACGUUGUUUAUGAUCGGCGACACUACGAGGGGCAGGACCCCUUAACCCAAGGGACAGAUUUGGUCAUCGUCCGAGUUGAAGGUGAUCGGCACAUGCGACCACCUCAACGGCUGCUGCGCCUCCACGCUGGGGAGGAGGGCGCAGACCUCACACGUGAGCAGCUUCACGGCGGCGUGAGACGUGAGAGCAUAAGCUCCCCCGUGGAUGCAGGCGACGUCGCGAGGCUCCUGGAAGCCGGCUCGUCGGCGUCGUCAUCGCUUUAGACAUCCCCGUGCUGCUCAGCGCGAGGCUUGUCAUGUCCCCGGGGAGGCCGGUCCUUGCCACCGCAGGCCUAACAGCGACCCCCCACGGGUUCUCCUUUGUCGCCGCCGGCUGCGCCCCGGCCUGCUCCGCUGCGGGGGUUGUUCGGGCAGUCCCGGGAGAGGUGCUCGAUGUCUCCGCAGUUGAAGCAAGCCCCGGAAGCGUGGCGCUCCUCGUGGCGUUGCUCGCGCUUCUCCUUGACGGUCUGAAGAGUGCGGCAGUCCUGUGCGUCGUGGGUGGCGUUGGUGUGGAUGGGGCAGCGCGCGGCCACUGCCGGCUUGCUGCCCGAUGCUCCUGCCGACACUGCCUUCUUGGUGGGCCUCUGGGGAGUCCCCGGCUCCGCGGCAAGCACUUGCUUCCCGCCGCGUUUCCAGGAGCUCUUCUUCCCGGAGCCCUCUGGUGGGUUUGCCGCAGCUUUGGCGGCAAGCUCGGGCGGCAAGCGCCCUUGCUCGGCCAUCACGCACUUGUGCACGAGAGCGUAGAGAUCCCUUGUGCUCCAGAUCCGGUGCGUGUUGAGCUUCUCACGCAUCUUCGGGUCGCGGACGUUGAUGGCGUACGUGUUGAUGAUUGCGGCCGCUUCCGCCUCAGGGAUGGAGUAGGAGAGGUUGGAGAACCUGUUGGUGAAGUCCUGCAACGUCUCCCCGAUUUCUGCACGACCGUGUGCGGUUCCGCCAUGGUUCUCGGGCGCUUGUAGCCGCCCUGGAACGCGUUCACGAACUACUCGCGCGGGUCAGCCCAGCAGGCUAUGGACCCGGCGGGCAGGUUGAGCAACCAAGUCCUCGCUGAUCAUUUGAGGACCAUCGGGAAACAGUUGGCCCUGACCUUGUCGUCGAUGCCAAUGGCGUGCAUGCCCAACGUGUAGGUCAGGAGAAAAUCCUUGGGGUUCACGGUCCUGUCGUACGUCCCGAGCAUCGGCGCUUGGAACUUGUGGGGCCACGUCACCCGGCGCAGCUCGCGAGUAAACGCGGCGCAGCCGUCCUCGGCGCCUAUGGGAGCAUCCUCCUGCUCCUCUGGGCGCUGGCAUUCUGCCUCACGCCAGCACCGGCGCUCCAAGCACUGGCAGGGGUCUUCCUGCUGGUGAGCAUUCAAGACGCCUUGCGCGUCACCCCGUGUAAUGGUCGGUGACGAAUCCGAGGACCCCACGGGAUACUCGCCUCCUUUCCCUCCCAACGGGGGAGGGUGUUCUCCGUGGCCCGAGACGCGGGGCGCAUCUUCGCAUGCCGGAUCUGCCCUCGGCCUGAACCAGCCGGGGCGCCCUCGCCUUGCGGCUGUUGGGCGGCGAGUGCAAGGAGCGCGUCUAGCUCCGCACUCCAUGCUUCGUGCGCUGGUGUACCUUGCGGUGGCUCGUAGCGCACCAUGACACGCGCGGCUAUGAUGGCUUCCGCCGGGGUCUACCGAUGGCCGAGGAGGUGGAGGUGGCAGCUGCGACUGCUGCUGCUGCCGUGGAGAGGACCCCUGAUCCCCUUGUGCUUGUGACGCGCGCGCAGCGUCAUGGGACCGAGUGCGCAUGGCGAGAGUGUCGCGCAAGUCGACCCGGGGCUCGUCUGCCUUCUUAGGCGGCAUGGCGAGCUAGUCAUUGAAGAUGUCGUAGGCGAAGAAGCCGGUGUUGAUGACGAUGACGCCGGCGGUCACCUGAAGCUCUCUGCACGCCCCCCUACCUGGCGCGCCAGAUGUCGGAGCACGGUCUCCGGCACCCGGGAUGCCGAGCACCCCCUUUUCGGUUUGGAGGAGGGCGAGGGGAUCGCUCCGGCGAUCGCCGGCGUGGCGAUAGACACAAAGUGUAGACACAGAGUUUUACCCAGGUUUGGGCCACCCGGAGGGGUAAUACCCUACGUCCUACUUUGAGUUGUAUUCACAAGUUUGAGAGCGUACAGAUCACCCGGGGAGUUCCCGAGUUGGCUACUUAGGUGAACGCUAUGCUAUGUUCUACUCACUCGGGUUUGAACUGAGCUGAAUCCUUUAACCGAUGGCAUUGGUCCUCCUUUUAUAGACAAGGGGAUACCACAUGUGGCUAUGCAUGCAGGGUGACACGUUGCCUAGACGUGUGUCACAGCUAUAUGGAAUACACUUUUGCUCAUCCACGUGAGACGCCAUGCAGCUCCCGGUCCACUGUGCACGGUAGAAAAAAUGGUUCUCAAGGUAGCCGCUCUAGCCUUGCUACAAGGCUAGACCUGCUGAUAAGACUCCUGUCAGAGCAUUAAAUGCACUGUGCCCGCCGUUUUGUCCUGUCUUCACUGUUCUGUAGGUCCCGCUUGCAUGCCCGAGCGCGGGUUGCUGGGGUGCACCUUCCCCGCUAGCGCACCGGCUAGUUGCUGGGAGGCGUUCCUUCGGCUUCCCGGGACCAGGGUUCCCGGGAGCAUCUUGUACUCGUCCCUUAGCUUUAGCUUCACUAGGGGGCGUCUCCUCGAGGCAGGCUUCCCGGGCUCGUCGCUUCCCGGGAGUCCUUCCUGAUGGGGCUCCGUCACUGGCGACCCACGCGUCCCGUAUCAGUGGGACCCCGUGGGCCACUGGUACGACAGGCAUGAAUGUCGGGCAAAUAUAUCUCCAGCAUGUCAAUGCAAAGGGACAGGAGAAGAAAAGGUGAUCACUGGUUUCCAGCUGGAAUUGAUUGCAGAGGAUGCGGUUGUAAUCUUGCAAGUGGAAGUUCUUUUUCUGUAGCAUGGCCCGAGUGUUGAGUCUAUCAAUCAAAGGGAGCCACAUGAAGACCUUAUGUUUGAGCUGACAACAUGAUGACCAAUUCCAUUUGAGUGACAUGGGAAUUUCAAUGUGAGCAAUGAAGGAUUGGUAGAUAUUCACAGUAGAGUAACCAGGAUCAUUCCAUGGAUAUAGCCAUGUAUGUCGUUCAUCAGUUCUGUUCAUGUUUGUGCAAAGCAGAGUGAGUUCCAGGAAUUGUUGAUGAGCUCCAGCCGAAAGUGGCAGGUGGAAGAGAUCAGUGAGCUCUUGUUGAUUUGCAAUGUCCCAGUUGGUGGAGAACUGAUUGAUGACAAAUGAGUGCAGUGUGGCCAAGUGUGGGCAAGUGGAUUAUCCUUCCAUCUAUCCAGCCAAAAGAGAACUGUAUUCCCAACCUGAGCGUUGCAAUGUGCAAUUUCCUUGUAUUCAGGUAAUAGUUUCAACGUGUCUUUCCACCAAAAUGAUGCCUCAGGUGUAUUAUGUAUGGGCAGAUCAUGUGAAUAGUAUUGUUCCCAUACAAGGUUAACCCAUGGAAGAUUAACUCUAUUGUAAAAUUUAUGCAGAUUCUUCCUGAUCAGAGCUUUGUUUUGUAGUUCCAUGUUGAUGACCCCAAGUCCCCCUUCAUCUUUCGGCCUGCAAACCAUUUCCCAUGCUGCAAGUGGAGGGUUUUUCUUUGUAAGAUCUUGUCCCCGCCAGAGGCAGUGUCUUCUAUAUUUGUCAAUCUGUGUUAUCACUCCUUUAGGCAGGAUGAAUGUGCUCAUCUGGAAAGUGGGUAAAGCAGAAAGGAUAGGAUGAAUUGCAAUUUUCCUCCAUAUGAGAGCAUACCGGAGAAACAAGAAAGUCUGCUUUCAACUCUUUUGAUCAGAGGCAUGAAUUCCUCAAUCUUUGGCUUUGUAGUACCAAGUGGAAGGCCGAGAUAUGUGAAUGGUAAGGUGCCCAUUUGGCAUGCAAGAAUAUCAGCAAAGUACUGCCCCCUUUCAGUAGUCAUAUUAAGUGGGAUCAAGCUUGAUUUGUGAAAGUUAACUUUUAGUCCAGUGGAAGCAUGAAACUGUUAGAGGAUGUCUUGGAGAAUUUGGAGUUGGUUCUCAUCAGCCUUCAUGAUAAUCAGAGUGUCAUCAGCAUAUUGGAUGAUAGGGAAAUCUGGACAACCAGAUGAGUUGAUUUUGGCUUUCAAGAUGUCCCUGAUGCAUGGCUUCAUUAAGUGCAGUCUGAAGGAGGUCAGCAACAAUGACAAAUAUAAGAGGGGAUAGUGUGUCACCCUGUGUAACACCUCUCUUACAGUGAAUCAUUUUACUAGGAACACCAUUAAGAAGAAUUUGUGAGGUAGCAGAGUGUAGUAUGUUAUUGAUCCAUUGACACCAUUUAGUACCAAAUCCCAUAGCCUGCAUAAUCUGGAUGAUGGCCUUAUAUUCAACUUUAUCAAAUGCCUUCUCAAAAUCAAGCUUGAGAAGAAUUGUCUCUUCCUUGGAUUUAUGACAUGCAUGAAUGUACUCAAAUGCCCAAGCCAGGCAGUCUUGAAUAGUUCUGGUUUUAAUGAAUCCAUGUUGAUUGGGGUGAAUCAAUUGCAUGAUUAUAUUCUGGAGUCGGUUAGCAAGGAACUUGGUGAUGAGCUUGAGUGAGCAGUUGAGGAGUGAGAUGGGCCUGAAGUCAUUGACCUUGUCAGCAGCAUCAGUCUUAGGGAUGAGUGCAAUGUGGCAGGUGUUGAUGCAGGAUAAUGAUAGGAUGCCAUCAUGGAAUUGUUGACAGAGCUCAUAGAAAUCCUCUUUGAUGAUAGGCUAGCAUUUUCUGAUAAAGUUAGUGUUGAAUCCAUCAGGUUCACGGGAUUUGUUUGUUGGAAGGUUCUUAACCACCAUGUCAAUUUCUUCAUGAGUAAAUGGCUCUUCUAUGGAGGAGAGGUCAAUGUUCUGCUGGAAGAGAUCUUGUAAUGGAAAUGUGAGAUUCCGACCCUUAGUUGUUCCAAGUCUCUCUCUGAAUGCUUGCCAGAACAUAUUGGCUUUGAUAUCAUGAUCAUAUACAAGAGACUCAUCACUCUCUUCAGACAAGCAAUUUUGCUCUUCCUGUGCUGGAUUGUUGCAAGUGAGUGAAAAAACUUUGAGUUCUCUUCUCCAAAUUGAACCCAUUUAAUUUUUCAUUUUUGUUUCCAAUAUGUGCUCGUCAUUGGAGAAUGAUGAAAUAGACAUGAUGAUCAAUUGGUUUGAAAUGAAACGGCCGGAUACAUCGAUUGGCUGGCUGGCUAGCUAGAGAUGACAGAGAACGCCGAUGAUGAUAAUUCUUCUACUGCUUGAUCCAACAUUUGAAAAUGGGACUUGGAUUUAUCCAUAGCAGGCAUGCAGUCGCUGUUCUCCAAGUCAGUCAACACGCGGCCCCGCUGCUGCUGCUGCGCCCAGAAUUCAACACGGCAAAUUAACUACGAUCAUCAAUAAGAGGGAAAGAAAGCUAGUUACGACGAAGAAGCCGGUGGCCGUGUGGGUCUGUGGCCCAUAUAUACGUGUCGAACAUCAAAUUCUUGCGAGCAACGCUACACAUACGACAUGUCAUGUACGGUACGAUGCUUGCAGCUGCCUGCCCUAUGCAGUCAGUCCAAGCUGCCUCGCUGUUCUUGAUCAAUUACUUAGCAGAGAUGAGACUCUAGAGAAUCACUUGUGCAAUUAGGCAAUAGCAGAAGCAGGGGAGGAGGAGGACAAGGAGGCGGGGUCACGCGCGCAGUUGGGCUUCACGGCCCAAUAUUUAUUUCAUGGCCCGACAGUAGAUUCAUUCUUUCCUUACAGGUCGCGCUUAGGGUUGGGCUUCACGGCCCACAUUAGAUACCUAGCCGGUCUGGUCGGGGUGUGCAGCAGCUGGACCGGGGGGCCUUCUCCGACAGAGACCAUCGAGAAAGCUAUAUCUCCGGGAGACUCCCCUGAAAAAAAAAAUCUCCGGGAGACCAUAUAUUUCUCCGUUCCAUAUUAAGUGACUUACAUUCCCAAAUAUGGAUGUAUCUAUAACUAAAAAACGUAUAGAUACGUGUAAUAGAAAGUCAUUUAAUAUGGGACGGAGGGAGUAUAUCAACACAACCAUUGAUGCAUGUUAUUUAUGUUUUCUCUUCUCUAGUAUUACACAUGUCCUUAAGUACAAUCAAAUGCAAAGGUUUGAAGCUAAACGAUCUCGUCGUUACCAUGAUAAACACCAUUUACGGAUGCUGGUACCGUGUUUACGCUGCUCGUUCCGGUAGUCCACAGGUUUGAGGCCACCGGCGCCGCCAUGAGAUGCAGGAACGGGUUCACCGGCUCAUCAAUGUCCAUCUCGCCCUCGAGCAUCUUCACCACCGCGCUCAUCGGCGGCCUCGCCUCCGGCUGUUGCUGCACGCACCAGAAUGCCAUCUUGCACAUCCUCUCCGCCGUCUCCUCGUCCUGCUCGCCCACGAUCUCCAUAAGCACGCCGCUCUCGUACUUGAUCCAUGCCAUCUUGGGGAACCACUGUUGGCUCUCGGGCACGGCCUCGUCGAAGUUCCUCCUCCGGCCGAUGAUCUCAAACAAGAAGAUGCCAAAGCUAUACACGUCGCACUUUUCGGUGGCGCCGGCCUGCAUCCACAUCUCCGGUGCGGCGUACCCAGGGGUGCCACGCAUCCCGGACACGUCUUGUGUGUGUCGGCCCGGUUCAGCAGCCGUGCAAGCCCGAAGUCAGCCACCUUGGGUGUGAGGCUGCCAUCAAGGAGCACGUUGCCAGGCUUGAUGUCGUAGUGCACGAUCCUGCUGGCUCUCCUCGUGGAGGUACCGGAGGCCCCUCGCAACACCAACGGCAAUGGCACGCAGCGUCGGGAAGCCAACACCACGGUUCCGAUCAUUGAAGAGGUAGGCGUCGAGCGCGCCGUGCUCCAUGUACUCGUACACCAGCGCGCGCACGCCACCGGUAGUGGUGGCGUCGAAGCAGAAACCGAAAAGCCUAACGAGGUUUAUGUGGUGCGUCCUCCCGAUGGUGCCCACCUCCGCCAUGAACUGCUCCUGGGAGGUCCGGUCAUUGGAGGUGGCGUGGAGCCGCUUCACGGCGACCACAAGACCGUUGGGGAGCAUGCCCUUGUACACGGUGCCAACCCGCCGGCGCCGAGCCGGACCGAGUAGUUGUUGGUGAAGCCAGAGAGCUGCUCCGGGUGAACCUGAUGGGCUUCUCGCCGGCGAUCUCCUUGAGGAACCUCUCCACGGUGGCGUCCCGUAUCUGCGAGUCCGGCACCACCGCGUACAACGACGACGAGGCCGGCGCCGCGACAGCGCUGGUGGUGUUGAUGUUGAUGGCUGGGAGGCCAUUCUUCUUGACGUACCUGUACACGAAGUAAGCUAUGGCGAUGGAUCCCAGCAAGCCCAACACCCCAAAAACUGCAUGUCGAAAUUCAGGUAAAACACGCGUAAAACAAAACAGAAAAUUUUCUCCUGAAUUGAUUCUUGAACACGAUUUUAAUGGAUGGAACUGUGGAUUUGCUUGUACGCUCACCGACGCCGAUGACCGGCACGUUGGUCAUUCCGUUGUUGAGGUCUUUGAAGGCUUCGUUCAUAUCAGCCGGCGGCGGGAUAAAAACAGACAUUGCUGAUGAACUUUGUUUGUGAAAUGAAAGGGCCGGCUGGAUAUAUAUCGAUCGUUUAGCCAGAACGCCAAGGACGAUAGCUCUACUCGAUAGUUCUAACUUGUACUGAGUACUGUUUUAAAACGGGAACUGCAUUCAUAUUUAUAUAGGAGUAGUAGUACGUACUAUAGCAAGAUCCAUCCACGCACGUGUCGGUUCCAGGGGUUCGUGGCACCUACGCGACCCCGGAAAUGUACACCGGAUCACGGCCAACUGGCCAAGUAUUCAACACGGCAAAUUAACGAGGAUGCCGUGUGGCCCAUAUAUAUAUAUACGUGUCAAACACUCAAAUUCUUGCGACCCAUACGACAUGUCUUGUAGUACAAUGUUUGCACGAAACAGCUGCCCUGUGCAGUCAAUCCAAAGCUGCAUCGCGGUUGUACAACUCGAAGGAGAUUGCAGUCACACACACAGCCACGGAUGUACACAAAAGAGUUAAAUAAACAUACAAGAUUCCUCGAAAAAUAAAACAUACAAGAAAGAGUGAGGAGCUCUUUUUCUUUAUUACUCCCCCAAUCCAUAAGAAUACGUAGUACUCCCGAAGGAACGUUGACCGCUGACCAUCCUGAACGAAAUGGCUCUCCGUCUACGUCGAACAAUCAGGCAAUAGCACAAGGAGGAGACAGAUCCUUCCAAAAAAAAAGGAGGACGGGAAGGAGGCGGGGGAGGACAGAGGAGGAUCAAGUCACGCGCGUAGCUGGGCUAUUCCAUGGCCCGACAAUAGUGAUAGAUUCUUUCCUUAUGUGGGUCGUACUUAGGGUUGGGCCUCACGGCCCACGUUAGGUGCCCGGCCUGGUCCAAUCCGGUCCGGUCGAGGUGUGUGCAGCUGGACUUGGGCCCUUCUCCGACAGAGACCAUUCAGUUCGACGCGGACCGAGCUCUCAGAAGAAAAAAUGAAAGAGUUCGACGCGGAUCGAGAAAUUACUACGGAGUACUUCGCGGUCGCUGGAAGCCCCGAAAAGGAAGAAUGAAUGACGGCGUGGGUGACGUGGCGCGGCGAUCCGACGUGGCCCAAUAGCACCUGGCGGCGCCUUAUCCGAUGGCAAUCCGGCCUCAUCCCAACUCCAUCCACACGCUCACCACAAAUACUCUCGCGCUUUCCCGUCCCCACCAAAUCUCCUUCGUUUAACGCCUCAGCACACGCCCUGCCCAAGCUCUUCUUCCAGCCCAAAUCCCCAGCCAGCAGCAGCACAAGACAUCUAUCCAGCAAUGGCGUCCACCUCCUGCUUCCUCCACCAGUCCACCGCCCGCCUCGCCGCCUCCGCCCGCCCCUCCGCCGCCCGCACCCAGAUCCUCGUCUGCAAGGCCCAGCAGCACGACUCCUCCGACGCCGCCACCACCCGCCGCGCCGCCCUCUCCCUCCUCGCCGGCGCCGCCGCCGCCGCCUCCCUCAAGGUCUCCCCCGCCUCCGCCGCCUACGGCGAAGCCGGUACGUAACAGAGAUCUUACCCGCCGUUUGGUCCCAACAGAUCUCUCUCUAAUUUGGUUGAUUUCUCUGUAUGUGCAGCGAAUGUGUUUGGGAAGCAGAAGAGCACGGAGUUCGUGGCGUACAGCGGGGACGGGUUCAAGCUGAUGAUCCCGGCGAAAUGGAACCCGAGCAAGGAGCGGGAGUUCCCGGGGCAGGUGCUGCGCUACGAGGACAACUUCGACGCCACCAGCAACCUCUCCGUCAUGAUCACGCCCACACCCAAGAAGUCCAUCACCGACUACGGAUCGCCCGAGGAGUUCCUCUCCCAGGUCGGAUACCUCCUCGGCCAGCAGUCCUACGGCGGCAAGACCGACUCUGAGGUAGUACCCAUUUUCUUUCUACUUCUUUCUUCAAUCUUGAUCCAUUAGAGUGAGUGAGUGAGCGAGCGAGUUCGAUCUUAAUUGCAGGGUGGGUUUGAGUCGGACGCGGUGGCGACGGCGAACGUGCUGGAGAGCGCGGCGCCGGUGGUGGGGGGGAAGCAGUACUACAGCAUAACGGUGCUCACGAGGACGGCGGACGGGGACGAAGGGGGGAAGCACCAGCUCAUCACGGCCACCGUCGCCGACGGGAAGCUCUACGUCUGCAAGGCGCAGGCCGGGGACAAGAGGUGGUUCAAGGGCGCAAAGAAGUUCGUCGAGAACGCAGCCGGUUCAUUCAGCGUCGCUUAAAAGGAAUUCAUAUAUAUCCUGUUCGUACGUCGAAUUUGCUCAGGGAUGCACACCAUUUAAGUGUAGAAGAGAUAUGUCGAGCAUACUGUAAGAGUGUGUUUCUUUGAUUUGUACAUGAGAAGGUCAGAGGUCGAUUUAAUUCCCUCAAGGAUUUAUGCAUGCAUGUAUGGACAAUAAUGCUGCCUAAGAAAUCGUAGUUAUAAUAUGUUUCGGUUUUUGUACCUAGCUAACCAUGUCUGUAACUGCAGGUAAAUAACCAGCUAGGGAUCUAAAUUUUUGAUACAGGGGACGCAUAGGGAGCAAUGUCUGCUCCCUUGUCCUGCGGCGACGAGCUAAAGUUGCGGCCUUCAUGGAACUAAACUUGCCAGUUACCCGACGUUGAGUGACGGCUUCUAGAAACACCACAUAACGUUUAGUGGCGGCGGCUUUUUCAACCAAAACUAAUGUACCCUUUAGUGAGCCUUCAAUCACCGGUUUGAAAACAACCGGUCUGGAGUCACCAAUCUGAACAGAAAACACCUCUUACUUCUUCCUUUCUUCUCAUAAGUUGUGUUCUUUGUAUUGCUCUCACAAUGACAGUCACACCACUGGGGUUGUGGGGGCUAGGGUUUUCUUUUCUCUCUUCUACAAAGAGAGUAAUAUCAGCCGUUGGAUAGGGCUGAGAUCAACGGUUCACGUGAACUGGGCUUUUGGGUUUCAUUAGGCUGCAGCUCACCACCUCCAUAUCAAGGAAUCAGUCCAACACGUUUCUAUUGUACCCUUUAACUAUAGUGGAACUUAAUUUAGAGGGAAAAGUUCCUUUGGUUGGUGUGUUUCUUGGUGACACAUGCAACCUAUCAAAUGUGGACAGGAAUUGGCUUGCCAAUUUUUUUGUCAAAUUCCUCAACCCUUAUUUGUAUAUUAUUUGCAAGGAUUUGUGAAAGACAUGAAAGUGGUCUACGCUGUGGACCAAAAUUUUGACAACGCCGAACAAAAGCUAAAAAAUAUUGGUUGCUAAUUUUUUGGCAUGGCUAGCUUAGACACCAAUUAAACACACAUAAAACAAGGAGGUGAGUCGGGCCAGAACCGGCCGGCAAGCGAACCAACCUAGUAGAGGGAGAGGGAGCUGUCUAGCUAGCUGAUGAUGUCGCCUAGAGGGGGGGUGAAUAGACAUUUAAAACUUUUACAGAUUUGGCUCUUUAUAUCCUAAAUGCGGAAUUAAACUAGUCGGAUAUUUUCAAACACAAAUCCUAAAUAUGCUAGGCUCAACAAUAGUGCACCAACAAUAAAAGCUAAAGCAAGAUGAGCACUUAAUAAACAACAAGCUAGCACAACAUAUAAGAUAGCACAAAGCACAUGUAAAAUAAUAUAUGACUUCAAGCACGAUGGCUAUCACAAAUUAAAGCACAAGUGAAAGAACUCGGUUUAGGAAUACCGAGGCACGCGGAGACGGUGAUUUAUCCCGAUGUUCACUUCCUAAGAAGCUAAUCACCGUUGGAGAGGUGCGGGCACCACAAGAGGUAACCCCAAUAGCCGUGAAAGGGCACACCCAACUCCUUGAGCCUUUCACACCAAAGUAGGAGCUCAAUCACUAAGAUGGCUAGCUUCUUCCUCCACUCCGGAGAUGGCAAGCUCCACAACCAAUUCACAAAGCACCACAAAGGAGAACCUCGGGCCUCUUCACAAUCUCCACGAAGAGGUCACCGGGGCAACAACCACUAAGCCGUCUAGGAGGACCUCCAAGAGUAACAAGCUCACAGGCUCUCACUCGAACUAAUCAAGGUGGAGAGCUCAAAUCAAUGCACCAAAUGCAAAGCAAGAACACAGGAAAUUCUCAAAUCACUCUCUCCCAAAUCUCACCCAAAUCAACAAAUGGAUUGGAGAAAAUAGAGAGGAGGAACAAGGAGGAGAUCAACAAAUGAACCCUUCAAAUAGAUCUACAAACUCCCUUCAAAUGGAUGGAAGAUUUGGGGCUUGGGGGAGGUGGAGAAAGAUCUCAAAGAAUGGGGAUUUUCGGCUCUUGGAACCCUAGACCCGAUGGGGAAGAAGACCCCUAUUUAUAGGGCCCCCAAAAUCUGCCCGUUAGACACAGAUUUUGCGACCCGGAGGCAAUCCUGGAGGCUCCGGGAUUCAUUCCGGACCAAACCCGAAGCUACUGGACGCACCCGGAGGCAAUCCCGGAGGUUCCGGAGUUAAAUCCGGCUGCCCAAAACUACAGCACAACACACACGAAAACGGCGAUAACUUUUGCAAACGAACUCCGAUUUUGAUGAACUUGGUCUCGUUUCGAAGAAGACAACGAACUCUACAUUUUAACACAGAAAACCAGCAAAGGUCAACCAAAAGAGAUGAUGCAAAAUAUGCAAGGUUUGAGCACUCUACGCACGACGUGUUCAAGUUACCGCCCGGAAGCCCCUCUUGAUAGAAUGGCUAUCGAAACUAUAAACCGGUCUCCCACCAAACUCCUUGAGACCGGUAAAACUAGGAAAACCUAGCUAGAAUAUACCUUUGCCUUGAGCAAUCCACUUUAGGUUGAUGUAGGCGUCAAUGCUCGUCUCAAGUUUGAAUCCAUCGCUUGAUCAUGGUCACUUGGUGAAGAUACUCAAUUUGCUCCCCAAUACUCCAAUGUGGGAAAUCUUCACUUUAAGCUCAUCUUUACAUGUCCAUUAUCACCAAAUGGAUGGCAAGAUUCAAGCAUAUAUCUGUUGGAAAUAUGCCCUAGAGGCAAUAAUAAAUUUGUUAUUAUCAUAUUUCAUUGUUCUUGAUAAAUGUUUAUUGCAUAUGCUAUAAUUGUAUUGAUUGGAAACUCAAAUACAUGUGUGGAUAAAUAAACAAAUACCGUGUCCCUAAUACGCCUCUACUAGAUUAGCUCGUUGAUUAAAGAUGGUUAAGGUUUCCUAACCAUAGACAUGUGUUGUCAUUUAAUAACGAGGUCAUAUCAUUAGGAGAAUGAUGUGAUGGACAGACCCAAACCUAAACAUAGCUUUUGAUCGUGUCACUUAAGUUUAAGUUGCUUAUGUUUUAUUAUGUCAAGUAUUAUUUCUUUAGACCAUGAGAUCAUGCCACUCCCUAGUACCGGAAGAAUACUUUGUGGGCAUCAACCGUCAUCUCGUAACUGGGUGAUCAUAAAGGUGUUUUUCAGGUAUCCCAGAAGGUGCUUGUUGGGUUGUAUGGAUCAAGACUGGGAUUUGUCACUCCUUGUGACGGAGAGAUAUCUCUGGGCCCUCUCGGUAAUAUAACAUCCUAAUGAGCUUGCAAGCAUGUGACUAAUGUGUUUAGUUGCGGGGGUAUUAUAUUACGGAACGAGUAAAGAGAACUUGCCGAUAACGAGAUUAAACUAGGUAUGGCGAUACCGACGAUCAAAUCUCGGGCAAGUAAUAUAUCGCGAGACAAAGAGAAUUGGAUACUGGAUUAAUUGAAUCCUCGACAUAGUGGUUCAACCGAUGAGAUCUUCGUGGAAUAUGUGGGAACUAUUAUGGACAUCCAGGUCCCGCUAUUGGUUAUUGAUAUUUGAUCAUGUCCACAUGUUCUCGAACCCGUAGGGUCACACACUUAACGUUUCAUGUUGCUUGGGUUAGAUGAGAUAAAUGAUGAUGAUAUCGAAUUAUGAUUCGGAGUCUUGGAUGGGAUCCUAGACGCAACGAGGAGCUCCGGAAUGUUCCGGAGAUAAAGAUUUAUAUAUGGAAAGUUGUUUUCAGGGUUCUGGAAAGUUUGGAAUAUUUCCCGGUUUUGACCGGGAAGCUUCUAGAAGGUUCCGGAGGGAUCCGGAGGGUUCCACCUUGAGGCCCACCUAUCCCUGGGCUAAAUGGGCCUGUGAGGGAGCACCCUGGCCUUAAUGGGCCGAGGGGCUAGCCCACAGGGCCCAUGCGGCCAGGAGGAGAGUCCUGGCCGCGGGAGAGUCCUGGCCGCAUGAGAGUCCUGGCCGCCGGAGAGUCCUGGCCGCGGGAUAGUCCUGGCCGGCCACGCCUCCUCUACCCCUAUAUAAAUAGAAGGGGGGGCAAGGGAGAGAGACACCCCAAGCUUUCAGUUGGAUCUCUCUCCCCUGAGCCCUCCUCUCCUCCUCUUCUCACGCGCACGGCGUAGCCCUGCCCGUGAGAAUAUUCACCAUAGUCACCAUGCCGUCGUGCUGUCGGGAUCUCGUCUACCUCUCCCUCUCGCUUGCUGGAUCGAGGAAGGAGGAGAUAACGUGAAGCUGAACGUGUGGAUACCAAGGAGGUGCUGUCCGUUCGGCACUGAGAUUGAUCUCAUUGAAAGUUCCACUACACCAACAACGAUCUCGUGAUCGUAACGCUUAGCGGUCUACGAGGGUAUGGUGUUCAUGAUCCCUCUCGUUACAUACAUCUAGUAUAUAUAUUCUUGGGUUUCUUCCGCACUUCUCGUAGGAAAAUUUUUGUUUCCUAUGCAACGAACCCAUCAGUGGUAUCAGAGCUAGAUCUAUGCGUAGAUGUUUUGUACGAGUAGAACACAAUUUAGUUGUGGGCGUUGAUGUUCAUAUUGCUACCUCCUUUGUGCACUAUCGGAUUUUGCGGGAUAGUGGGAUGAAGCGGUUCGGACCAACCUUACUUGUCUUCGCACAAGAGACCGGUUCCGCAAUUAACAUGCAACUUGUAUUGCAUAAGGCGGCUGGCGGGUGUCUGUCUCUCCCACUAUAGUUGAAAUCUGAUUUGCAAUGGGAGGCCUAUAUGGUUAAUAAGCAAUUUGUAUAUCACCGUUGUGGCUUUUGCGUAAGUAAGAACGGUUCUUUUAGUGCAGCCCCUAAAGCCACGUAAAACAUGCAACAACAAAGUAGAAGCGUCUAACUUGUUUUUGCAGGGGCAUGUGAUGUGGUAUGGCCAAGAUAUGAUAUAAUAUAUUUGAUGUAUGAGAUGAUCAUGUUUUGUAAUAUUUCACGACUUGCAUGUCGAUGAGUUUGGCAACCGGCAGGAGCCGUAUGGUUGUCUCAUUAAUUAUUGUAUGACCUUCGUGUCAAUGAUUUAAUCGCCAUGUAAUUGCUUUACUUUAUCGCUAGUAGUAGCAAUAGUCGUAGUAGUAAUAGUUGGUGGAGGCAACUAUACAUGACGCCCGAGGACCUAGGCGCCAUGCUGGUGAUGAUGGAGAUCAUGCCCGUGCUUUGGAGAUGGAGAUCAAAGGCACACGAAGAGAAGGCCAUAUCAUGUCACAUUAUUUAUGCAUGUGAUGUUUAUCCCUUUUAUGCAUCUUAUUUUGCUUAGUUGACGGUAGCAUUAUAAGAUGAUCCCUCAUUGUUAAUAUCAAGAUAAUAAUGUGUUCUCCCUUAGUAUGCACCGUUGCAAAAGUUCGUCGUUUUGAAGCACCACGUGAUGAUCGGGUGUUAUAAACUCUACGUUCGCAUACAACGGGUGUAAGCCAGUUUUACACAUGCAGGAAUACUUUGGUUAACUUGACGAGCCUAGCAUGUACAGACAUGGCCUCGGAACACAAGGAACCGAAAGGUUAAACAUGAGUCAUAUGAAUGAUGUGAUCAACAUGCUGAUGUUUACCAUUGAAGCUACUCCAUCUCACGUGAUGAUCGGACUUGGUGUAGUGGAUUUGGAUCAUGUGUCACUAAACAACCCGAGGGAUGUUGAUUUUAGUGGGAGUUCAUUAGUAAUUUGAUUAGCUUGAACUUAUUAUCAUGAACUUAGUCUAAUUGCCUUUGCAAAUAUACUGUAGAUCAAUGGCUCGUACUACGUUCAAUAUGAAUACUCUCCUAGAGAAAGAUAAACUGAAGUCCAAUGGAAGCAACUUUACGGACUGGUUCCGGAAUGUGAGGAUUAUCCUCGAAGCUGCCAAAAAGGCUUAUGUUUUUGAUGCAGCGCUUGGUGCAGAACCCGCAACAACUGAGUCUGCUGACGUUAGGAACGUUUGGCUGACUCAAUCUGAGGACCACAAUGUAGUUAGGUGCGGCCUCUUGCUUGGUAUGGAACCUGAGCUCCAAAAGCGUUUUGAGCACCACUCGGCAUAUGCUAUGAUUGGGGAACUGAAUACUUUAUUUCAGACCCAAGCCCGUGCGGAGAGGUAUGAUGCCUCCGAAAGGUUCUUUAACUGCAAGAUGGAGGAGAACAGCUCCGUUAGCGAGCACGUGCUCAGAAUGUCUGGGUACGCCGACCGCCUGAGACAACUGGGAAUUGAGAUUCCUAAUGAAUUAGGCAUUGACCGGGUUCUUCAGUCACUACCACCUAGCUAUAAAAGUUUUGUGGUGAACUACAAUAUGCAAGGGAUGGAUAGGACACUUCCUCAGCUCCUCGCGAUGUUAAAAACUGCAGAGAUGGAAAUCAAAAAGGAGCAUCAAGUGUUGAUGGUCAAUAAGACCACCAGUUUCAAGAAGGCAAAGGGUAAGAAGGGAAAUUUCAAGAAGGGUGGCAAAACUGUUGCCACUCCCGCGAAGAAGCCCAAAUCUGGACCUAAGCCGGAUACUGAGUGCUUCUACUGCAAGGGAACUGGCCACUGGAAGCGUAACUGCCCCAAGUACUUGGCAGAUAAGAAGGCUGGCAACGUCAAAGGUAUAUUUGAUAUACAUGUUAUUGAUGUGUACCUUACUAGUACUCGUAGUAGCACCUGGGUAUUUGAUACUGGUUCAGUUGCUCACAUUUGUAACUCGAAACAGGAGCUACAGAAUAAACGAAGACUAGCAAGAGAUGAGGUGACUAUGCGCGUCGGGAAUGGAUCAAAAGUUGAUGUGAUCGCCGUCGGCACGCUCCCUCUACAUUUAUCUUCGGGAUUAGUUUUAAACCUUAGUAAUUGUUAUUUGGUGCCUGCGUUGAGCAUGAACAUUAUAUCAGGAUCUUGUUUAAUGCAAGACGGUUAUUCAUUUAAAUCAGAGAAUAAUGGUUGUUCGAUUUAUAUGAGUAAUAUCUUUUAUGGUCAUGCACCACUUGUGAAUGGUUUAUUUCUAUUAAGUCUCGAUAGUAGUGACACACAUAUUCAUAAUGUUAAUGCCAAAAGGUGCAAAGUGGAUAAUGAUAGUUCAACAUAUUUGUGGCACUGCCGUCUAGGUCAUAUUGGUAUAAAACGCAUGAAGAAACUCCAUUCUGAUGGACUACUUGAAUCACUUGAUUUUGAAUCAUUUGAUACAUGUGAACCAUGCCUCAUGGGUAAGAUGACUAGAAUCCCGUUUUCAGGCUUAAUGGAACGGGCCAGUGACUUGUUGGAGAUCAUACAUACUGAUGUGUGCGGACCAAUGAGUGUUACAACGUGCGGUGGAUAUCGUUACUUCCUAACCUUCACAGAUGAGUUGAGUAGAUAUGGGUAUAUUUACUUAAUGAAAAACAAGUCUGAGACAUUUGAGAAAUUCAAGGAAUUUCAGAAUGAAGUGGAGAAUCAUCGUAACAAGAAAAUUAAAUUUCUACGAUCGGAUCGUGGAGGUGAAUAUUUGAGUUACGAGUUUGGCACGCAUUUAAGACAAUGUGGAAUUGUUUCACAACUUACGCCGCCUGGAAUACCACAACGCAAUGGUGUGUCCGAACGUCGUAAUCGUACUUUAUUGGAUAUGGUACGGUCUAUGAUGUCUCUUACUGAUUUGCCACUGUCGUUUUGGGGUUAUGCAUUAGAGACAGCCGCAUUCACUUUAAAUAGGGCACCAUCUAAAUCCGUUGAAACGACACCGUAUGAAUUAUGGUUUGGCAAGAAACCUAAGCUGUCCUUUCUUAAAGUUUGGGGAUGCGAAGCUUAUGUAAAAAGGCUACAACCUGAUAAGCUCGAACCCAAGUCGGAAAAAUGCGUCUUCAUAGGAUACCCUAAAGAAACAAUUGGGUACACCUUCUAUCACAGAUCCGAAGGAAAAGUGUUUGUCGCUAAGAACGGGUCCUUUCUAGAGAAGGAGUUUCUCUCGAAAGAAGUGAGUGGGAGGAAGGUAGAGCUCGAUGAGGUUAUUGAACCUUCUCUCGAAUUUGAGUGUAGCGCAGCACCAGAAACUGUUCCCGUGCAUCCUGCAUCAGCUAGAGAGGAAGCUAAUGAUAAUGAUCAUGAAGUUUUGAAUGAGACAACUACUGAACUUCACAGGUCGACGAGAACACGUAAUACUCCUGAGUGGUACAAUGUUCGUGUCAUGAAUGUCAUGUUGUUGGACAACGAUGAACCUGCGAAUUAUGAGGAAGCAAUGAUGAGCCCAGACUCCGAAAAAUGGUUAGAAGCCAUGAAAUCCGAAAUGGGAUCCAUGUAUGAAAACCAAGUAUGGACUUUGGUAGACUUACCGAAUGACCGAAAGGCCGUUGAGAACAAAUGGAUUUUCAAGAAGAAAACAGAUGCUGAUGGAAAUGUUACCGUCUAUAAAGCUCGACUUGUCGCAAAAGGUUUUCGACAAAUUCAAGGAGUUGACUACGAUGAGACUUUCUCACCCGUAGCGAUGCUAAAGUCUGUUCGGAUUAUGUUAGCAAUUGCUGCAUUUUUCGAUUACGAAAUUUGGCAGAUGGAUGUCAAAACCGCGUUCCUUAAUGGUCACAUUGAGGAAGAGUUAUACAUGGUUCAGCCCAAAGGUUUUGUCGAUCCUAAGGAUGCUAAUAAGGUAUGCAAACUUCAGCGUUCCAUUUAUGGGCUCAAGCAAGCAUCUCGGAGUUUGAAUCUCCGUUUUGAUAAGGUGAUCAAAGGGUUUGGAUUUGUCCAAACUCACGGAGAAGCUUGUAUUUACAAGAAAGUGAGUGGGAGCUCUGUAGCAUUUCUAAUACUGUAUGUGGAUGACAUAUUGCUGAUUGGGAAUGAUAUAGAAUUUCUUAAAAGUGUUAAAGGCUAUUUGAAUAAAAGUUUUUCAAUGAAAGACCUUGGUGAAGCAGCUUACAUAUUAGGCAUCAAGAUUUAUAGAGAUAGAUCAAGACGCCUGAUAGGACUUACACAAAGUACAUACCUUGACAAAGUUUUGAAAAGGUUCAAAAUGGAUCAAGCAAAGAAAGGGUUCUUGCCCAUGUUGCAAGGUAAGACAUUGAGUAAGACUCAGUGUCCAGCUUCGGCAGAAGAUAGAGAAAAGAUGAAUAGUAUCCCCUAUGCCUCAGCCAUAGGCUCUAUUAUGUAUGCCAUGCUGUGUACUAGACCAGACGUGUGUCAUGCUGUUAGUUUGACUAGCAGGUACCAAAGUGAUCCAGGAGUGGAACACUGGACAGCAGUUAAGAAUAUCCUUAAGUACCUAAAAAGGACUAAAGAAAUGUUUCUCGUUUAUGGAGGUGACGAACAGCUCGUCGUAAAGGGUUACGUCGAUGCUAGUUUUGACACUGAUCCGGAUGACUCUAAGUCUCAAUCCGGAUACGUAUUUAUUUUGAAUGGUGGUGCAGUUAGCUGGAGGAGUUCCAAGCAGAGCGUUGUGGCAGCAUCAACAACUGAAGCGGAAUAUGUGGCUGCUUCAGAAGCGGCACAGGAAGGAGUUUGGAUGAAGGAGUUCAUAUCUGAACUUGGUGUGGUUCCGAGUGCGUUGGAUCCCAUGGACAUCUAUUGUGAAAACACUGGUGCCAUAGCCAACGCCAAGGAGCCGAGGUCUCACAAGAAUUCCAAGCAUAUUAAACGCCGGUUUCACACUAUUCGUGAAUAUGUCAAGGAUGGUGACAUAAAGAUUUGCAAAGUACAUACGGAUCUGAAUGUCGCAGACCCGUUGACUAAACCUCUUCCACGAGCAAAACAUGAUCAACACCAAGACUCCAUGGGUGUUAGAUUUAUUACAAUGUAAACUAGAUUAUUGACUCUAGUGCAAGUGGGAGACUGUUGGAAAUAUGCCCUAGAGGCAAUAAUAAAUUUGUUAUUAUCAUAUUUCAUUGUUCUUGAUAAAUGUUUAUUGCCCAUGCUAUAAUUGUAUUGAUUGGAAACUCAAAUACAUGUGUGGAUAAAUAAACAAAUACCGUGUCCCUAAUACGCCUCUACUAGAUUAGCUCGUUGAUUAAAGAUGGUUAAGGUUUCCUAACCAUAGACAUGUGUUGUCAUUUAAUAACGAGGUCAUAUCAUUAGGAGAAUGAUGUGAUGGACAGACCCAAACCUAAACAUAGCUUUUGAUCGUGUCACUUAAGUUUAAGUUGCUUAUGUUUUAUUAUGUCAAGUAUUAUUUCUUUAGACCAUGAGAUCAUGCCACUCCCUAGUACCGGAAGAAUACUUUGUGGGCAUCAACCGUCAUCUCGUAACUGGGUGAUCAUAAAGGUGUUUUUCAGGUAUCCCAGAAGGUGCUUGUUGGGUUGUAUGGAUCAAGACUGGGAUUUGUCACUCCUUGUGACGGAGAGAUAUCUCUGGGCCCUCUCGGUAAUAUAACAUCCUAAUGAGCUUGCAAGCAUGUGACUAAUGUGUUUAGUUGCGGGGGUAUUAUAUUACGGAACGAGUAAAGAGAACUUGCCGAUAACGAGAUUAAACUAGGUAUGGCGAUACCGACGAUCAAAUCUCGGGCAAGUAAUAUAUCGCGAGACAAAGAGAAUUGGAUACUGGAUUAAUUGAAUCCUCGACAUAGUGGUUCAACCGAUGAGAUCUUCGUGGAAUAUGUGGGAACUAUUAUGGACAUCCAGGUCCCGCUAUUGGUUAUUGAUAUUUGAUCAUGUCCACAUGUUCUCGAACCCGUAGGGUCACACACUUAACGUUUCAUGUUGCUUGGGUUAGAUGAGAUAAAUGAUGAUGAUAUCGAAUUAUGAUUCGGAGUCUUGGAUGGGAUCCUAGACGCAACGAGGAGCUCCGGAAUGUUCCGGAGAUAAAGAUUUAUAUAUGGAAAGUUGUUUUCAGGGUUCUGGAAAGUUUGGAAUAUUUCCCGGUUUUGACCGGGAAGCUUCUAGAAGGUUCCGGAGGGAUCCGGAGGGUUCCACCUUGAGGCCCACCUAUCCCUGGGCUAAAUGGGCCUGUGAGGGAGCACCCUGGCCUUAAUGGGCCGAGGGGCUAGCCCACAGGGCCCAUGCGGCCAGGAGGAGAGUCCUGGCCGCGGGAGAGUCCUGGCCGCAUGAGAGUCCUGGCCGCCGGAGAGUCCUGGCCGCGGGAUAGUCCUGGCCGGCCACGCCUCCUCUACCCCUAUAUAAAUAGAAGGGGGGGCAAGGGAGAGAGACACCCCAAGCUUUCAGUUGGAUCUCUCUCCCCUGAGCCCUCCUCUCCUCCUCUUCUCACGCGCACGGCGUAGCCCUGCCCGUGAGAAUAUUCACCAUAGUCACCACGCCGUCGUGCUGCCGGGAUCUCGUCUACCUCUCCCUCUCGCUUGCUGGAUCGAGGAAGGAGGAGAUAACGUGAAGCUGAACGUGUGGAUACCAAGGAGGUGCUGUCCGUUCGGCACUGAGAUUGAUCUCAUUGAAAGUUCCACUACACCAACAACGAUCUCGUGAUCGUAACGCUUAGCGGUCUACGAGGGUAUGGUGUUCAUGAUCCCUCUCGUUACAUACAUCUAGUAUAUAUAUUCUUGGGUUUCUUCCGCACUUCUCGUAGGAAAAUUUUUGUUUCCUAUGCAACGAACCCAUCAAUAUCUUCUCGGGAUACUUAUAUUGAGCUUGCCCUUUGUCAAUCUUGAAGUCCGUCUCCAUAUGGGCUAUAUAAGAUUGUUUCUUUAAACCUCACCCAUAUGUAUCACCUAAUCCUCAACCAAAUAACAUAGACAUAAUAUUGGUUAGUCUAUAAGUGUAAUAUACAAUUGCUUACCAUAUGAUUCAUGUAUAUAAUCCUCGGAGUGCUUUUCUUGAACUUGCUCUUCUCAACCACUAGAUCACACCCCAUCAUUUAUGCUUGUGUGUUGACCAAUAACUUGAAUCCGCUCUUUGCACUUCAUUUCGGUCAACCUUCAUAUUUGCUUCACUUUCCAUCUUUAUGAUAUCUUCAAGCCAAUAAUGAACUCUUCACUUAACCUUCAUUGCUUCAAGACUUAAUCACCAAAUGCACUCUCAUGACCAUACAUGGGAUUCACCAUGAAUAUCACUUUGGUCUUCUUUAUUCUCUAUCGCAAUAUCUUGAGACACAUAAUGGAUUAUUCACUUGAGUUCUUGCUCCAUAACCUUGUCAUGAAGCCAUAUCUUGAAUCCUUAUCUUGUAAUCAUUAUCUCAAGAUCUUAAUCUUCAUGAGAAACUUCACUUUCUUCUUCUUGAUAAUAUUUGAUUCGCCCAUUGAAACCCAAUAACUUCAUACCUUCAAUUCAAUAUACGUUUCUUACUAGCAUUCCUUGAAUUAAAGCUCAAUGCAAACAACUUAUGCAAAAGGAUUGUCAUCGGAUACCAAAACCACACAUCCAAUUGUUAACAACUCAAUAUAUAUCUUUAUCUUCAUAACAUUUAUAAUUGAAUUAACCAAGUGAUCUUCGUUCAUUGCCUAUGAAACAUUCCUUCAAAUAUAUCUCAACUAAAACAUUAGUCCAUAGGGAUUGUCAUUAAUUACCAAAACCACACAUGGGGCAACAUGCACUUUCACCUGUGUCUUGUCACUUGUUACUAGAAAAAUGGAUUUAAUGAUCACACGGACACGGUAAAAUUAGUCGCACCCGUGGCGAAAGUGAAGGAAAGAUAGUUCUUUGUGAGGUGUUGCAGGGAAAGAGAAGUACUUCAGGAGCGGCAAGAGAACACACAUACUCCAUGGUAUCUAGCGUCAGUACUGCCUCUCAUCUUCUUCCUUGUUUCCUUGCUUCGGUAGCAGCUGGUUGAUCAGACGAGAUGUUCGAAGGCGGCGACACUGGUGCGCGGCAGACACAGCCCACGAUGGGCUAUUCCGAUCGGUCUCUGAAUAUGAUACAAGCUAUAAACGAUUCCAUGUUUGUUGAAUUUCUUUAAUCUUGUGCUACACAACGCUCGGCGUCGUCAUCGUCGUGGUGCUAGGCGCAUUCGUCGUGGCGGCUAUCUUUUACAUGCAUAGAUGUGCAAACUUGUGUUCCAAGAGAUCGCGCUUCGCGGGCGGGUCAACGGUGGCGGCAGUGGUGGCGACGACGACGACGAUGCAAGACUACAUGGUGGUGCCCUUGUGCCGUGAUUCAGGAACACCUAUUGAUUUCUGAUCGGCCAACCAAUCCUUGCAGAACUCGAUGCACUCUUCUGCCCUAAAGCCUUCCACGAUGCUACCUUCCGCACGCGAUCUGUUACGAACGUAGCGCUUCAUAACCUCGUUGUAUCGUUCAGGGCCAUACAUGUUAUGCAGGAACGAGGGCCCUAGGGACAAGAUCUCAUCACAUAUGUGGAUCAUUAGAUGGACCAUGAUAUCGAAGAAUGAUGGAGGGAAGAACAUCUCGAGUUCGCACAAAAUCUGUAUCAUACUAUCCUGCAGUAUCUGGCAUCGUCUAACGGUGAUUGACUUCCGCGAGAUGCUGUCAAAGAAGUCAGAAAUCUUCUCCUUCGGUGCUGUCCCGUGCUCCGUCUUCCCAUUGAACCUUUCCUUGUCAUCCCUCCAAGGGUCUUUAGCAUCCAACCAUUUUCGGUGGCCCAUGUAAACAAUUUUGGAUGAAGCGGGCAACUUCUCUAAUGUCGUGUUUUCCCCGCACUUUGUACAGGCCUUGUAGUCAUGUGUCACCUGGCAUGAAGUAUUUUCAUUCGCGGGGUAGUCAUGCACGCAGGUCAAAAGCGCUGCUCUCAUCGUGAAGUACUCCCUCCUGUUUGCGUCCCAAACCACUCUGCCAGGGUUCCAAAGCUGCUUCAGCUCAUCCUUCACUAGCUGCAGAUACACAUUUAUGUCAGCUCCUGGCUGCUUUGGACCCUGUAUGAGCAUGCACAUGUGGAUGUAUUUUCUCUUCAUGAUUAACCAUGGAGGAAGGUUGUAAACAAACAAGAUCACUGGCCAUGUGUUGUGCUUGUUGUUCAUGUUUCUGAAAGGAUUUAUCCCGUCAGUGUCGAGACCGACCUCAGGUUUCUGGGCACUACCCCAAAAUCUGGAAAUGCCGUGUCGAAGUUCCUCCACUGAGUCCCAUCGGCGGGGUGUCUGAGGACCUCAGCUUCCUCCACACGGUAGUGCUCGUCAAGAUCGAAUGCUGCCUGCGCCGGAUCAUGAUGGACGAGAUACCUCGCGUCCUUAAUGUUCUGCAUCCAACGCUCAACUCGGCCACCUGCUGUAAGAUACCAGACAGUCUUUGCCGGCCUCCCUUCAUCACUUCUUCCCCAUCGUCUUCGCCAGUUCUGGCGUUUCUCUUCUUGUAUCUCGAUGCACCGCAUAUGUGGCAGCUCUCAUGGUUCUCGUACUCUCCAAUGUAUACCAUGCAGUCGUUUGGACAUGAAUGAUGUUUCACGCAAUCUAAUCCAAGCGGGCAUGUAAUCUUCUUCGCCUCGUAUGUGCUAUUGGGCAACUUGUUUGGCUGUGGAAAAACCGAAAGCAAGGUAACUCAACAAGUCCGUGAAGCCCUUGUCUGACCAGCAUGAUGCUGCCUUCAGCCUCAAAAAUUCGAGCGUUACUUUGAGCACUUGUUUUCUUCGCCAGCUCCAUCAUACAAGGGUGUGUUUGCGUCCUCCAACAAUUUUUUGAACUGAGCAGACUCUGCCUCAUAUCGGGGUCCUCCAGCUGGUCCCGUAGGUACGGGUCAUCUAGCAUUUCGGCAAUCCUGCCACAUGGAGCUCCUUCACCUUCCACAUUAGCCUCCUCAUCGACCCUUGUUUCUUUCUCAGAAUCAUUCGCCAAAUCAUACCGCAGGACAUUAUCAUCUUCGCUAACGCUACCGACAUCAACCGCAUCCUCCUCGUGACAAGUCCAGCGUGAAUAACCUUCCACAAAACCCGAUACUAGCACGUGCAUCUGAACAUCUUCAGGCUUCAUCAUGCAUGUGUUUUCACAUUUGUGACAUUUACAACACAUCAUCACAAGUCCUUUUCGUUCCAUAUCACCUUUCGCGACUCCAAAAAAGACUGUCCAUUCGGUUAUCCAUCGAGCAUUGAUUCUUUUCGUGGCGUACAUCCAAGAACGGUCCUUUGAUCUACAACACAAUACACAAGAAAACACAAAGCUAAAUAGUUAGCCUAAUAAUUAACAAGGGGAUUAAGGUGUUAAUUAACUGAGGCUAACUAAAAAUUUGAAAUUAGGGACAUCGGAGAGAAAUUGGAGGCCGGCGAGAAAGAUCGGGAGGGAGAGAGAGCUCGCAAGGGAGAGGGAAGCUCCGGGCGACGAUGAGGAGGCCGCAUUUUGGCCGGCGGCCGGAGCUCAAAAAUUUGAAAUUGGGGAACUUCGGAGAGAAAUUGGAGGCCGGCGAGAUAGAUCGGGAGGGAGAGAGAGCGCGAAAGGGAGAGGGAAGCUUCAGGCUCGAAGAUUGGAGCUCGCCGGCCAUGGCCGCCGCCGGCCAUGGAGAUGGGGGGCGCCGGCGGGGGGAGAGAGGAGGAAGGGAGAGGGAGGAGGAGGGGCUACCUGCUAGGCUCGCUGGCGGCCAUGGCGGAUUCAGGCAGAGCUCCGCCGUCGCCGGAGAAGAAGGGGCUGCAGCUGGUCCGUUACGACGCGCCGCGCGACCAGCUGCGGCUCUGCCCCGCGUACUUAAACCGCGACGAUCAUCAGUGUCGGUCGGGACUUGGGCGAGACAUCAAUAACGGUUGGGACGAGAGUGACCGUUACUGAUAUGUACCACACAUCAGUGGCGAGCACGAUAGGGCGACCGUUACUGAUGUGUGGUUCAUCAGUAACGGUCGUCUCUUAAUCGACCGCCACUGAUGCAUCUCACAAGGAAUGAUGGUACAUCAGUGGCGGUCGCCUCGCGCGACCGUCACUGAUGUAUGGCUGGGCGGGGACGAGCAGACCCUGCUCUGUUCAUCAGUAACGGUCGCGCCGGACCCGUUACUGAUGUGCCGUGAGAUAUAGACUGUUUUGUAGUAGUGCAGCCCACGAUGGGCUAUUCCGAUCGGUCUCUGAAUAUGAUACAAGCUAGGAACGAUUCCAUGUUUGUUGAAUUUCUUUAAUUCUCUUGUGCUACGCAGCGCUCGACGUCGUCAUGGUCGUGGUGCUGGGCGCAUUCGUCGUGGCGGCUAUCUUUUACAUGUAUAGAUGUGCAAAGUCGUGUUCCAAGAGAUCGCGCUUCGCGGGCGGGUCAACGGUGGCGGUGGCGGCAGUGGUGGCGACGACGACGACAAUGCAAGACUACAUGGUGGUGCCGGACCACAUGAUGAAACACACCACCGUCGAGAGGUUCCUCGGGGAGAUUGCCGGCGAGAGACCCGUCCGGUUCACUCCGGAGCAGCUCUCGGGGUUCACGCAUAACUACUCGGCCAGGCUCGGCACCGGCGGGUUCGGCGCCGUGUACAAGGGCAUGCUCCCUAACGGCCUCCUUGUUGCCGUGAAGCGCCUCCAUGCCACCCACGACGAGAAGACCUCCCAAGGGCAGUUCAUGGCAGACGUGGGAACUAUCGGGAGGACCCACCACAUCAACCUCGUCAGGCUCUUGGGCUUCUGCUUCGGUGAUGCUGUUCUCGCCCUCGUGUACGAGUACAUGGACAACGGCGCGCUCGACGCCUACCUCUUCGACCAGGGUCAUGUUGUGAGCCUCCCUAAGCGUGACAUUGCUGUCAGCGUCGCUAGGGGCCUCCGUUACCUCCAUGAGUGUCAACAGAAGAUCAUCCACUAUGACAUCAAAGCAGGGAAUGUUUUCCUUGAUGGUAGCUUCACACCCAAGGUGGCCGACUUCGGGUUGGCACGGUCGGUGAACCGCGUGGACACACAUGUCGCGGUGUCCUGCGUUCGCGGCACCCCUGGGUAUGCUGCACCAGAAAUGUGGAUGCAAUCAGGCGUCACGGAGAAGUGUGACGUCUAUAGCUUUGGCAUGCUACUACUGGAGAUCAUCGGUCAGAGGCGGAACUUUGACCAGACCGCGCCGGAGAGCCUACAAUGGUUUCCCAAACUAGCUUGGACCAAGUAUGAAACCGGCGAGGUGAUGGAACUCAUGGUGCCACCUGUCCGCAGUGAGGAAUUACAUGGUGUCUCCGUGGCAAAUUGACGGGAGCUGGCGCAGAGGAUGUGCAAGGUGGCAUUCUGGUGUGUGCAGCAGCAGCCAUCGGCGAGACCACAAAUGAGUGCAGUGGUCAAGAUGCUUGAGGGCGAGAUGAACAUUGCCGCGCCAGCAAAUCCAUUCCAGCAUCUUAUAGCAUCGGCGACCGUGGCAGACCUAUCAACAACAAUGGAGAGCGUAAACACAGUACCAAUGCCGAUGAAUGAGACUACAACCUCAUAUCCAAGAUGUAAAUCCUUUUAGAAGCAAAGCCAGUCAAGUAUUUGACCAUGAAUCCAUAAAUUAUUACUUGCAUUAAACGUCAGAUUCGUAUUACUAGAUUUAUCGUGAAAUAUAUGUGAUUAUCUAAUGCUUAAUUAUUUUUAUGCGAGGAAACAUGUGCUUGCACGGAAAUUCGUACUCAAAGUACCAUCUUGAAGACUAUGUCAAUAUCUAAAAAGAUGCCUUCAUAGUUGCAGUAGAAGGCCUGGCACCUGAAAGUUCAGCUUUCUACUCGAACUUGGUUCAUUGUUAAUACAAUAUAAUUCAGAAGCUAAUGUUUGCAUCAAGAGUGUAAUCAUGUGUUUAAAUCCCAAAGUGCUUUGGGACGAGGUUUGUCUUUGGACACACGAUAUGACGAUACAUUGAGACUGGGGUUUUGAUUUGUCUGGAGUGUGAGUUGCCACAUUUUCAGCUUGAUAGUUGAUACAUUGAAGAAUCUAGAGAUCAAAAUCUGCAAACAGAUCACUUGCUGAUUUGACAAAGGAGUAGUUAAGACUAGGAAAUCUGCUAAUUAUUCAAUGAUUGGGAGGUUUUUAUGGUCAGUGAUUGUCGAAUCUCACCUCCUAAACCAUCUAAAUCAAGCAAAUCAGCAGAAUCGAAGAUUUAGGGUAGUGAGCAGUGAGCUGGACGGGAGAGAGAGGAAUAUCGAAGAACUGAGGCUUAUCCUCUCCGUUUUCUAUUCCAUCCCCUUUUCAUGGCUUUUACAUUUACAUUAUUCACCUUAUGACAUUCUAUAUUUACACUUAGGUACAACACAUCUCAACACUCCCCCUCAAGAUGGGGCGAAAGCGUCAUAUAGUCCCAUCUUGCUGCAUAGACUUGAGAAAUUUUUUCUUAGGCAAACCUUUUGUUAAAAUAUCAGCUAACUGAUUCGCGGAACUCACAUAAGGCAUGCCGAUCACUCCUUGAUCCAAGUUUUCCUUAAUAAAAUGUCGAUCAAUUUCAAUAUGUUUUGUUCGACCAUGUUGUACUGGGUUGUGAGCUAUAUCUAGUGCUGUCUUGUUGUCACAAUAUAGCAUCACGGGUCUCGCUUGAAACAGUCCUAGCUCCAUUAACAUGAUCCUUAGCCACAAUACUUCACAAAUUCCAUGUGCCAUUGAUCUAAAUUCUGCUUCUGCGGUAGACCUGGCAACAACAUUUUGUUUUUUACUUCGCCAAGUGACAAGAUUACCUCCCACAAACGUACAAUAACCUGAAGUUGAUUUUCUAUCAUCUAGACAGCCAGCCCAAUCAGCGUCAGUAUAGCAUUCUACUUGCAAGUUACCAUUUGAUUUAUAUAACAAUCCACGUCCUGGGCACCCUUUCAAGUAUCUAAUAAUUCUGAUUACUGCAUUCAUGUGUUGUUCCUUGGGGUCAUGCAUGAACUGACUUACAACACUCACAGCAAAAGCUAUAUCUCGUCGAGUGUGUGACAGGUAUAUUAAACGUCCUACUAAUCUUUGAUAUUGCUCACGAUCUAUAGGUUGCCCUGGUUCACAAGUCAGUCUGUGAUUUUGUUCAAUCGGAGUAGAAGCUGGACGACAACCUAACAUGCCAGUUUCAGCUAAUAGGUCCAAUAUAUAUUUCCUUUGAGAUAAGUAGAUACCUUUUGUACUUCUGGAGACUUCAAUACCAAGGAAGUACCUUAGCUGCCCAAGAUCUUUGAUUUCAAAUUCUUGUGUUAGCUUCUGCUUCAGGUCUUCUAUCCCAUCAAUAUCAUCUCCUGUAAUAACAAUGUCAUCAACAUAAACUAUUAAUAUAGCCACUUUUCCCAUAUUGUGCUUAUAGAACAGAGUAUGAUCAGCAUUGCUCUGUUUAUAGCUCAGCUGUAACACAACACGCCUGAACCAAUCAAACCAGGCACGUGGUGAUUGCUUUAGACCAUAUAGAGAUCGAUGUAACCUCAAAACCUUACCCUCAGUUUGGGCAGUACUAAACCCUGGAGGUAUGUCCAUGUAAAUUUCCUCCUGUAAAUCACCAUGAAGGAAGGCAUUUUUAACAUCAAAUUGAUAUAGUUUCCAGUCCAUAUUAGCAGCACACGAUAUUAAGGUUCUUAUUGUGUUCAUUUUAGCCACAGGAGCAAAGGUCUCCUCAUAAUCUAUUCCAUAAGUUUGGGUGUAACCCUUUGCUACCAAACAUGCUUUGUAUCGCUCCACUUUACCUUCAGGGUUAUGUUUAAUGGUGUAAACCCAUUUGCAUCCCACUGGCCUUUUUCCAAGUGGCAAGUCAACCAACUCCCAUGUCUUAUUUUUUUUCUAGUGCCAACAUCUCUUCCAUCAUGGCUCUCUUCCAUUUUUUAUUCUCCAUAGCCUCCCUCCAAUCUCUUGCAAUAGAUGUAGCAUCUAGAAAAGCUAUGAAUCCUUUAAACUUUGUACUACAGUUUUCAUAACAAAAAAAAUUUGCAAGAUCAUGUUUGUAGCCCACAUAAUCCUUAAGCUUUUCUGGUAUGCUAGUUUUUCUCACCGAUUUCUGCAAUGCAAUGGGAGGAUCACUUGCUGGAUUAUUAGGGACAACUGAAGUACCUUGAGUACCUUCUUGUCCCAUCUCACGGCCAACCUCCUCCCGAAAAGAAUCAUCCUCUGGAACAGAUAUGCAAUCACCCCUUUCUCUUGUUUCUUCAUAAGUAGCUUCAGACAAGGAAUUAUUAGUCUCCAUAAUCUGUUGAAUGGGAGGGACAUCACAUACCUCAUUGUUUGCAGUGCCAUCAGUAUCGUGCUCCCCCUCUCCUUGAUUCUCCUGCUGAGACUUGUCUAUCAUAGGUAUCAAGAAUGAACUACCAGGAAUUUUCUCUUCACUGGGGUUCUCCCCCUCACGAUUAAUUCCACGAGGAACACUAGUAACUGAAGGAUAAAAUGGUUCAUUUCCCAGAAUGUGACAUCCAUACUUACAAAGAAUCUCUUCUCUGCGGGGCUCCAACAACGAUAACCUUUCUGAGUGGAUGAAUAUCCCAAGAAUAUACACCUGAUAGCCCUCGGAUCAAGCUUCCCUGCUGAAUUUCUAUAAUCCUGAACAAAACAUGUGCAGCCAAAUAUUUUCGGAGGGACAGUGAAGGCAUUAGCUCCAAUCAAACAUUCCAUUGGAGUUUUAUGAGCAAGAACUCUCGAGGGCAUGCGAUUUAUGAGAUAAGCCGCUGUUUUUACGGCUUCACUCCAGAAAAAUUUAGGCACAUUCAUCUCAAACAUAAGUGAUCUGGCAACUUCCAAUAAGUGCCUAUUCUUUCGUUCCGCAACUCCAUUUUGGGCAGCAGUAUUAACACACGAAGUUUGAUGCAUAAUACCAUGUGAAGACAAGAAAUUAUCGAAAUCUCUGUUAACGUACUCAGUGCCAUUAUCUGUACGAAGUACUUUUACCCUGGCACUGUACUGAUUACCCACCAAAGCAGAAAAAUCUUUAAAAGCAGAAAAAACUUCACUUUUAUGCUUAAGCGGAUAUAACCAAGUACAUCUACUAAAACCAUCAAUAAAGGUUACAUACCAACGCUCUCCUAAUACAGAGGUUACAACUGAAGGACCCCACACAUCGGAGUGCACUACCUCAAAAGGUUCUUUACUUCUUUCGUUCGUGCUAGGAUAGUUAGUGCGUGUGUGCUUAGCUAACUCACACACGUCACACAAAAGGUAUUCCUUGUUGCAGGAUGCAAAUAAAGAAGGAUACAUACGUCCUAGAGACUGGAAUGAUGGAUGUCCAAGCCUCCGGUGAAGUAGCAACAAUUCACUGGUAGCCAAGGUACAAGUAGUACUGAGUGCAAGUGAAGCUGCUGCAUUAUCAAGAUAAAUACAAGCCUUCACGCUCGGUGCCAGUCCCAAGUACUUUUCCUGUCUUCAGAUGCAAAAACACACAAAAAUCAAGUUCAAAUAUAGCUCUACACCUCAAUGACUUGGUGAGUGAGCUGACCGACAACAGAUUCACAGGAAAAUUAGGCACAUGUAGAACAGAGUCUAAGGGUAGAGAUGAUGUACAACUAAUGGUUCCACAACCCAUUGUAGGUGCCGAGGAUCCAUCAGCUAUGCAAACUUUCUCCCUUCCGGACCGAGGUGUAUACGAUGAAAAAUACUUUGAUAGCCCAGCCAUAUGAUUAGUAGCACCUGAAUCAAUAACCCAUGGAGUAAGUAAAUGAUUCACACCUUUUCCCACUUGGGUGCUUGAGGUAGCUUCGCUAGGAUUAUCUGCAUCAGCGGUCAUGAGUUUGGCCUUGAAUUCCUCUAGCGCUGUGACUUGAGGUGCUACAUUUACCUGCUGUUUGCCUGCAGAUGCACUGAAAGGGACUCGAUCUGGCUUUCUUUCAAGGUUACCUGCAGCCGCGAAUCUAGUAUUCUGCCUUUGCUGCCACCCAGGAGGAUAACCCACUAACUCGAAACAAUUUUUUUUUUAUGUGCCCUGGUUUCUUGCAAUGGUCGCAUAUCACUCUGGUUCUCUUGUAAUCAAACUUAACAGCAUUAGCUUGAUCAUUCUUAGGAACAGCCAAAGAUUUGUCUGGAGUGUGAAAUGACAAUGCAGCUCGAGCAUCAACAUUAACAUAUGGAACCACCACUUGAUUUUCUAACCUGGUUUCCUCCUCAAGGGUGCUAGAAAUAGUCUGAUCUAAAGUACUCCAGUCUGGUGUUGUCCAUAACAUCUGAGCUCGCAGACUAAAUUCCGGAUUCAGUCCUUCAAGAAAUAUUUGCACAAGUACCGGCUCAACCACUCCUUCAAGAGAGACAAAUCCCUAGGAUCAUGUGGCUUGAAUGGUCUAAAAAACUCAAGGUCUUGAUAGAGCUUCUUGAGUCCCCCUGCAUACUCUGUCACUGAUUUCUGGUCUUGCUUAAGAUGCAUCAUCUCGUGUAGUAUCCUGCUGACCUGCAUUUUGUUUGAUUUUCCAGAAAAUUGUUUCUCAAUAUUUUUCCAAACUUUGGCUGCUGUUUGAAAAUUCUCUACUUGCUCCCGAACAGUUUUCUCCAUAGAACUUAGGAGCCAAACCAUUACCUUCUUUUGGUUCUGCUCCCAUUGUUCCUGAGCAGCAUCUUCAGGCUUCUUACUAUCUUCUUCAAGAAAAUGCUGUAGAACAUGUGCUCCCAAGAUUAACUCAGUACCGUGCCCAGCUGAAAUAGUCACCGGGGCCGCUAAGCUUCACUGGAUUUGGCUCUAGCAUAGCCUUCACCCCUUCAGACGUAACACCACUACCAGACUUCGCCUGGGCUUGCUCCAUCAACAGGGCUAGCAUUUUUUGCAUACUAUCACAUAAUUUCUCCACACUCUUGUCUCCCAUCAUUUCUAACAGAACUUAAUCACAAGGAAUCAAGCUGAACCAAAUGGGGCAAAUUCUUGACAGCCUCAGACCCAUGAAUCGCAAAGGAUUCAACUUAAUCUGAAGCAAAGCAGGGCAAAGAGGUUCCAACAAAAAACUCCACGGACAGAUCAAGAAGAAAUACCUCAGAACCAAGCUGAAUCGCUUCCUUUCUCAGCAAUCAUCCGACGAACACCAACCUGUCCACAGUGCCACACUCACUGCCGCAAAUCACCACAAUCUGCCACAAUCUGACUCGUCGGCCUCAUCACGGAUCUGCCUGCUCUGAUACCAUGUCGAAUCUCACCUCCUAAACCAUCUAAAUCAAGCAAAUCAGCAGAUAUCAAAGAUUUAGGGUAGUGAGCAGUGAGCUGGACGGGAGAGAGAGGAAUAUCGAUGAACUGAGGCUUAUCCUCUCCGUUUUCUAUUCCAUCCCCUUUUCAGGGUUUUUACAUUUACAUUAUCCACCUUAUGACAUUCUAUAUUUACACUUAGGUACAGCACAUCUCAACAGUGAUAACUCUUCCUGUAUCAAGUAUCAACUGCGACGGUAGACAUAUUUUAUGGGAACUUAAUUUACAACGUACAGAGGUUCCUUUGGUUUCAUCUCAGGCUAGAACCGGCCGGCAAGCGAAACAACCUAGUAGAGGGAGAGGGAGCUAGCUAGCUGGGUCGGCCAGCCGGCAUGUCCUGUGUCUUGUCGCUUGUUACUAAAAAUUGGAAUUAAUUCAUAAACUCUAACCCUGCCAACCAUCCCAUGAUAGAGGGAGGGAAAGGGAAGUAUUGUAGCACUAGCUCAGCCAACCAUCCCAUGACCGUGCCUCUCAUCUUCUUCGAUCCUUCCUUGUUUGCUUCAGUAGCAGCCGGUGGGAAGAGAUGACGACAGAAGCAGGCUACACCGGUGCGUGGCAUGGCAGCCCACAACAGCGAUUCCGACCGGUUUCUGAGUAUAUUACCAGCUAAGUACCCUGUUUUUGAUUUGGUUAAUUCUCUUGCUCUGCUCAGCCAUCGGAGUCGUCGCAGUCGUGGUGUUAGGCGCGUUUGUCGUGGGGGCGCUCUUUUACAUGUAUAGAUGCGCCAAGUGGUGUCUCAAGAGAUCGCGCUCUAUGGACGAAUCAACGGUGGCAGCGGCGCCGGCGGCGAUGGCGACGACGAUGACACAGCACUAUGCGGUGUUGCCGGACGACGUGAUGAAACACGCCACUGUCGAGAGGUUUCUCGGGGAGAUCGCCGGCGAGAGGCCCAUCCGGUUCACUCUGGAGCAGCUCUCGGGGUUCACGCAUAACUACUCGGCCCGGCUUGGCUCCGGUGGGUUCGGCGCCGUAUACAAGGGCAUGCUCCCUAACGGCCUCCUUGUCACCGUGAAGCGCCUCCACGCCACCCACGACGAGAAGACUUCCCAGGGGCAGUUCAUGGCGGAGGUGGGCACCAUCGGGAGGACCCACCACAUCAACCUUGUCAGACUCUUGGGCUUCUGCUUCGACGACACCGUGCUCGCCCUGGUGUACGAGUUCAUGGACAAUGGCUCGCUCGAUGCCUACCUCUUUGACCGGGGUCAUGUCGUCGGCCUCCCUAAACGUCGUGACAUUGCUGUCGGCUUUGCUAGGGGCUUCCGGUACCUACAUGAGGAGUGCAGGCAGAAGAUCAUCCACUACGACAUCAAGGCCGGGAACGUCCUCCUCGAUAGCGGCCUCACACCCAAGGUGGCUGACUUCGGGCUAGCGCGGUUGGUGAACCGCAUGGACACACAUGUCUCAGUGUCUUGUGUUCGUGGCACCCCUGGGUAUGCCGCACCCGAGAUGUGGAUGCAAUCGGGCAUCACGGAGAAGUGUGAUAUUUACAGCUUCGGCAUGCUACUACUGGAGAUCAUCGGUCAGAGGCGAAACUUUGACCAGACCAUGACGGAGAGCCAGCAGUGGUUCCCCAAGCUGGCAUGGACCAAGUAUGAGACUGGUGAGUUAAUGAAACUCGUUGUGCCGCUGGCACACUGUGACCAGAAUGGCGUGCCUGCGGCGAAUGAGGUGCCCCAACCACAACUAUGCAUGGAGCUGUGGGAGAGGAUGUGCAAGGUGGCAUUCUGGUGCGUGCAACAACAGCCGUCAGUGAGACCACAGAUGAGUGAAGUGGUCAAGAUGCUUGAGGGUGAGAUGGACAUUGCUGGGCCGGCAAACCCAUUCCAACAUCUGGCACUAAAAUGAUACUGCCACCUCACAUCCAAGAUAUAAGUCCUUUUAGAAGCAGAGCCAAUCAAGUAUUCUAUGUUUGACCACGAAUUGGUGGAUCGAAUUACUUGCACGGAAAGCAUCAAAUUGAUAUCGGAUCUGCUAAUCCUCAGUCGCCUGAGAAAGGUUAUUUCCCACUCGAUCAGAUUUGUGUGGAGGUAGAGAAAUUUAUAAGUAGGGUAAGGGCUAACUUCUAAUAUUGACGGUUGGUUGGUGUUGUGGUUAGAUCAACACUACAGUUUUAGAAGGUUGCAGGUUCGAUACUUGGUGUCCAAUUUUUUUUAUUUGUCUUUCUUUUUUCUUCUUUCUUUUGGUUUUCUUAUGUAUUAUAUAUUGCUUUUUUUUUUAUCGCUCUCUCACUCUCUCUUCGUUUUUCUUGUUUUAUUUUUAUUUAAUUUGCCACUCUAACUUAAGAACGAGUAGCUACAGUAAAUUUCAGAGAUAGCAGCUAGUUGUUCGUAACAUUUAACCGAGAUUUUAUUUUUUUGAUGAGGUUUCAGAUAUCGGGUGACUCCUUAGCCGUUGAAUGUGUCGUUUCUUUUUUGGAAAUACACAAAACCAUUUAUUUUUCAUGUUGUUUAAGAUUUAUUUUUAUGCCUAACACAAUGUAUUAGUGUUCGUAUCACUUACACUUACUUUAGUAGUAGAAUUGAGCGUCCAUCCCAUGGACAUUCACGUGUCAACAAUGUGAAAUCUUUUUCAUUUAAAAUUAUUUUUUUGUUAAAAUAUCCUUCCCAUUUCACCUGCAAUUUUUGGGAUCGCGCAUAAACUUUUACCUCAAUUUUUAGAAUCGCGCAUAAGAUUUCACCCGCAAUUUUUUAGAAUCGUGCAUAAACUUUCACCUAUAAUUUUUUAUAAUCGCGCCUAAAUUUUCACCCGCAAUUUUUUAGAAUCACGCAUAAAAGUUUGACCUGCAAUUUUUAGAAUCGCGCACUUUCACCUGCAAUUUUUGAAACCGUGUAUAAACUUUCACCUGCAAUUUUUAGAAUCAUGCAUAAAGUUUAACCUGCAAUUUUUAGAACCGCACAUAAAUUUUCACCUGUAGUUUUUAGAACCACGCAUAAAGUUUCACCUGUAGUUUUUAGAACCACGCAUAAAAUUUCACCUGCAGUUUUUAGAAUCAAGGUUGGACAAAAUUACGGGCUGACAUAAGCAGUGAUUAGCAUGAGGCUUAAUGAUGGAUUACAUGUAGCUUAAUUAUAGUAAGUUUGGUCGGGUGCAUCACGUCGACUGAGAAAAGAGUUUUCUCAGUCGACUGAGUUCUAGUCAGACCCAAUUGAUAUGUAUGUGGUUUUCUAAUAUAUAGUCGGUUUUAUACGAGGAAACAUGUUUGCAUGGAAAUUGGUACUUAAAGUACCAUCUUGAAGAUCCCUAUGUCAAUAUCCUAACAGGAAGCCUUCGUAUCUGAAUGCAGGAGGCGGGUAUUGAUAGAAAGUUCAGAUUUCCAAUCUAGCCAUGUGGAUUAUUAAUGACAAAAUGAUUCAAACACUAAUGUUUGUAUCAAGUGUAAUGAGUUGUUUAAUCCCAGAGGCAAGUGUUACAACAAGGAUCGCGGCCGGGCUCCAAGAUGAUCGAACAAAAAGAGUUCUGUUUUGAAAAUGGAAGCUUAUAUUACCACCGUCCGGCGUGUAUGUUUGUAUCCUCACGGGUACGCACAACCAAUUGGCUUCAGGAAUGAAACAAGAUAAAAUAAGUGCUCUUGGUCUCUGCAUCGAAAGAGCGUCAAAAAUUUCUACCGCACCGUUACAUCGAUCACAUGGUAAUUUAAUUUAUUUACACCGUGGAGUCCACGGCGACCAUGCAUCAACGAGCCCAUUAACCAUUUGCUGGAGAUCUAUGGAGCCGGCGGCCGGCCGGCAUGCAUGCAUGUCCUGUCUUGUUGGCCAGUUCCCUUUGGUAUUAUAUGUUCUCGGCUUUUUAAAAGCUUAUUAGGCCGGGAUGAGAAGAGGAAUUAAGCAAAAACAACAGUUUCUUGGUGGGCGAUCCCACAUAUUUAACAUUGUGACUAUAAUUUGGUUGCAAGGAAGAACGCAGUGAAAGCGGAUCCCACAUAUUUAACAUUGUGACUCCGAUUGCCACAAAAAUUACAGAUGCUCCUUCCAAACCUUAGAAAUAUGGCAACGACAUGGCAGUGCUUACGAGAAUGACAUUUCAGAUAAAUUUCAUGGAUCCAGCAAUGACCACACAUUCCCUUGAAGUAGCAGAUGGCUCUCGGUUAACAAAAAUGAGAAAGAUAACACAUGAAUUAAAGCGCAGCCCAUCCGAUCUCAUGCUCCCAAGUCCCAAUGCCAAGUUAUGGUUUUCAUUGGCUCCCAAGUCCCAAAUGCAUGCCAUCAAAUCACAAAUAACUCUUUGAUCAGCGGAUAUACAACAAGUACAGUACGACUCAUGGCGACGACAAUGACAUACAGAAACCUCAGGUCUGUGGGAUCAACAAUGUCGUGUGUGCUCGUGUAUGCAUGCACCACCGAACAAAAAGAAGACCUUGCCGUCGAUCGUUGCUUCCUUCAGGGUUCGGUGUGCCCGUUAACCAUCUUGUGUUGAUAUGAUCUAAUACAAAGUCCUCUCCCGAAACAAGAAAAGAACCUUACGGAUGGCAAUGACAUGACAAUAUAUGCUUAGGAGAAUUAUUCCAGACAAUUUUUCCUGUAUCUGGCAAUGACCGCAAUUAAUCCUGAACUAGCACAUGGCUCUGAACAAAUUAUUGAGAAAGAUGUUACAUAUGAAUAAAGCGCAGCCCAUCCAAUCCCAUUUCCUUUUUCUCGAUCGUCAUCUUGUGCUCCCAAAGCCCCAAAUGCCACAGAUUUGGCGAAAUCGCAAGCAACUCUUUGAUCAGUGGAUAUACAAGUACAACUCAUAGCGACAAACAUAGAGAAACCUCAGGCGCAGCCUCAGGAUCAACAAUGUCGUGUGCUCGUGUAUGCAUGCAUGCACCACCAGACAAAAAGAAGACCUCACCGUCAAUCGUUGCUUCCCUAGCUUCAGGAUUCGCUGUGCCCGUUAACCAUCUUGUUGAUAAACUUGGGGAUCUCCACGUCGAAUCCAAAGAACGUGAAGUUCUGUGGCACCUUUGGCAAAGUUGCUGACGGCAUCGGCGGGAACGAGAUUUUCGCCAGCCCCGAGAAGUCCGGCAUCUUGGGGAGCGGCAGGCCGGCUGCUGCCGCUGCUGCAACACCUUUCUCACCACCCCCGGCAGCAGCAGGCUGCUGCUGCUUCAUGGCGGCAAGGGUGACAAGCAUAUCUGGUGUCACGUUCGGAGGUAGCUGGCCUGGUGGAACGUUGGCCCACGCCUCAGGUGGGAUCUUGGACAACAUCUCUGGUGUCACAUUGGCGGGGAGGUUGGCAAGCAUCUCUGGUGGCACAUUGGCUAACAUCCCUGGUGGCACAUUGGCAAGCAUCCCAGGCGGCACGUUGGCAGGGAGGUUUACCGGUACGUUCCCUGGAAGGUUUGCGGGGAGGUUCCCUGGAAUGUUGUCGGAGAUGUUCAUAGGGAGGUUGCCUGGGAUGUUCGCCGGCAGGACGGUGGGAGGAAGCGGCGCUGACGCACCUGGUAGGUUCCCCGAAAUGUUCCCAGAAAUGUUGCCUGAGAUAUUGAUGGGGAGGUUCCCCGGAAUGUUGUCCGAGAUGUGUGCCGGGAGGCUAGCAGGAGGAAGCGCCAUCGAUGCACCUGUAAGGUUCCCCGAAAUGUUGCCCGAGAUGUUCACAUGGAAGUUCCCUGGAAUGUUGUUUGAAAUGUUCACAGGGAGGUUGCGCGAGAUGUUUGCAGGCAAGCUAGUGGGACGAAGCGGCGCCGGUGCACUUGGCAGGUUCCCUGAAAUGUUGCCCGAGAUGUUUGCAGGCAAGCUAGUGGGGUGAAGCGGCAUCGGUGCACUUGCCAGGUUCCCCGAAAUAUUGCCCGAGAUGUUCACGGGUAGGUUAGCCGGCAAGCUGAGCGGCGGCAGUGCACCUGACAGGUUCUCUGGAAUUUUGUUAGUGAUGUUCAGAGAGAGAUUUGCUGGGAUGUUCGGCAGUAGAACAGCGGAAGAAAGCGAUGGUGGUGCACCUGGUUGGUCCCCUAGAUUUUUGUCAGGGAUGUUCGCCGGGAGGUUGGCCGAGAUGUUCGCCGGCAGGCUAGCGGGAGGAAAUGGUACUGGCGGUGCACUUGGUAGGUUCCCUGGGUUUUUGUUAGGAAUAUUCACGGGUGGGUUGGUUGAAAUAUUCACUGGUAGGCCGGCAGGAGGAAGCGGCGGAGAUGCACCUGGAAGGUUCCCCGGAAUUUUGUCGGGGAGGUUCACGGGGAGGUUGGGCGGGAUGUCAGGAUGAAGCAGCGGUGGCGCACUUGGCAAGUUCGCCGGAAUUUUGUCGGGGAGAUUGGGCGGGAUGUCGGGAUGAAGCAGCGGUGGUGCACGUGGCAAGUUCCCCGGAAUUUUGUCGGGGAUGUUCACCGGGAGGUUGGCCGGGAUGUCAGGAUGAAGCAGCGGUGGCGCACCUGGCAGGUUCCCCGGAAUUUUCUCGGGGAGGUUGGUCGGGAUGUUUGCCGUCCUUUCAGCGGCCCUCAGAAUUUCGUGAGGGAUAUGCACGGGGAUGUCGGUCGGUCCGCCGACAGUAGGAAGCGCCGUCAGUGCACCGGGUAGGUUCCCUGGAAUUUCGCGAGGAAUGUUUGCCGGCCUUUCGGCGACAGGAAGUGGCAGAGGUGCACCUGGUAGGUUCCCCGGAACCUCGUGAGGGAUGUUCACCGGCAGAACGGCAUGAGGAAGUGGUGGCGAACCAUUUGGACUUUCAGCCAAGAGGCGCACCGAUGCACAUAACUGCACGUCUGUGAUGGACAAGAUGGCCAGGAAAGUCACGUAGCAGAGAGAUCUCAUCGUGACUUCCCCUUGGAAUUGAGGAAUGAUGAGGAUCCCAAACCUGGCAAAAUUUUGUCAAAAUCCGCAAGAACAAGACGAUGAACUUUUUUGCAGAUAUAUGGAUUACAAGAAUCUGACUGUACAAGGGCCUAAAUUUGGCGAAUGGAGAGCCUAAAUGUAGCAACAAAAGAACACAUGCUUGAUUAGCACUUUAGCAGCCUUGCCAAAUAUAGGUGUCUCAAUUUGCCAUGAAUCCAACUAGCCGAUUCCAUGCCAAGUAUAGAUAUUACUGUCUGGAAAACUCUGGACAUGGUUAAAACGAGGGGUUUGCAUGCCCUCUGGACAUCAAAAUUAAUGCUGGCUAUGCAUGGCAGGACAACGGACAGAGCAUCUCCCCUUGUUGAAUCCCUAACUGAAUUUCUUCAUUGCAUACCACCAUAGAUGUACUGAAGCUAUUUAUGCGCAUGAGCAUGUCAUAUACUGUAAUUCACCUGAUUCUGCCAUUUCAAUCUCACACUGAAGUCGAUCGAUCCACUAGGACUGAACUUUCUUUUUCAGAAGAGUUACACAACAUAGCGUGCAAGAUGUACCAGCCCAAAAGGUAUAUAAACCAGCAGCCAUUUGUGCUAUGGCCGUCACAAAAUCCGUUAGGCCAUUGGUUGUCCUGAUUCCUCGGAGCAACUCUAGCACUUACCAAACCCGAGCGAUCCGAACUAACCGAGUUCGGAUCAAUCAAAUUCAAGAAUUCAGUACCGUCCGACUUCCGGCAGAACAGAGAUACUGAAUACGGAAACCGAACAACACAGAAAUCUGAAACUUCACGUGAAAUUCAUAUAAAUAGGGGGUUGGUUUUUCGCGAUUCACAUCACAGAUCAUCGGAGUUCAUCAUUCGUCCACAUACUUAAGUUCUACUACAUCUACUAGUUCGACAUUAACCAAAAGUUAGCUAAAUUAGAGGAGCAAACACCCAAAAACAAAAUUGCUCCUCGCCGGCCCCGCCGGCUUCCGGUCCCCUUGCCGGAAUGCUUACUUACUUAUCGUUCGAAAGGACGAUGACCGAGGGAGCUGCCGUCACCUGAGCCGCGUUGGGGAGGUUGUAUGCUGCCGCGAGCAUCCUCUCCUCCAUGGCGAGGCGGCGCGCAUCGUCUUCGGCGAUGGAGUGCUUCAACGCCUCCUUCGCGCACAUGAUGUCCUCGGGGUCGAACCCUGCCUCCGCAAUUUCCUUCGCCUCUGCCGCAUCCUCCUCCCCCUCCGCAUCCGCCGGCUUCUCCCCGACUAUCUCCACCGAUGAAUCGGAGGAGGAAGAUGAGGAGGGAGGAGCCAACCGGAGCCAGUCACCCGCUGGCUUCGGGUGGACGCCGCUCGAGCUCCCCUCCCCGGCGGCGGCGUAGCUGUAGCGACAGUCCCCAUCCCCUCCCCUGCGGGCACGGCGGCCGGCCUCGGAUUGGCGGCGCCGGACAUCUUCCUCGGUGAUGGUGAGCCGGACGCCGCUAGGGUUUCCGUGUCCGCGGGGACUGACGGCCAGACGCGUGCGACGAGCGGCGGAGGAGAUCGGGGGCCGCAUUUUGCCGUGGAAGCUCGCCGGAAAUGGAGUGGGUGGCGGAGGCGGCAGAGGGGAGUGGAUUGCGGCGGAGGGGAGUUCAGAGUUGCUAACAAAAACCCCCCUCCGAAUGCUACAUAUAUUGCGCGGAAGCGAAGCGAUUCGGUGACCCGAAUUAGAUUUUCGAUAAAUAGGCUCGAUUCAGUAUCUGGUCUGGUCCAUUUUUCGGCCCAAAACUCAAAACCGAGUUCGGUUCGCUCGGGUUCGGUAACUGAUAGAGUUGUUCUCUGGGUGGGCAAACCGAGGAACCGGAACCGCUGAUUUGUUUGGUUCAGGGGUCGUGGGCCAACCCACGCUGAUCCAACCUGCCCAAAUAGCUUUUUGCCCGUCUUUGGUAGGGGGGCCUGGUUGGGCACGACCCAAAAAAAGGCCCAAACCGCGGCUCACGGGGCAAAUAUCCUACCCGCACGCCGGCACCCGACCUCCGCAAACCCGCCUCGCCCACCUCCGCACGCCCGUCCCCAACCCCUUCGCUGCAGGCGACAGCUGACGCGGCGGCGGCCAGGCCCAGACGCCGCGGCAACCAGGCAUCUCCUCCCCUCCUCUUUCUCUGGUCCCCUCCCUUCCUUCCUCCUCUUGCUCUCCUGGCCUAGCGGAUCUGCGAUUGCGACGGCUAUGGCGGCGGAGGUGGCGACGACGACCGGCGUGUCCGUCUUCGUCCUCCUCUUCUUCCGUCUACCUCCCUCCCCGUGCAUCUCCCCUCUCCCCCCAUCUGUGCCGCUGCUCCUCCUUCUCUCCUCCUCUCCCGGCCACUGCUCUCUCCUCUCCCUCUCCCGGCCACUGCUCUCUUCCAUAUCUCUCUAUUUUUUAUCUCUUGUGAUUUCUAGUUGUUGCGACCUGUUUGUAGUUUGAGCAAUGUGUAAAAUGGUUGUGAAACUGCUGUAAUUUUACAGAUGGCCAGGAAUCGAACAAAUUUGUUAAUUUGGGCGGCAGCGGCUUCCAUGUGGAUAUGCAUGGCUUUCGUUGUUGUUGUGACGGGCCAGGCACAACCGGGCCAAGCCCGCUGGGCUUUCGGGCUUUCCGAAAAAGCCCGGCCCGAUGGCCAUGUAUACUCUCCGUCUCUCCCGGUCUCCCCCAUCCCCCGAUUCUCUUCUCCGAGAAGCAGAAGGAGCUGGCCGGAGAAAUCUCGGCGGCGACGGCGCUGCAGGUAACCCUUCUGUCCAUCACCAUCCCCAGCCUCGACCACCUACCAUCUUCUUCCUGUGGGCAGCGCCCCUCUCCUCCCUGGCCAUCUCCUCUGCUUCACGCCAGCCCCUACCCUCCCAUGGCGCCUCCCUACCCUCCCCAGUCCCACGGCGGCCCCCUCCCUCUACCCUUCCAUGUCGCCUCUUCCCCCUCUCCUUCCCAUGGCGCCCCCUUCCUCCCUGAUGUGGUUCCUGCCUCUGCCUCCUCCUAUCAAACCCUAGGACACCACAAGUUCCGUUCUUACCUGCAGGGCUAAUUUAAGUUUGGGAUAGCAAGUUGCAGCAAUCAAAUCAGGAAGAGAUAUAGCACUGAGUGAUGAAUUUUGUGUGUCUUAGAUGCAGGCCAAGUGUUACUAGUUUUCUGGAUUUUUUUACUCUCGAAUCCGCUGUCCUGCAUGCGGUAUACUCAUGUGUGAGAUACGGAGAAUUAGUUUCUGCACUAGUAUUUAUGUUAGUAGCAGUAUCCCGCAAUUAGCUUUUUCGCAGUGCCUCUCCGAUCACUGCAUGUCUGGUGUAACUGAGCUGAUCACCCUCUUCAAUGACUUCUCUUGCCAGGUCUGCUUCACGCGGGGAAGACUUGGGCCAAGAUCAUGGUAAGUUCAUUUCAACUCCUAUUAUGUAGCCAUCUUAAAUUUGCGAUUAAUUUUUGGCUCUGAUCACUCGUCUGUCUCGCUAAAUAUUGCAACUUCACAGGCAAGCCUUGCUGAUUCUUUCUUGGCUGAUCUUGACGAACUGUCAGACAAUGAAGCCUACCCUGUGAGUUGAUUUCUUUGCCUGCUGCGUAACCAUAUUUUACAAGGAUUUUUUUUUGGCAAAUCCUAAAUCUAUUGUCAAACUUUUCAGGAAGAAGACAACGCCGAGGCUGGGGGUGCGGAUGAGGAUAGUGAUGAUGAUAUGCCUGACCUCGAGUCUCUUAAUUACGAUGAUCUUGACAGUGUUUCGAAGCUGCAGAAGACACAACGUUAUAAUGACAUAAUGCAAGUAUGUGAUCAAACUCAUAAAUCUCCACUGGAAUCUCUCUCUCUCUCUCUCUCUCUGUCUCAUAGAUCUAUGUUUAUCUGGCAAAGUAAAACCUUAUUUUGGUUAAGAGUUUUUUUUAGAAAAAAUGCAUAUAGUUAAGAGUAACCAGUCAGUUUUAAGAUGCUGUACAAUGUUUCCCACCAGAACAGUGUAUACUAGUUUAAAAAGAAAUUUUAAAGAACGUAUAUAAUAUGGAUACUGGAGACACUCAGUUCAUUGCUCUUUUCAUGUCUGAUCCAUGGAUAUUGCUUUAGAUGCAGUCAUGGUGCAGAUGAUAAUCUUUUCGUGUGCUCAGUAAGUAGAAAACCAAUAAAAAGAUCAAACUUGGACUAGACCCUGGAAGCGUUAAUAUAGUAAGAAGACAACCUGAGUCGACCUGCAGAGGCUAGGCCUCUAUUGCAAGUGGCCAGUGUUUGCACUCUCACUUUUUGUCAACUUAGCAACUCCUACUUCUUGCUCAAUGUUACAGUGGAUUAUGUGGGAAAUAUUUUGCCAUUCAAUUUGAGUCCGUAGAGCAUAAAGCUCUGUUCAUCUGUAUUUUAGCGUUAAGCUGUGAAAGUCUUCCACUGGCCUCAUUCAUGACAAUAUAUCACAGUUCUGUUUGUUUAUGUCUGCAGAAAGUAGAAGGAGCACUUGAGAAAAGCACAGACUUAUCUAAUCAAGGUUUCAUACUAGAGGAGGAUCCAGAGUAUCAGCUUAUUGUCGAUUGCAAUGCUUUAUCAGUAGAUAUUGAGAAUGAGCUCAUUAUAAUCCAUAAUUUCAUACGUGACAAGUAUAGGCUGAAGUUUCCUGAACUGGAAUCCCUUGUUCAUCAUCCAAUUGAUUAUGCCCGUGUUGUUAAGAAGAUCGGAAAUGAGGUGGACUUAACUCUUGUAGAUCUGGAAGGGCUUUUACCUUCUGCAGUUAUAAUGGUUGUCUCUGUGACAGCAUCAACAACUAGUGGGAAGCCCCUUUCUGAGGAGAAUUUGUUAAAAACCAUUGAAGCAUGUGACAGAGCUCUUAAUCUUGACGCUGCAAAAAAGAAGGUGCUUGAUUUUGUAGAGGGCAGAAUGGGUUACAUCGCACCAAACCUGUCUGCCAUUGUUGGCAGUGCUGUUGCUGCAAAACUGAUGGGAAUUGCUGGUGGUUUGGGAGCACUUGCAAAAAUGCCUGCUUGCAAUGUUCAAUUACUCGGAGCAAAGAGGAAAAAUCUUGCUGGAUUUUCUACUGCCACAUCUCAGUUUCGUGUUGGCUAUCUUGAGCACACUGAAAUAUUUCAGAGCACCCCUCCAGCCCUGAGGACCCGUGCUUGCAGACUUAUAGCUGCAAAGUCAACUCUAGCAGCAAGGAUUGAUUCAAUUAGAGGUGAUCCAACUGGAAAAGCUGGUCGGAACUUGUUGGAAGAAAUUCGUAAGAAGAUCGAGAAGUGGCAAGAACCACCUCCUCCUAAGCUUCCAAAACCACUUCCUGUUCCAGACUCUGAGCCUAAAAAGAAAAGAGGGGGCCGCCGCCUUCGAAAAAUGAAGGAAAGGUAAGCUGUUCUCAACUUUAUUUAUUUGUCUAAAGAAUACAUGUUUAACAGCCUCAUGCUUAUUUGUGUGUUAAACUACUUCCUUAUAUGCUGAAACUUGAUUCAUCACAUAUGCAGCAUGUGUUCUUGUCAUAAUUGUGGAAACUUGAUUCUGCAGAUAUGCGGUGACUGAUAUGAUGAAGCUUGCAAACCGAAUGCAAUUUGGUAUACCGGAGGAGAGCUCAUUAGGUCGGUAUUGACAGGAUGGUUUGAAUAACAUUUUGUUAGUUACUUUCACUAUGCCUUAAAAUUGACAUGAUCGCAUCUUGCUGUCACCAGGUGAUGGCUUGGGUGAAGGUUAUGGCAUGCUUGGGCAGGCCGGUAGUGGAAAACUACGCGUGUCAGCUGCGCAAAACAAACUUGCUGCUAAAGUGGCCAAGAAGUAUGUUGUUUUAGUUCUUCCCACAGCAUCUUUUUUUUUUAUAUUUUGUUCCUGCCAUUUGAUAUUUGCAAUAAGCACACAACUACUACUUAGCUCCCCGAUGGAGGUCUUCUGCCCUUCCGCACCAACAAAAAUAGCAAUCAUAUGUAGUGCAAUGGUUUUUUUCUGGCUUUUUUAAAAUUCAACAGAACCUGGUUCAACUAUUGAGAUGUGCAAAAUUUAAUACAACCUGGUUCAAACUAUUGACAGGAAAAUGAGCAAAACAUUGAAACUUAGAUCAUCCUCAAUUUUAAGAUAUCAAGGCAUACAUCAAUAAGAAAUAGUUAUUACAGCUUUCAAUUCACUAUUAUUAAGUCCACCAUGAUUCCCAAUUUCCCAGAACUUAAUAUGUUCAAUGUAGUGCUUUGUGCUUUAUACCGUGCUCAUAUUUAUGUUCCCCUGUAAAAAUAUCAGGUUGUUUAGUUUACAAACUUCUUCAUUAAUGAUAGUUUCCACCACGUACAAGUUCCAGUAACCCAGCAGGCACUAUUGUUACAAUGCUGCUGCCACUCUCUUUAUUAUCCUUAACAUUGUUGUUUCUAUUUAGUUCCUGAUCUCUUUUGCGAUAUCAUGUCUGCAUCCUCUCUUUGAUAACACGUUACUUUACGAUAUCAGAUUCAAGGAGAAGAGCUAUGGUAGCAGCGGCGCGACAUCUGGACUGACAUCUAGUUUGGCCUUCACACCAGUUCAGGUGAGUUUUAUUUUUUCUUCUCUGGUACACUUCAAGAUAGGUAAUUGUGUUGUGCAUGACCUUUAGCUGGUCCAAAUUUGGAUCCUGGGGUUAUGGCUGCUACCUAGUCUAGAUUGUUAUUUAACUUCUACUAUCUUGUAUUUGGUUAAUUAUUUGUUUGACUUGUGCUUAUGUUUGAGGAAUCUGAACCCUUCAUUUUUGUUUCUACUUUUUUGCUGCACUACUAGAAGAUUCCUAUUUUUUGCUUCCCAAGUCAACAUGAACCAUGUAUGUUCUACGUCAUUCUACUGCACAGCAUUGCAUGGUCUUUUUCCUUCUUAUGAAUCAGGCACUCUAUAUAUUGAGCAAUAUCUACAUAUAUUAAUUACACCUCUCAAUGCUAUUGCACUUUUACAGUCACUGAUUACUCUGUUGGGUUUAGUUUUGAAGGAUUAACCACAUAAAUCCCUGAACACCAUCCCAUCUUAAUAUAACUGUUUUCGCUUACAGGGAAUAGAGCUGUCGAACCCGCAGGCCCAUGGGAAUCAUCUUGGAAGUGGUACCCAGAGCACCUAUUUCUCCGAGACCGGCACAUUCUCAAAGAUCAAAAGGACCUGAGAUCAGAAGUUUGAAGAUCAAAAGGACCUGGGAUUAGGAGAGGAUGGUUCCUUGGUCCAAGCAAUUUAAUCAUCCCAUUCUGUGCACAAUUAUCAGGAGCUCUUGGGAUGCACCUCUAACACAGAACCUGCUUGUAAUAUUCUCAAUGAGUUGAGGCACAAACUCUGGAAACUUUUGCAGUGGUUUGGAACAUAAGUACAGUGCGCUAUAUAACAUGUUUUCCCUGCAGUUGUUACUGAUUAUUGUUGAGCUGUCUUGUACGAGAUUGCUGCGUUCCAAACAUAUGCCUUGACGUGUUAUCAUCAUCGUGUCUCAUGCUAUUGGAUUCUUGCAACCUCUGCUGAGGUUCCAUUACCCUGCAAAGCAAGUUGAGCUCAAGAAAUAUAACUGCAUGCUUUUUUCUUCUCCUUUUGAUAAUUAUAAUUUUGUUUUUCUUCUUGCACUGCUCUAUCAUGUCAGUAUUAAUAAAUAUAGUUGUGUGCAUCGAUUGAUGUAGAGGUCUUGGUUCUUCUUUUCAGAAUAACAAAAAUGAGACCAUGCCUGUUGGAUGUUCUUGAUUUUACUGUUGCGGUGUUCUAACCAGUGAUAAAAUUUGAAGAUGAAUUUCUUACAGUGUACUCCUAAUUUAGGAUGAGAUUUUAUUUGGUUGCAAAAAUCAAAAAAGAAUCAGGCUAAUAGUGCCGACAGAUCAAGUUGUUGGACCACACUUAUGGCUCCAAGAAGGCAUUGGGCCCACAGACCAAUUACGAGCAAGUCGACGGCCCACCCAUCCCUUUCAUUCAACAAGCUAGUAACACUAAUUGCUCUUCUUCCUCGGUUCCUCCACUGAAAAUAGAGAAAAGAGAGAUUGCUCUUCUUCUCCUACCUUUUCCCCUCUUCUCUCUACCUCGCCAAACUCCUACCCGAUCAGCAGCAACUUCAACCGAUAUUUGCUUGGUAAUCCCAUCUCUCUGUUUCGUCUGCUUACUACCUUUCCCCCUCUAAUUUUAUGGUCUGUUUGCCUGUAAUAAAUUCUUCUGAAUAUGCAGCGUCUUGCUGUGCCUUCUCCGUGUUCAGAAAUAGUCUUAAUUUAUUUGAGUGAUGGCACUGGAAAAGUGAAGCUUGAGUUGCUUGCUACCUAACGAUUGUAUGUAUUCUUGAGGGUGCAGCUGAGAAGAUGCCGGAGCAGUCGGAGAACGCGGCGGAGAGCAUGGUGAGCGGCAUCAUGGACGCCAUCGCCGACAAGCUCCCCAAGCAGAAGUCGGUCCGGUUCGACGACGAGCCGGGCUCCUCCAUCUCCGGCCAGGCCAAGAGGCUCUUCGGCGGCCACAAGUCCGUCCACCACAUCCUCGGCGGUGGAAAAUGUCUGAAACCUCAUCACACCUGAAAACUCUUAUCUUCCCCAUCAAUUUGACUACAUGAAUUUGCUGAUGGGUUGAUUAAUUCUUGCUGGAUCCUGACGACCGAUGAUCGCCGAUCGUCACAGCCGCCGACGUGCUGAUGUGGAGGAACAAGAAGAUGUCCUCGAGCGUUCUUGCCGGUGCAACGGUGGCAUGGGUGUUCUUCGAGUGGUUCGGCUACCAUUUCCUGACCAUUGUAUCCUUUGUGCUUGUUCUUGGCAUGGUUGCCCAGUUUGGCUGGUCCAGCUUCUCAGGCAUGCUCAAUGGGUAUGUCUGUAUAUAUAUUCAUUCCUAUACAUACCAUUGAUCUCCAACCAUUUUUCUGCAAGUUUCUUGUAUGAUUUCUGAUUUUUUUUCCCAGGUCAUCUUCUAACGUGCCACGUGUCGAGUUGCCAGAGGAGCUGUUCGCGAACGCAGGCGCCGCCAUCGGCGCCCAGGUGAACAGGUUCCUGGGGAGCUUACAGGAUGUGUCCUGUGGAAGAGACCUGAAGCAGUUCCUAAAGGUAUGAAUGGGGUGAAUGAACUCUGUUCCAUCAGUUUUGCUCCCUUUGCAAACUUGCAGAUAUCAUGAGCAAAGAUUGAAUUCUUCUUUCAGGUGAUCGUCGGGUUACUUGCCGCCGCUUUCGUCGGUGGCUGGUGCAAUCUCAUAACAGUCAUCUACAUUGGUAACAGCAGCUAUGAUUUCACUUCAUAUUGAGGGGCGGUUUAUAUUAACAUAUGAACAGAUAAUCUUUCUGUUUUUCUUCUUCUGUCUGUCAUUUACAUUGGUGCUCCGGUGAUCCCAGGGUUUGUGUGUGCACACACUCUUCCAGUGUUCUAUGAGAAGUACCAUGAUCAAGUUGAUGAGGUCGUGAACAACAUGCUUGGGCUGAUUGGGAGCCAGUACCAGAAGCUUGACAAAGGGGUCCUGAGCAAGAUGCCAAAAGGGAACCUCAAGUUCAAGAAAAGCCAGUAGCUCCAAGAUGUGCCUAAAGGGGACUCUGGAUUGUAGUACUAUAUUGUACAGCUCAUAGCAGUACUGUGUGUAUUUUCUAUGUUUCUCUAUAGACAAUGGAAGUAUCCUCCAUUUAUAUUUAUAUUAAUAGCAGCAAUUUAGCCAUAUUUGAGCCCAAUUUUCUGACUGGCAUCCUUUGACAGAAUGAAAAGAAAAACAAUUUUGAGAGAUGAAAUCAUAACCAGGUUACAUUUGGCUGCAGAAGAGACGACACCACGGUAUCCAUUUGACCAAACAUUAGGCAUGCAAGUUAUAGGUUUUUUCAUCUGCACUGGUCAGGUUUCACAGAUGUUGUAAAUGUAGUCAACAUGUACCAGCUUCCAAACUGUUAAACUAAACAAGAGGCAAGAUGUUUCUGCGUUGAAGGGAACACGAGCCAAAAUUACUACUUAGAAGACCACACUAUUCACACACUAAGUUAUCUCUUGUCAUGUCACUGAACCUGCAUCAAAGUUGCUCGUCGUCAAAGAAUUAAUAGUACAAUUAGGCAAGUGGAGGCCAUAGUUGUAGUUGCACAGAGUUCUCCAGAUUUUACCUCAUAUCACAAGCAUGAGACACAAUAUCCACAGUUAGAACAUCCAUAGUUAAAAAAAUCUAGUUCUUACCACAGAAAUUGAAAAGUUCACACGGAGAGAUGUUUACAGGUACCCACGAAUGUAAAUAGUCUCACUAUCCAUCAAGGCGUGAAAACAUAACUGUGUAAAAUACAUUGUUGAAGACACUAUAAUUGGUCAACAGGGUGGAAAAUCUUGCACACUGCCAAUUUAGCAAUGUUAUUAACUCCUUACUAAAUAAAGAGAAAAUUGGUCCACCCACACAUGCAAUUUCCAUGAUCCUAAACAAAUGUCAGAAACACAAAUAUAUUCCUGGACUUCUAUCCUUCAGAGAUUGCAGCCAAUGUUUUCUUCUCUGCCGAAUGAGAAAUCAAACUCAUCAGUGUUCAGGUUAGUAACAACUGCUAACGACUGAACCAGAUAUUGCUAUAGCAGAUAACCAAUAUCCAUCUGACAGAAAUUACGAGCUUACUACGCAUGGUGAAAACUUUGUUGCGCCAUACGCUGAUACGCAGCCAUCAAUCCUCAUAGCCCGUUCUGGGUCCAUGUCAAUCUGAAAUUCGUCGGCAUUUCCCCUCGGCAAGCGGCAGCAUAGUCUUCAGCGAGCUGUGGCAGAGCUUCCUUGUGAGGGCUUAUGAUCCUCUUCAUGAACAGCUUCUCGCUCAUCAUGACUGCACUAUAGCAGCUCAACUCCCGCUUUAGCAAUCCAUUUGCCUUGAGAAAGUUCAAAACGUAGUACCGGGAUCUGAUCCGGCCCUCCAGGCUGCAAGUGAGCAGUCCCGCCCGGUGAGCUAUGUAUGCCGGUUCCAACCCCACCUCGGAGAUCAGGAACUCUGACAAGCUCUGCAGCGUGUCCUUGGAACGCGCCAGCAACGUUGGAGCCUUAGAAACAGCUAUGCCUGCCUCAGCCUCCGACCACCUGAAUGUGUUCUUCAAAUACUCCACUUUGGCAGCGAGCGCGUCCUCACUCUGGAAUCCGAUAGCAUGCAAUGCAUGCCGGAACAUCUUAGAGCCACGGGGCACACCUAUAGCUUCGGCGCACUUCACCAUCGACCGGAUGCGCUCUGCUUUGGCGGUAAGAAUCCAUGGCACGCCGGUGCACAGUUUGGCAAUAUCACAAUCAGCUAGCCCGCACUCCCGAAGGAAGGCCCGAUUGGGGUCUAUCACCUUGUCGAGGCUGGAGGUGAGAAGGUAGGAGUUUGUCCUGAGGGCCCGGAGGAGGUUCUCGGGGGAACCGAAGAGGGGAAGGUAGUAGCUCAGCUUGGAGACGAUGGAUCUAAUGCGGAAGUGGCUGCCUUCGAGAGAGACGAGGCGCGCGAUCUCAGAAUGCGAUAGACCGAGGCCGGUGAGCUCGACGACGUUGGGUUCCAGGAUUGCCCCGACGCCGGCGCAGAGGAACUUGGGGUCCUUGGCAACGAGGGCGGCGACGUCGGAGCUGGAUAGGCCGAGGCCGGCGAGGAAGGCGAGGACGGCGUCGGGAUUGGAGGGAGACUUGAGGUGGGAGAGCUUCUUGGAGGCCUUGAGGGCUUGCGGUCGGGUGAGGCCGCAGGUCUCGACCAGAUAGUCUGCGACGGCGAAGCCAGGGUUCGGGGAAAUUUGGGGCGCGGCGACCACGGCCGUGGAGAGAAGGCGGUGGAGAGAGGGGAGGGGAGAGGCGGAGGGAGAAGAGAGGAGCCGGGUAAGGACGAAGCUUUGGAGGCGGAUCAUGGCGUCGCCGGCGGCUAGGGAAAGGGGGCGGAUUUGUGGGCGGCGGCGGCGAAGCAGACUGGAAUCAGGAGCGAAGGAGAAAGCCCUCCUUAAUUUUCCUAAAUUCUUUUGAACUAAAACCACUUAACCACGACAAGAACUUUGAAAUGCACAGAGUGAUUCUUUUUACGGAGUUGCCAGUUAAUGCAGAAAGAGACUCAUUUACUAGUACUCCUAGAUUGUUUUGUUGGCGAUUGCAAGAAUGUCUGGUCCACAAAUUUAGGUUUUUUUUUCUGAGGAAGGUGGGAAACCAUUUGCGUCGAUAGCAACACGGCCAUUGUGCAAAUUCGUUUUGGAUUAUUUUUUUUCCUUAUAUUUUUUAGAAAUUUGCGGCUAGCUUUGGAAGGAAACGGUCCAUAAUUCUCUUUGUCUAAAAACAUGACAAGAAUUAUGAGACGCAGGAAACACCUUUUAAAUGAAGAUGUGCUCGCCGGCCUUUUGACUUGCAUAAGGGAUAAUGCGGACCACUCGAUGCUCGCUAGAGGACUUAUCCCCUUCGACCAUGUUUGGUUUUUCUGAACUUUUUUUUCCUGGGUUGUUGGCGUCGCACCUCUUGGUUUCUCGAUGACCGCCGUUAUUUUCUCGCCUUCCUUCCCGUAGCGUUUUUUGCGUUGCGAACAUUGUUUAUCGUUGUCGAUCAACAGUUAGUAUAGGAGGUGUCGAUGCGCGAUGGCCAGAAACAAAGUGGACGCGUACGUCGAUCUUAGGAAAGAUUGCAGUACACCUAGUCCUAUGUUAGGGGAGAGUCAACAAUGGGAUCAUUACCCAAUUUUCAGCCAAACGAGUCUUCUCAAAAUACACUUAGGGAGAGAUCCUUUGGGCCCUCUCAUGCAAUGAGGUCUUUCCGAGCAACGAGAUAAGAAUACCUUUUGAACUCUAACCCAAUUCCGAGCUCCCACCAACCUAAAGCUCCUGCGGAGCCUCUGGGCCUCUCCAUUUGGUUUAUUCAAGUUUAGAGUGAGUGAUACAUGACCCCUUGGAGGUUAUGUAGGUUAUGGGUACAUGACAAAAGUUCAUCGCUGCCUUUUUUUUUUAACACGAUGUCUCCCUUGGUGGGAGAGAGAAAAUGAGGAAAGGUAGGUGUCUUGAUCCAUAUAUUUGUGGAUGCACCAAGUGGGAAAAAGGAAUGGUUGAUGGACCAUAUGCCUUAUUCGUUCAUCAUUUGUCCACUUUGCUUCUAUCCCCUCAUUCUCUUUUCUUCCUCCAAUUUGAGUCAUUUCACUUUGACCAUGGUUAGGAGGAUUGCCUUUUUCGACUUGACUUGACUUUAAUACCUUGUAGGCUUGACCAUGCCACCACGUGUUUGAAUAUUGUUUACUUGGACCGGUCCAUAUAAAAGAUCUUUUCUACGAGAACAAACCCUGCUGUGAACUUUAGUUACUUAGCCAUCGGCUUUUCGUCUGUGCUGUGAUCUUAGCAACUCACAUGCUAACUUUCAAAAAGGAAAAAAGAGGUUAGUAGCUGGUGGAAGUGGAUAUUGAAGUCAAGGGAUUUGGAGGAUACAGUUUGAGAGCUUCCGUUGCUGCCCAGGACAGGAGUGUUUCUUCGCAGGCUCGCAGGUAUCGUAUACACUGGGCCGAGGGAGCUCCCAAGUCCCAAUGGGUGGCUGCCCGUAUGUACUGUACUAGGCAUGGACGUGAGCGCAGUUUUGCGUAAUUGAUGUGAUAAUUUUUAAUGUAUUAUUAGGUAUGUGCAUUUUUUUUUCUGAGCCUGCCGCCUGCAUCUCGAUAAUGCUUUACUCUGCUUUGCCAUGUGAGCUCUUUGCUCUCGUGCGAUUGCAUGUAGAGGCGCGGGUACUUGGAAGUAGCGUGAGGUGCAUCACUACUCAGAAAAAUUGUUGCUUCUCACAAGUUCUUUUUUCAAUUUGUGCGGCAUGCUUUGUUGGGCCUUUUUUUUCCAUUGUCACCAAAUGAUGACACACAAAGAAAAUAAGGUUCAAUAUGAGCCAACCAUAUUUACUCAGAUUUUUUUUUGCGAAGAAUAUUUACUCAGAAUUAAUUGCAUGCAUUGGGAGUAAGCAGUAGGAAGAUCUUCACCACGGAUUCUUCAAUUGCCAUCUAUGAGACGCAUUGCAUGAUAUUACUCUAAAGUUACUGUUUAGUUUUGUACUGCAAUUGACAACCGAAUCAUAUUGACUACUCAUAGCUUUAUGUUGAUCCUGAAAAUUGAAAAGAUGUUUAUUGAAUCAGCUUGAUAAUAGAAACAAGUUGACGAGGUUGUGCCUGUGCCAUAAAUCUGAGUAAACACUAAUGGCUCCAAACCAUAUAUUUGUGUAUACAAAAGAAUAAGAUGACAAAAGGUUUGUUAGCAUGGUAAGUUGCGGCAAAAAAUAUAUAACCAGAAGACACUGCAAAAAUUGCAUGUGUGUUACAGAAGGAGAGUGCUACUGAUCUGGCCACGGUUCUAGCAAGAUGGCACACCUCUUCAUGUUUCAAAUUACAAUUAGAUCUCGCCACAUGGUACUAUGAUACAUGGAUGUUUAUCUUCUCCUUACAACAAUAUCUGCAAAGCGAACGGGAAAGUUAGAUGUACUUAAGAUAAAGUACGUACCCUUAUCGAUCUAAUAUGUAAGGAAAACUUAAAGAGUACAAUUUAAUAAUUAAUUAUCAGUACCACUUGUAUGCUGGUAUUAUAAUCAAGUAAAGCCGGGCUCUCCUAAUUUCAUGGACAGAGUAGCCUGAGCUCUCAGCUGGCCGUUUUGACACACACACCCACAGGUAAUAAAAAAGUUAAUGCAUUGUAGGGAUAUCGGUCACGGUGUUGUUGGGCUUCUUCUGGUUUGGACUCUGGACCGGGCCUGCUUGGGCUGGGCCUUUGUUGGCGUGCGUGUGCUGUCGUUACGUCAUCCAGAUCCGGCCACAGCUUUCGGAAGGUUCCUGGACCGUCCAUUUUUGCGACGAUGGCGACGACGGAGGGAAGGAGAAGAAAGAUGGUUGGGGCCCAGGGAUUCCGUCCGACCAGCUAGCGCAGCCACGUUCCUCACGUUGCAGCAGCAGCUCGGCUCCAAGACAAGCAACGGCAGCUGAUGGAGGCAUGCUACUGUGCAAGGCAAGCCACACACGCAGCCAGGCCAGCAUAUCUCCCCCGGCGGGCCUGCCGGCUACCGGCCAAACUAAACUGGUCAGAAAAAGCUUCUGAGAGCCUCGCAGCGAACUAUAGUUAAAACCUGCCAGCUGCUCAUCUGCCACUCGUGGCUCGGUGACUCGGUGAGUGUGCAGCAAAGAGCGGAGCUAGCUAGGCUGUCCGUGCGUGAAGAUGGCCGCCGCUUGGUCGAUGCAGGUCGGCGGCGGCUGCCGCUGCUCUUUCGGCGGCCGGAGAGCGGCGUCGGGGAAAGCGGUGCGGCGGCUGCCGGUGAUAAGGGCGUCGGCGGCGAAGGUGGAGGAGGAGGAGAAAGUGAGGCUGGGGGAGUCGAGCGUGGCGGUGAGCAAGCUGGGGAUCGGGGCUUGGUCCUGGGGCGACACAACUUACUGGAACGACUCCGAAUGGGAUGGUCAGUACGUCGUCCGUCAGAAAGUCUCUGAAAUCAACGCUCUUAAUUAAGUUUAUUUCAAAAAAACAAACCGUGUGAGAAACAUUAGACAAAGAAGAAGAAUUUUGUUGGAGUUUUUUUUCUUUUUUUUCCGUUGCAGACAGGAGGCUCAAGGAGGCGAAAGCCGCGUUCGACGCCAGCGUCGACAACGGGAUGACCUUCUUCGACACCGCCGAAGUCUACGGAACAGCGGUAAUUAAAUUACUUGCUUGAUCAAGCAGCAACCGUCAACGACAUGCAUGCUUCCUCGAUCUGUCUGUCGGCCAUGACAAACUCUGGAACCUCUUCCAACAUAUUGUACUGACUUCCUCCUCUGCAAUACAAUUCUUCAGCUCAUGGGGGCAGUCAACUCAGAGAGCCUACUGGGAGAGUAAGUGACAUACAUAUCCACCACACCAACAACAAGUUAGAGCACUGAUUAAAUUGUUCUUCAGAGAAUUCAGUCACCCAUGUUGUUGAUCAUGGCAACAUAUAUGCAGUUUCAUCAGGGAGAGGAAGGAGAAGGGCGAGGUGGACGUGGUGGUGGCCACCAAGUUCGCCGCGCUGCCAUGGCGGUUCGGCCGCGGCAGCGUCCUUUCCGCGCUCAAGAACUCCCUCGGCCGCCUCGGCCUCCCCUCCGUCGAGCUCUACCAGCUCCACUGGUACUCUAGUACUACUACACAUCUCUCCUAUCUGAAUCUCACAAUCUUCUUCAGUUAUUCUUCUUCACAACAACUUGCAUGCUAACCAAGCCACCUGAAUCUAAUCUUUCAGGCCAGGGCUAUGGGGCAACGAAGGUACUCAUAAUUCAGAAACCAAUCACAUAAUGACUCAAACUCUUUGGAUUACAUGCAACUUCAUCAUCAGUUCUCCAAGGGGAAGGGGUCGAUUAUUUAACUGGAUGCUUCCAUAUACGAACAAUUGUGUCAAUUCAGGGUACCUUGACGGGCUGGCGGACGCGUACGAGCAAGGACUGGUGAAGGCCGUGGGGGUCUCCAACUACAACGGUACUAAAACAGGACACAAAUCUGAAUAAUAUCAAGUUCCAUUGUUUUCACUUACAGCUGAAUUGCAAAAUUGACCAUAGAUUGCAAUGUGUGUGUUUUCCAGAGAAGCGUCUCCGGGACGCGCACGCGCGGCUGAAGAAGCGCAGGGUGCCGCUGGCGGCGAACCAGGUGAACUACAGCCUCAUCUACCGGACGCCAGAGCUCAACGGCGUCAAGCAAGCCUGCGACGAACUCGGCGUCACACUCAUCGCAUACUCCCCAAUCGCACAAGGCAAUCCAUCAAACACCGUCCAUGUCAACACAUUUCACCAAUACUCAAUUGUUUCUUUGUUUUCACUUCUUGCUAAUAUUUCACCGUUUGUCUUUCAGGUGUUCUGUCCGGGAAGUACACUCCGGAGAAGCCUCCGACGGGGCCUCGAGGGAACACAUACACCCCAGAAUUCCUCACCAAGGUUUAGAUAAUAUGCAUUUUUGUUAUGGGAAGUUAAGGACAACCACUGAAUAUGUGUUUCCAUCUCUAUUAUGUGCGCAUGCAGCUCCAACCGCUGAUGAACAGGAUCAAAGAGAUCGGAGCAAGCUACGGCAAGAACCCGACCCAGGUGCGUGCUAGCUUCAUGAUCUUCACAUCGACAUUAAGUAACAAUCAGUUCUGGAUUAAUUGACGUUUUGGUUUGCAGGUGUCUCUGAACUGGCUGGCGUGCCAGGGCAACGUGGUGCCGAUCCCGGGGGCGAAGAACGCCGUGCAGGCCAUGGAGUUCGCCGGGGCGCUCGGCUGGAGCCUCACCGCCGACGAGGUCGAGGAGCUCAGGACGCUCGCCCGCGAGAUCAAGGGAAUCAAGAUGCCCAUCGAGGAGUCAUGAUCGAAUUGAGUGCUCGAUCGAUGCUCCGGCCGCCGUCCGAUCACCAUAUUCAUGAUCGGCUCUUGCACCGCUGCUUAUUAGCAACCUGCUGCUGAUCGAUGUAAUCACCACCGCCAUGUAUGAUCCCAACCUGUGUCCUAGUAGAAUUAGAAGAAGUAGAAAAUAAAAUGGGUGAAUGAACAGGACAGAGUGUUUUCGGAUGGUUUUGUGGAUCAUAUACAUAUAUACAUUUACAUGGGUUUAGCCACUACACGCCCGCGCGUGUGUGCCCCGGUUAUUUAGCCAAGCACGGUGACCAAUGCAUGGGUUGAAACCAUAACAUUUUUAGUUUUGGACAGAUUUCAGGAUGGGAUUCAAUAAUCUGGUUUUGGCAACAAAAAAAAGUGUGGUGAUAGUAUGAGCUUGGUAUCCUGGUUGUCAUUUCCAAUGGAAUACCAACAGAGUUUAGUCACUUCAGGGCUUUCUGCCAUUUCAACGGGACUGAAAUACUCAAAGCACCAUCUUUGGUAUGCCUACCUUCUCCAAACUCAAAGACAAGGAUGGUUUAGAUUGCAUCAUACCUCUUUGGUCAGGAUAAUCGGCGGUUUCAACUGGUACGGUGCUACUACCUCCGUUCCAUAAUUCUUGUCAAAUAAUUAUAUGUAUCUAGACGUUUUUUAGGAAUAAAUACAUCCAUAUCCAUAUCCAUAUUUAAUCAAAUUUGAUGCAAGAAUUAUGAGAUGGAGGGACUACCCGGCAUCAAUAUAGUGCUUCUAAAUUAGUAAGCAAUCGUGACCCGGAGAUGAUAACGAGGACCCAUUGAUCAAUGUCUCCUCGUUCUAGGCAACUAAGGCCAGGAAGCAAAACAAAUAACAGAACAAAAAAAUCAGGCAUGAAAAUGUAUAUGACACAUCGCUCUAUUGUCGCUGAGAGCAAUGAAAAAUCCCAACUGAGAUCAUCAUUUUCCCCGGUGCGCUAAACAACUUUAACGUUUGAAUUGACAGGGAUAGGCCAUGCUUCCAGGGAUUGAAAAGCCAAAGUUCAUCUCGACUUGGUUAACGAGAUCAAGGUUGGAAAAUAGACUUUUUUUCUCGUUAAAAUAAUUUAUUUUCUUUAGGCCAAAAAAAAUGUGGUCUUUUUUUUUUCAUAAGUCGUGAGCAGUUGGUGCUGUAAAUAAGAAGGCCGUCGUCUCCGGUGCGGUCGCCGGCGCGUCCACGUGGCCCCAUCAUCUUCCCGUGGCCACAAAACAAAACGCGCGCUUCCGCUGCUCCCAAAAACGCCAUCGCGCCCGCCCGCGCCACCCACCACCCACCAAGAACGACCCCCAGCAGGAGCUCACCACUCCCUUGUUGCCGCCGCCUCCCUUCCCGUCCCGUCUUUCCCUCGAUGGCCCUGCAGGUCGCCGGCGGCGCGCCCCACCACCUCGGCGUUCCGCGGCGGCGGCAGCGUUGCGCGGCGCUCCGGCCGCCGCGCGUGGCGUCCGAGAGCGCGGCGAAGCCGGUGGAGGAGGACGGGAGCAACAAGGCGGUCCUUGGCGGGUCCGGCGUCGCGGUGACCAAGCUCGGCAUCGGGGCCUGGUCGUGGGGCGACACCACCUACUGGAACGACUUCCAGUGGGACGGUACGUACGCAAGCAAUCCAUCCUGAGCCUUGUUGCCAAUCCAAAUUCCAAUGCCCGCAGUUCAUCUUUUGGCCAUCGACUCUUUAGUGUAGCCUCUAGCCCUCUACUCGCUGCAAUCUGGUUGUUUGUUGCAUACUUUCGUUCCUGCCCCUGUUUUUCUGGCUGGGCUGGGAAACAGAAUCCAUGGUCCUGUCAUGCACAUGACGUGCUUGUUGCAUUGCCUCUAAAAAACCUAAGAAGGCUGUGUGCCAGAGCUCAGGUCCCAUGUAAGUAUGUAACCACUGAGAAGCUUAACAUCAGCUUAAAAAAUCUGCAGUUUCUGAAUCUUUGCACUGUUCUUGAGUACGGAGCCAAAUCACUGUAGUACUUAGAGUUCCUGCUAUUUAAUUACUAGAAAGUCGUGACGAACAUGGCUCAUUCGAUAUGAAAUGAACAAGCAUCUUCCUGAAUUAAUUUGGCAGACAGGAAACUCAAGGCAGCUAAAGGCGCAUUCGAUGCGAGCGUCGAUAGUGGAAUUACCUUCUUUGACACUGCAGAAGUGUAUGGUGCAGGGGUAGGGAUCCAGCCACUUCUUGCUCUACUAUUGCUCAUUCUCUAGAUCUUUUCAUGGCAACUUUGACAGCACCUCUUGAUUUCGAUGUUAUUUAGGUAUCAGGAGCGAUAAACUCUGAAAGUUUACUAGGGAGGUACGCAUGUCAUGCUUCCUUGUUCAUCAUUACGAUAUUAUUUAAUAAUUACUGUUCCACAACCAGGGGUCUUUCCACAAUGAUUCUGAUUCUAAUUGUUACAAGUUCCCCUUAAUUCCCACCAGAUUUAUUAAGGAAAGGCAACAAAAAGAAAAGGUCGAGGUGGCCAUCGCAACAAAGUUUGCAGCUCUUCCAUGGAGGUUUGGCCGGGGAAGUGUUCUUGCUGCGUUGAAGGGCUCACUUUCCCGCCUUGGCGUCUCCUCUGUUGAGUCGUACCAACUUCACUGGUUAGUUCAACUUUCUAGCUUCGAUGCUAUUUGCCAUAUACUCUCUUUAGGUUGCUGAAACUAUUCCUUUCAUAUCCUUUUCAGGCCUGGGAUAUGGGGUAAUGAAGGUAUCAGCUAAAACUCUACCUACAUAAAUGUUAAAACAUCUUUGUUAAACCCACUACAGUGCAGUAACCUCAUUGUUCUUGGUCUGCUUACAUGAUCCAGGUUACCUUGACGGCCUUGCUGAUGCUUAUGAGCAAGGUCUUGUAAAAUCUGUUGGAGUCUCAAACUACAGCGGUUUGUAAAAUCUGACUUCAUUGCUCAUCCGACGAAAAGAUGUUAUGCUACUUGCUUUUAUUUCGAACAAAACUAAGCUCAAUCACAUCCAUUACCAGAGAAACGUCUGCGGGAUGCUUACGACCGCCUCAAGCAAAGGGGAGUUCCACUCGCUUCAAACCAAGUAAACUACAGUCUGAUAUACAGGAACCCUGAGGAAAAUGGGGUGAAGGCAGCUUGUGAUGAACUUGGCAUCACUUUGAUUGCAUAUUCCCCAAUUGCCCAAGGUACAAUCUAUUACCAUGUACAACUUUUCAAUCUGAAUUACUCCCAUGUACAACUUUUCAAUCUGUUUCCUCUAUUUCAGGAGCUUUGACAGGAAAAUACACGCCAGAAAAUCCCCCGACCGGGCCUCGUGGACGGAUAUACACUCCUGAAUUCCUGACCAAGGUUGUGAAAUUAGGAACUAUUAAUCAUAAGCUUUGCUGCAAUUAAACCUUUGAACUCUCUCCCUUCCAUCUCUGCUGCUGCUUACCAACCCCUUGCUGACUGAAGAGAGAUCUUCUCAUGCCACACAAUUGCAGCUCCAACCACUCAUCAACAAGAUCAAGGAGAUCGGAGGAAGCUACGACAAGACCCCAACUCAGGUGCUGUGCUCUUUGCAUGCAUGUUCCAUAAUAUAUACAAUGUCUCCUUGAUUGCCAAGUCAUAUAUAUAUAUAUACCUCACCAACCCAUGAAGAAAUUAAAUGAUUCUGACGACAAAACAGCAGAUUUCAGGCAGAUUUAAUUUCAUGACAUGCAUGAUGAUUAUUAAUUAAGCUGGCAAAUAAAGUUUGCAAAUGAUCGCUGAUGUUGGUUGGUUGUUGUUUUCAGGUGGUUCUGAACUGGCUGAUGUGCCAGGGGAACGUGGUGCCGAUCCCGGGGGCGAAGAACGCGGAGCAGGCGAGGGAGUUCGCCGGAGCGCUGGGGUGGAGCCUGACCGGCGACGAGGUGGAGGAGAUGAGAUCCAUGGCGCGGGAGGUCAAGCCGGUCAUGGGGUUCCCCGUCGAGAGGCUGUAAAACAACAAUCUGCAGCCAGUUUGUGGCUCAUCAAGAUAUAUCUAUAGUACAGCAUUGAUCUAGGCACAUACAGUACAUAUAUAUAUAUAGGAGAUUAGUUACGUGAAAAAUUCGAGUUAAAAUUGUAAAAAAGGAGAAUAUAUAUAUAUAUAUAUAUAUAUAUAUAUAUAAUAAUGUGGAUCAAAGUUCAAAAACUGGGCCGAUCUUGAUUCUCAUGAUCUCAUCACAAAACAUGAUUACAAUUGUUUUCCCUCCUUCUGGUCUGUUUUUCAGAUAGGAGUAGCUGCUGAAAUCAUGAUAUCUUUUUGUCACGUUUUUACUUGACUUGAAAAAAAAAACUAAGUCGGCAGAGAAAGGAGACUCGUGAUAUAUAUCCCUACAUGCAUGUGCCUGUGCAGCAUGGGAACUUGGAUGUUGGACUUUUGCUCCCAGCUCGGUGCAAACGGAGAAGAAGAAGAAAUCAAAAGAGGGGAAAGAUUAUAAUCUCUAUCUUGGUACGUACGUAUAAACCUAUUCUUUUUCUUUUUUGCUACUUCCCUUCUUUCAUUUAUAAGACGUUUUGGCAACUCAAUUUAGUUCGCCAAGAAGUCUUAUACCAAAAAAGUUUCAAGUUUGCUAAAUUUGGAUGCAUCAUGACUUAGUGUAUUGAUGCAUUCAAAGUUGGUCAAAGUUGAAACAUUUUUUGUUGGACUGAGGGAGUAAAUAAAAACGGAGGAAAUAGAAUGCAUUUCAGCAGUGCAUCGAUAUUCAAUAGAAGGGGAAGGCCAAAGCCGAGUACAAUGCCAGAGAGCUGGUCAUGGUGUAACAAAGAAGGUCUUUGUGGCCGCUAGCAACACCCUCACAGAAUGAGCUCGACUAGUCUCAUCCCGGAUCACUUGCCAUAGCCUGCGGAAGGCAAUCAUUAAAUACCAAAUCAUUAAUGCGAUCAUUAAACACCACAUCAUUCUUGUGUCGCCACAAACACCAAAACACUAAGGAGAUGGCAGUUUGAAGAUCUUAUUGCUCACGCAGGGGCCAUUUUGGAUGACCACCACUCCACGAGCUGGAAAUCCUGAGUCAGCCUCCAAUCAAGUCGUUGCCUCAUUUUGAUUUGCAAGUCAUGUUUGUGUGACUAAAGUGUUCCACCGUUCAAGUUUUUAGACCGUCAAUGCACGGAUGAGUUUGGUUCUUUGUCUAAGGCUUAAUUGAGUAGCUGCACAUUUUUAGAAAACUCAUGUAAUUUUAAUUGUCAAUUGUACAUUCUUAUAUCUAAAAUUAUAUAAAAAGUCAUAAAAAUUCCGAGAAAGAAUUUAUACUAAUUUACAUAUAAAUGUAUGAGGCUCACCCGUAGAAUUCGGAGUGACAAAUAUAUUCAUUCAUGGAGACGUGAAAAAAAAAACAAAUAUGUGCGUCUAUAAUAAUAGAGCGUUCGCUCCAAGAGAAAGACGACGUUCACUCCUCAUAGAUUUCGUUAUUCGAUGAAUUUUGACGAUGGGCCACUGGAUCGACCGAGAACAUCCAACAGAAAAGAGCUUCCCCAUAUUUGCUUCUUUGAAAUCCUUAAAUAUAAGGAUUCCCAAGACACCCUCCUCAAAUCAUCUUCAUCUUCAACAGAUUUCUCAUAUUUCAUUGGAUUCCCAAGAUACCCUUCUCAAAUCAUCUUCAUCUUCAACAGAUUUCUCAUAUUUCAUUCCCUGUAUCUCAUCAAGAUUCGGAAAAGACAAAUCAAGGGCUGAUUUUUGUCUCUCCCUCCCACCAUUUUCUUUCUUUGAAAUCCCGAGCUCAAUUUGAGAAACGGCUUGAAAUGGAAAAUGAGACGGGCAUCUGCUGGAGAUCUUUUUUAAGUCAAAAUUCUCAAAUUUAACUGCAGGGAACGGGAUUAGAACUAUCAUGGAGGAUGCUUUAAUCUCAGAUUAGGAGCAAAUCUUUUCUUCCCGUCUGCGCCUCCUUCUAUUCCCUGUUCCCCGAGAAAGGAAAUCCAACCCAACUGACACCAGCAAGCCCACAGCUUCCCGCAGCCCUCCUCCUCGUCUCUGAGAAACCGAAAGCACCAAGCUUUUGACGGACGCAUAGGCACACCUCGCUCUCCGCCGGUUUCUGUUUGCUCAACUGACUGGACAGACACAGCCCGGUGUCAAUCGAUCGAGCAGCUCGGGUGCAAAGGAUCGAGUGCCCAGUGCUGCGAGGAUCGAUCGUUGAUUCAAUUCAUGGACAUGGACGGUGGCACGAGACCGGCGCCGAGCCGGAACCGCAAGAUACGCCUCCCGUACGCAGUUUAACUUCGAGCUUCUCUGAUCGAUUUGAUGAUUUGAUUUUGUGUUCUUGGGGUGAUUGUUGCUGGUUGUUGCGUGGCGCAGGAUGGAGGGCGGCGGCGAGCUGAUGGAGCUGCUGUGGCAGGACGGAGCCGUCGUGGCGCAGGCGCAGCGGAGGUGCUCCCAGAGCGGCGCCGGCGCGAGCGGGGUCACGGGGGAGGGGGACGCGGCCGCGUGGCUGGCCCCUGACGGCGGCGGCGGCAGGGACCUGUACUCGCAGCUCUGGCGCAGCAUCGCCGACGCCGACGGCGCGGGCGCCUUCGUGGCGGGGAGCUCGAGCCGCACCGGCGAGGCGGCGGCCGGGUCGAGCUUCUGCGGGAGCAACGCGGUGGCGCCGCCGCCGCCGCCGCUGCUGCCGUCGCCGGAGGCGGAGGCGGAGGAGGAGGAGGAACCCGGCGCGUCCUCCGCGGCCGGCGGCCACGCGCUGCUGCUCAAGAGGGGGAGGGACGAGCUGGACGAUAGCCGCUGCGAGGUCGUCUUCUUUUUUCCCCCAUUCUUGUUGGUGUGCAAUGGCAACGGCCUGUGUUAAGUUUGUUUAAUUUCGGCUCAGUUAGUGACAGAGUGGAAAGGAUUUGCAGGACGCCGACGACUGCGAGGCCGUCGACGAGACACGGACGUCGAGGCGGCCGGCGGGGAAGCGCAGGGCUCGUGCCGCCGAGGUCCAUAACCAGUCGGAGCGGGUAAGCUAUGACGAACCAACCAUUCCCAUCUCCAUCGCCGGUGGCGCUACUUGGAGAGUGCUCUUGAUUUGAUGUGGUGCCUCCUUUUUUUUUUGCAGAGAAGAAGGGAUCGGAUCAACGAGAAGAUGAAAGCGUUGCAAGAGCUCGUGCCUCAUUGCAACAAGGUAGAAUCACAGUUUUGAGUUCUUGUUACGUUUGAGUUUGUGUUGUAUUUGUGGUGAACUUAUCAUCCUAGUUAUAAAAAAAAUUCAGAGCGACAAGGCGUCGAUACUAGAUGAAGCAAUCGAGUACUUGAAGUCCCUGCAAUUGCAAGUUCAGGUUCAAUAUCACACUUCCGAUUUCCAAUUUCUCCUCAUUUAUGUAAAAUUAUAGUCCGUGGUCAAUCAAUCUUUAGUACUCCGUACUCCGCUGAGGGUGUUGCUUCGGGUUCAGAUCAUGUGGAUGACUACCGGGAUGGCGCCGAUGAUGUUCCCCGGUGCUCACCAGCUCAUGCCGCAGAUGGCAAUGGGCUUGAACCCUGCGUGCAUGCCCACAGCACAGAGCCUGAGCCAGCUGCAAAGAGUAGCACCAUUCAUGAACAAUCCUCUCCCAAAUCAAAUGCCUCAGGUCCAGCCUCCAGCUACCGAUUUUCCCAACGUGUCAAACCAGAUGCCGAACGAUGGUGUCUGCGAGCCGACAAAUCCUUUCUUGCAUCCUAAUGACACACUAGCAGCAGCAACUCAGGUUAUUGUCAGGCAUCUCAUAUCUACAGAUCUUUCAGAUUUUCACCUCUGUUUACGCCGUUAAUUCUUUCCGGGUGCAGGGUAUGUUCUCCUAUGGAUCUCAAAGGGCACAACAAAAUGAGAUUCACGAGUUAAUGGCUAGCACUGCUAUUCCAGCUUCAGGAGUCUGCCCGCCUUCUUCCGCUGACAGAACUGGAACAUGAGGCCAAGAGUUUCCAACAAGAUGAUUUAUUACUGGUCAGUACAAAAUUUUGUUACUUGUAAACUGCAAUUGGAGUAGGCGUGUAGAUGGAUCUCCCUAAUAAUUCAAACACAGAAUUUUGUUGAAUUUAUCUAUCAGGUGGACAACACUGCAUCAUCAUUCUCUGUGCUUAAGCUUAACUAAUCAGUGCAUGGAAACUAAAUUACUGUCAUCAGAUUUACCGGUUCUUGAUAUUUCCUUCCCCUUUGGCACCUUUCAGUCCUGUCCCAUCACUGGAUGAACUCUGCCGCAUCGGUUGUGCAUCUGUUUCACUCUUUCGCUGUUACAUUCAAUUGACUGUUUUGUCAGAUUACCGAAAACAAGUGAGACUAGUUCACAAACAAUUGGGUUGAGCAUCGCUCUCUUGAUGCUGACAUGGCAAGGAGUACAACAAGGACUUGCAUGAGGGCAGCAACUAGUGAAAAUACUACUAGUAGUAGCCAGAUGAGAUCCUUGAUGCUAUCUCAACAACCAAUGUUUGCUUAACUUUAUCUCCAAAAGUAAUCAUUAUAUUAAGCAGGAUCAUUAGGCUGAUGUAGAGACUAAUGAUAUACUACUAGGCUGAGGUAAAGUUUGACCAUAGGGCCUUAUAUACUAAUGAAGUUCUGUACCUAUUUAGAUUGUCCAUCGAAACCAUAAUUUAAGAUGUCAGGGAAACACAAACAUGUCUCAUGGCUAGAAUAUCACCCUAGCAUAUAUAAUAUAUAGUUCACAGGUGUUCCCUAGAAGCAAUAUAAAACUGAUGACAACACUACGCUUCGCUCUUUCUUUUUCUUAUCAUCUUUGACGUGUUGCUGAAUUUUUGUGCAGUGACCAGCCAGGGGGGUUGAACAUAGGAGGCCAUAACAAACUGGUCCUAGCAGAAGAAGAGACAUCAGUGUGCUGUAAGAGCAGGGCAAGGACAGAUCAUGCAACUUUGAGCCUUUGUGGCACCACUGAGUAGCCGACACGUAUACGCCCAGGAUCGUGCCAAGCGCAGAUACUAUUCUAAUCUGGAGAAUAGUCUUCAGCAUCACCUUUCUGUUUCUGGAAUGAUUUGGUCCAUGGGAGAUGAACUUGGCUUGGCAGGGACUACAGAAGAUAUGCUGCAGAUCUGGAGCAUGGCAUGGUUGGAGCCAGCAUCUACACAAGGAGAAAAAGCAGGGGCAGUUCCACUCUUCUUUCUGCUGAUGUUACACCACUUGUGUAUUCUUACAUGACCAUCCCGUCGACCCAGGACCAACAAUUCAGCUGUCGAGUUAUCGAUUCGACGGCUACCACAAGGAUUGGCAGAAACUUGUGCUGUUGACACAAUGGCAUGUCAGGAUUCCACAUUCACUGAAGAGGAGAAAACUUUUCAAGGGUGAACAAAAUCAUGUUCUGUUCAGACAAGGGGCACAUUGAGAUCAUUCUCGUUCAUCGGUAACGCAGAAUCAUCGCCAAGGAUUGCGUGCCUGAACAAACUGCUGCCGCAUCAGGAUCCCUGAGUACUCCGUUGCACCGUCUCCGCUGUCCUUUUCACUUGUUCUUAUGGAAACUAUACCACAUGCAGUGUAAUGAUGCUUAGUUUCAAGUUAAUCGGAGACGGUGACAGCUAUCAUUUGUUCGGUUUCGCCCCAGUUGCCACUAUACCACAUCGGAGACGGAGUAAUUAGAGUCUCUGAAUACAUCUACAUCUUUGUGUUUAUUGUGAGUCAGCCCAGGUCGCCGUCGAUGGAGAUUGGGAUUUUGCUUCACAUUUAUAGGUCGAGAUUUGGUUCUCAUCCAUGCUCAUGUUUUCUCUUUUCCUUUAUGCGAAUCAUAACGAUUGAUGCUGAUGUUUAGCAAUGUGGGGGGACACAUGCACACGCCCUGUGCUUAUUUUGCAAAAAUAAAUACGUCCAGUUCAAAAAACAGAGCAAGUGUGUUUGAGAAACAGAGUGAAAAUUUCAAAAAGGAAAAACAGACUUGGCUUCGCCCGGGUUUGAACCGGAGACCUUCAGUGUGUUAGACUGACGUGAUAACCAACUACACCACGAAACCUUUUCAUGCUGGUUAGACUGACGUGACCGAGGUCAUAACCAACAUGCAAUAUUUACAUGUAUAACGUUUCAUAAUGUAAGGUAAUUUCUGCAAAAAAAAUUGAACUGCUUAUAUAGUUUUGAUUAACUCAAUAUUUUACUCAUAAAUGAAAAUUAAACUUCAUACGUGAAAAUACAUCCAAGCAGCCGUUCGAUGGUUUUGCUUUGGCAAGCCCAACAGUCUUGAUAAAUAUGAUGUGAUAUAAUUUAGUGGUGAAGGGUGAACGCGGCGUUAAUACCGGCACCGGGUAUAUACCGGUGCGUUUAUGGCCGUCAGAUCGCACUUCGAUAUUCGCGCCAACCGUCGGAUCUCACGUGAUUUGCUCUGCGCAUGAAUCUCAACGCGCGUCUGACGGCUAAAAACGUGCAGUUAUAUACCGGAGCCGGUAUUAAAGAGUUUACCGGCGAAGGGUGUAUUUUGAGUGGCCAAAACAACAACUUUUGACGGGUUGCAUAUGUGUAUUUCCUUAUAAUUGACUGCCUCACUGAUUUUGUUGUUGGUAUUAGCAACAAGGUUGUUAUCUUCUGGAAGAAAUUACGCCGCACUUUAUUUUCUCUCUUCCCAUUCCUUCCUUGGCAUUUUAAAAAGUAGUUGAUGUGUAUUUUUGGAGAUGUCUCAUUUUAUUCUCUCUUCGUAUGGGUUAAUUAUCAUCCAGACUUUGUUUAUAUUGCAAACAAAAAGGAAAAGUCAUGGACUAGAUCAUUAGACAAUACAUUUAUCUUACAGAAGAGAUCUUGCACAACACGGGGUGGUGGCGCAGUUGGCUAGCGCGUAGGUCUCAUAGCUAAGUACGUGAGUGAUCCUGAGGUCGAGAGUUCGAGCCUCUCUCACCCCAAAUCUUUUUUCUCUCUCCCACAACAUAUCAGUGGAAAAACACAUCUGCCCGAGUCAAACCACGCAGCAGCAAUACAAUAUUAAACACUUUCAGUGUUAAACAUGUAUUCGGCCAUCAGCAUUCUGUUCAAAGGGUUUUUUCACAAAUAAAAGUUACGAAAACCACGGAUCAAAAAGAUUGUGGAUCUUAGGGCCCCUUUGAUUUAAAGAACUUUCAUAAGAAUUUUGGAGAUUUUAAAUCCUGAAGAUUUCUUCCUGUAUGGGUUGUUUGAUUUGUUGGAUUGAAUCCCGGAGGAAAUUUCCCUAAGAAUUCCAUUCCAGUACACAUACAUCCAUAGGAAAGUUUCCAUCCAGUCCAUCCAAGCUCUUUUUUUAAGAUUCCUUUGUUUUUUUCUGUGCUCAAUCAAACAAACUUUGGUCCAAACAUUAUCCUGUAGGAUUCAAAUGGACAUGACAUUCCAAUCUUGUCAUUUUCCUAUUCCUAUGUUUUCUCCAUUCCGGAUCAAAGAGUUUCAUCCCACAGAUACUGUAUUGUAGUGAAAAGCUCAGGUAAACAAGCAUUUCUAUAUUACAUAUUUAUCUGAUGAUGUUUCUACCUGAAUCACUAGCUAGAUUACAGGCUGCCAUGUUCUUGAACUGGAACAGUUCUCCCUCUGUAAACCGGAAAACACUAGAAAGUUCCCCAUGUACAAAAAAUUGAAGAUAUCUGAAUCUGAAGUGUACCAUACGAGGGAUCCUGACUCAUAAAGAUCGAUCUUUAACUUCCCCCGGCCAGGGUUUGGACACCAUAUCAGGCCCUGCACCAGCGGGAUUCGAUCCAGUGUGUGUGGCUUGCCCACACACAAGAUCGAUCAACCAAGCUAAGCUUGAUUCCAAUGUAUCGAUCUUCCAUUUACUUGGGUUCCGCUACGGAGACCAGCGCUGAUUUGUGAAGGCCUUGAUACAAUCCAUGGUGGAUCUGACGCUGCUCGAGACACCCUUCCCCAGCUUGGGCAGAUCAACUCCUCCCGAAACCGGUGGGUUCUCCUGAUGAAACCUAAGAAGCUUCUGCCGAGAUUCUUUCCUCAUAGCUGCGACAUGGCUCACAUAACUGAUGGCAUCCCAUAGCAUACCUUUGAUGAUGGUCAAGGUGUAAAACCUCGCAGAUUCAAAAGGGGUAUUGCUGGCAAAACCUACAAAAAAUUUGGGGCAAAUCUGUUAUUCAAAGUAUCAUAAAACUGUAGCUUCAAGUGUUAACUGGGAGUAGCAAUUAGCUGCCAUAGGGACAUAGGGUUAUGGCAGAUAGGAAAAGAUGAGUUCAAUUGCUGUGUGUUUGCUGAAACAUAGCUCAGCUAAUUGAUGGGAAGAGAUCACAUGGACUGUCAAGUACUACCUCCAUUCCAUAAUUCUUGUCUCAAAUUUGCCUAAAAAUGGAUGUAUCUAUUACUAAAAUAUGUCUAGAUACAUGUAAUAUUUCGACAAGAAUUAUGGAACGGAGGGAGUAGUACUCAAGUUGAAGAGAUACAAUCAUACACUAGAGUUGGAAUCACCUAUGCAGGCAACUGAGAAUACAGAUAUAAUCAUCAUUAGAAUAUUAGAUUAGAGAUCCUACACUAGAGUUGGAAUCACCUAUGCAGGCAACUGAGAAUACAGUUUUAAACACUAAGGACUAGAUGGUUUUGCUCUUCAUCAGUUCAUUCCUUCAACUGAAGACACAAUGCCACAACAUUUGCAACUCUCCCAUAAAUAAGAAUCCAUAAUGUUCAGAAGCAAACACAGCAAGAUAACCUUGCUUGGUAAACACAACAUUCUUCUGUCCCAACCAGACAAGGCUAGCAGCAGUCAAUGGCAGUUAUUGCGCAAGAGAAGGGGAGAGCGUACGGUACCUCCAUGGUAGUGGUUCUUGAUGAUGCCGUGCUGCGGCAGGCCGACGCCGACGCCGGCGAGCGUGAAACCAACACUGAACCCCAAGCCGCAGCCGGCGCCGACGUAGCCGAUGACCUCGGGCCCGAACCCUGGCCCCCAGCCGACCCCGCAGCCGAGGCCCAGCCCGACGCCCCAGAAGGCGCCCGCCGUCGGGUGCACAGGGUUCCACCGCUCGUACCGCCCCAGCAUCCCCUUGAUGAUCAUCCUCGGCUGCACCGCCGGCGGCGGUGGUGCCGCGGUCUCCUCCGGCAACGGCGACGCGACCUCAAUCAAUCAAACAGAACAAAACGAAGGGAUAAGAAACAAAUCAGGAAAUCAACAGGAAGAACUUUUUGCUGUUGCUUCAAGACAGACAGAGAGAGUGGCGAGAAAUGGUACCGGUGUUCGCUGGGCAUUUGCCGCCGCGGGGGCGGCGGGGUUUGGAUCUGUUGGCGGCGGCGGCGGCGGCGAUUGGUGGGUUUGGGGCGGCGAGGGCAUGGGCAGCGUCGGCUGCUGUGGAGAAGAAGAAGAAGCAGCCUCUGGUUAAAAGUCUGGAAUUGGAAAGCCUUGAACAUGACUUCACAUUUUCAACGAUCUUAUCCUCAAAUCUGAUCCGGAUAUCCCAAAGAUCCAACCCAUCGCCAUCGUGGGCCACUUCGGGCCUGUUUGAGCCCAGCGUUUUUUUUAUUGGGCUUGAUUCGGCCUGGAUGGUAAUUACUCCCUCCAUUUCAUGAAGGUUGGCGUAUUUUGUUUCGUUAAGAUAAGGUUUUAAUCAAUGAAAACUCAAUUUAUAUGUGUUUUUUCAUACGUGAAAUUUAUAUCAAUAGAUUCGUCUUAAAAGUUCUUGGUAAUGAUCAUGAUUUCGUAUCAUAUAACUUACAUAUUAAUAUAUUAAUUCUUGGUUAAAGGUUUGUCCUAACGAAACAAAAUACGUCAACCUUUGUGAAAUGAAGAGGGUACUUUGUUGGGCUACAGUGACGCAUUCAGGCACAUGCAUCAGAAACAUUCUUCCUUGCUUUCAAAAAGAAAAAAAAUCUUCCUAAAAAUUACUCGUACAAAUAUUGACAGAGCAAACAUGUUUCUGAAACAACCCUAGAUACAAAAGAACCGACAGAGUGGUAUUGCUCAUUCAUGGAAAGGAAACACCAGUGGUUGAAAAGCACCGGUUAGCCCUCUGAUCAGUCUGUCAAUCCUUGAAGCUGCCUGGCUUGCCAAAAUCUGAGGCGCCGAAACCACCGGAGCUUCUGCCGAACCGGGAAGAGCCUGAGUCAUCACCACUCCUCGGGCGACGGAAAUCGGGGUUAUCAUUUCUGCCAAAAUUGCCUUCUCCAAAGUCGCUGAAUCCACCGGAGCGAUUGAAGCUAGACCUGCCAAAAGAGCCAUCCAACGGUCGAGAAGGUCGUCGAGAAUCUCCAAACCCGCCACGGGAUCUUGAGCCCGUGUCACGAGACCACCCAGCACCAUCAGGGGCACCACCAAAGCCGUCAGGAUCACCGAAGCCACGGGAAGAGCGUCCGCCGAAGCCACUGUAGCUUUCACGUCCGAAAAAGGAGCCGUCAGUUCUGGUUCCAGCUGAUCUAGAGCGGGGAUCUCUUGAAACGUUAAACAUGUCUGCAGCCUCAGCUGUACCUGAAAUCUUUGGAAGCUACACAUGGCAAAUACGAAUCAGCCAAUGAGUUUUUUAUAUUUCACAUCAGCCACAAGAUGACUUUAUCAGGGUUCAAUUAACCAUAGUUUACCUCUGUGAACCUGCAUCCAAUGUCUUGCUCAAUGACCCUUACAGCUCUACUUUGCUCAUAUGUGUACAUUAGAAUGGCAAUGCCUUUCUUCCCUGCUCGUGCAGUUCGCCCAGACCUGUGAACAAAUAACUCCGAGGAGUUUGGAAUUUCAUAAUGUACCACCUGAAAAGACAGGAGACCAUAACAUUUCCCAGUUAAGCUAAAUAUAUGCACAUCAAACAGCUAGAGCAAUCAUCUAGGAUGUGGAAGAGGUUCUUGAACUGCAUAGAACAUAUCUAGAGCUACUUACUAGAUCAACAUUGGGUAUGUCUAACCCACGGGCUGCGACAUCAGUUGCUACGAGAAUGUUAAAGCGACCCUCUCGAAAUCCUGACAGUGUCCUUUCUCUCUGAUUUUGUGUAAUAUCUCCAUGGAGCGCCUGACAUGCAUAACUCCUGCCCAUGGAGUAUGCCAAUCUAUCUGCUUCUCGUUUAGUUUGUGUAAAAACAAUGCAUUUCCCACCAUUAGCAUGCUCCUAAGGAAGUCAAAGGAAAAGUGUUAUGUUAAGUUGUUGACAAUGCAAACUAUAAAAGCAUACAGUCAGGAGAACGCUCACUUUAAUCAAUGUACCAAGAAUUGAUGACUUCCCAUAGUUCUCAGAUGCAAUUGAAUAAAGAGAGAUUCCUUCAGGUAAUUUCUGGUCCGACUCGCCAACCUGAGAAUAAAAAAGUGUGAAUACCCAGAUAAUCCCCCCCGCCCCCCCCUAAGAAUAUAACUCUGAUGCUCAACUGAAAAAGAAAAUACGACAAAUUCCAAGUUUUAAUUAUAUCGCUUCUCGAGAUGGUUGUUUACUUCUUUAUCAUGGUAGCACUUCAACGCCCUUAUGAAUUUUGCUUUAUGAUGUACUAUUGUCCACUCUACUCCCUCCAUUUCUGAUUAAUUGAUUAUAGGGCGUCUAAUGUUUGAGACCAAGGAAGGAAGAGGCUAGUGUGGCGCUCAUUAAAUUCUCCAUUAACUCUCACAAAAAAGUUCAUCUAGGCAGGAUUGCAUGCUUGCAUGCCCAAUCGCUAGGGUGGAGUAAUUGCAUCCAUGCUUUGCUUAGUGGCUAGAGUUUGUAUGGCCUGGGUGGACAAAUAGCACAAGGAGAUGAAAAGAGAUCAUGGAGUGAUUAAUUAGUCUAAGGAGAUAAUGCCUUGUACUGCAGAACAAAUCAAAAAGGUUGUACACCUUAUAACGUGGAACAGAGGGAGUACCUAGUAAGAUAAUACACAGGGAAAGGUUAAAAGGCCAUAGAGCUAAUAAUAAGAAGAAAAACACUCACAAGGUCAAUUAUGACUGGAUCUUUCAAGUAUUGGUUUGAAAGUUUUCUGAUCCAGCUAGGCAUUGUUGCAGAGAACAGCAUGCUUUGACGGUUUUGUGGCAGCUUCUCCAUGAUAACCUCAACGUCUUCAUCAAAACCCACAGCUAGCAUCUGAUCAGCUUCAUCCAGAACAACAAAUUGGAUCUCCGAAAGAUUUAAAUUUCCCCUUCUCAAAAGAUCAAUAAUUCGCCCAGGAGUCCCGACCACAACGUCAACGCCAUAAUUAAGAGUUCUCAUUUGCUGAUUGAUGGGAACACCUCCAUAGACACAGAGGGUGUCUAAGGGAGCAGAUUCUUUGAAUUCCUUCUCAACCUGUCGAGCGAGUUCUCUAGUAGGUGCCAAAAUGAUAGCUAAAGGGUUCCUACCAGUUCUGCAAGUACCAUACUAUGUAAUUAUUACAAUAAAUUGUAUCUUUCCGGUAGCUAGAUAAGAAUAAUUCAAAACUAGACAGAGAAACCAACCCAUUCUUCUCAUUGUGUCGAAGAAUCCUGUCCAUAAUAGGAAUGCCAAAAGCCAAGGUUUUUCCAGUUCCAGUUCGAGCACGACCAAUCAUAUCCUUCCCUUGCAUUGCUGGUUCAAGAACAGCCCUCUGCCAAGGCACAAGGUAAAAGCAUCACUUAACAAAAAUGUAACUAGGCUAGAAAAGUAACAUAAAGAAAAUUCAACAUAAUUGCAGAAAUAACAUUUUCCCAAUUUUGAUGAUGCAAACAAAUAGGUAUAUAUGUAUAUCUACUCACUGAAAUCCUAAUCUGGCAAAGUUAGCUAGUAAUGUCAAUAGUGUUCAUUAGCUCGCAGGGGGGCGUGCAUUGCUCUUUCUGUCAAACAACAAGGAAAACACUACGAAUGUUCUCUACUGGUGUCAGGAUAAUUAUCAUGAUUCAUGAGUCCAUACAAGUUCUCUAUUGGUGUCAUGAUAGUUAAACAAGUCAAAUUAGUGUGCUUUCUCUUAGUGAUAUCAAAAUUUUGGAGUAUUUUUCUAAUCCUUAUCCAAAACACUACAAAUGUAUGUUUUCUGGGGGUAAAAAUGCAGGCACUUGCGUAUGAUUAAAGUGUCACCAGAUAACCAUAUAGAACCAAAUGUUCCUGGCUAAAUUCUAACAGCACUUCGCGGUAAACAAUUUUCCAUUUCGUUUUUCUAAUAUUGCAAAGCCACAGGUACAAAUCAAAGAACUUAGGUCAGUCAGAAUCAAUAAGCCUUGUUCACGUCUCUUGCUAAAUUGGCGCAGCAGGCUCUCUCCAAUGAAUUUUAACUCAGAAGUUCCCAAGCAACUUUCCGGCCAUUUUGAUCCGGUUGAUGCCUACAGUUGAAUAGGGCUCCAAGUACCAGUGUAACGCAAUUGUAAAGCCAGGUUGAUUGUUUGCAUGACAGUAUCAUAUCAUAUGUAUCUCAAAUAGAGGUAAAGUCUGAGUUAUAUUUUGGCUUUUAUGGCUCGCACGAUCCUACAGCUGCAGAACCGGAAUCUCUCAUCUGGCCACAAGCAUUUCCUCGAAACAAAUUCUACUCGUUCCAACCUACAUAACCAUGCGCAGUCAAGGAAACCCACCUUUACGGUCCUGAGGCUUACAAACUGCAGUAGGCAAAAACUGGCGGUACCUGGAUGGGGAAGAGCCUGGUGAUGCCCCGCGCGGCGAGCCUCUCCACGAUCCGCGGCGAGAUCCCCAGCUUCGCGACCUCCAGGCCGUCCUCCCCGGCGCCGGCCUCCGUGACCGUGCCGGGACACGACGCAGGGGUGGUGGCCCUGAACCCCAGGGGUCUCGGCGAGGCGUGGAACGCCCGCCGCAUCGGCGGCGGCGGAACCGCAGCCCGGCAUGGGGAGUCGGGAGAGCUGGCAGGCGGGGGAGAGAGGAGGGCCACGCCGAGGAACGUUCUCCGCGGCUGCGCGGCAGACCGGGAGGCGGUGAGCGCGCGGCGGAGCAGCGAGUUCAUGGCGGCGGUUGAGAUGAGAGGGCGGAGCUUCUGGGUUGGAGUCGACCUGGGCUUGGGGGGUCAAAUGUGAGAGCAUUUUCUUUUUCUCGAGUUGGGCCGUGAAGUGGAUUGGUCUAGUCUGGGCUGGGCUGAAUACUGAGCCCACACGAAUUUCGCUCAAAAUUCAACAUUAAAAAAAGUUGUAAAUUCAACAUUUAGAUUCCACCCUGAGCCCAGUUUGAAUUCCACCGCAAGCACACGACUAAACAAUCUAAGAAAGCUCCCUCAAAAAAAAAAUCCCUCAAAAAAAAUAAUCUAAGAAAGCACCCCUAUGACUCUUCACCUACAUACCGAAUGAGUACAUUUUUGUCAUCAAACGGCAAUAAUCCUUCCUCAUGUCCUCCGGAAGAGCCGAAUAAAGAGCUCUGAACUUUAGCCGGUCCUCGUCGCAGGCAAGAACAGUAUACACUCUCCUCGUGUCAUCACAACAAGUCAUCAGGUGUUUUCGGAAGCGUAGUCGAUAAUGGUCCUUUUUUCUUCGAUAAGGUUGGCUUCAAAGAUGGUUUCGCCGGCGGCAUAAGGCCUCCAUGGGAGGUGUUGAAGUACUGGGAGACCUUGCUAGGUACGAAGGUGGGUUCCUCGUCCUUGUUCCCGUAGCUCCGUCCGCCUCGUGUCGACCUCGGCCAGCCACACCGCAUAGCACAGGGCGUCCGGGUCUUCGUCGUCUGGGCUCAACGGGGGGUCCGACGCCUUGAUGCGUGGCAAGACCACGUCAUAGCCGGCGAGGUACCAGAUGUCGCCGCAGUCGACGAGGCCGUCCUUGUGCCACACGUCAUGUCGUCCGUCCUCAGCGUCCACGUGGCGAUGGUGAAGGCCUGCUGGGAGAGCGCCUCAAGAGGACAGGCUUGACCGGCAGGGAGACGUAGCGCAGCUCGGGCGUCGGCUCCCGCCGCACGUCGCACAAGAUGACGCCGCGGCGGUAGUCGGCCCAGUACAUGAAUCGGUCGCCGACGGGGACGACGUCGUCGGUGUCCCAACAGGACAGCUCCUGCAGCUUGCCCUCGUCGUGGAGGCCCUUCCUUGUCAAGUUGUCAUUCUUGGCGCAGAUGUAAUCCAGCACCGCCACCACCGGCUGCUCCUCGUCGGCGCCGCGGCCCCGCAGGAGCGUCGUGGACUUCAUCGCCAUUGAACAGGGAUAGCAGCACCCCUUGUAUUCCCAGGAGGAGAGGAUCGAAAGGGGGAAGCAGCGCCCGCGAUGGCGACGGCCGUGACGAGUCGCCGCCGGCGCUGUAGACGAAGUGGUCCGACGUGCGCCUCUUGUCGUCGGCCGCGUCCCAGGUGUUGAUCCUGAGGAGGAAGGAGUCCCGGUGGGUCGCGAGGACGAGCGUUGAGAUCCUGCUCCCGUCCGAGACGCCGGGGAUGUCGGCGCGCAGGCGGGACAGGGCCGGCGGCGGGGCGAAGGCGAAGGAGACGCGGAUGGGGCGGCCGUCGGAGAUGCGGGAGCAGGCGGCGGUCUUGGGGUCGGGGUCCAGAUCGCAGCGGGCGGACUCCUCGAGCAGGACCCAGCCAGGGUACGCGACGGCCGCCGGCGGUGGUGGAGGAUCGCGGUCCUCGGGUAGGGUUUCCAUGUCGAUCCGUUGGCUUGGUGAUGGAUCCAUGGCUGGAUCGGCGGUCGGUUUUAUUUGCAUUGGUAGAAUUAACCGUGUAUACGUAUAUUAUACGUAUGGGUCCUAGCUCGAUCACCAGGCCCCACACAGGUAAUUAAAAAAUGAUGCCAAGAAAGGAAAAUCACAAGUAUCUGGGAAAAAAAAUCCAACCGGGGAAUUCACCCCGUCACGGCGUCAUUGCCUUUGGCUCACCGGCGUACGCCCGUGGGAGAAGGUGUUGAGGAGGUACCUGGAGACCGGGCAGAAGCUGUCGGAGGAAUAGUAGUCGUCCUUGCGGGAGAUAUCAUGACAGAAAAUAUAUUGUGUGCUUGCAAAUUGAGAUCCGGACAAAAACUUACUCGCGUUCCAAUAAGCAUCGUUGAUUUAAUACAUUUUUAAUACAGAGUAUAACUUUUUACUAAAUGAGCAACACUUAUUAUAAAUCCGUGGGAGUAUAAGAUUCCUAUCCGAAAGCCAGCGUGAACUUCACCGGAAGUGCACAACCAAGAAUGAGAGAUAGUUUUCUUUUGCAAAGAUCACACAUAUGCCUGUACAUCGAAGCAGUACAUUUUUGUCAUCAAAUGGCAAUAAUCCUUCAUCAUGUCCUCCGGAAGCGCCGAAUAAAUAGCUCUGGACUUUAACCGGUCCUCGUCGCACGCAAGAACACGAUAAGCUCUCCUCACGUCAUCAUCACACAACAAGUCAGGCGUUUCUUCUGAAAGCAUCAUCGCUGCCGGUACUUCCUCCCGUAAGGUUGGCGUCGACGAUGGUUUCCACGGCGCUUCGAAAAUGUCUUGUUCACGCGUCCGCCGUUCUCCCUUGGACAUACAGCCGCCAUGGGAGGUGUUGAAGUAUUGGGAGACCUUGCUAGGCACAAAGAGGGGGGCGUCACGAUGGUCGUCCCCGUAGCGGAAGAUGGACCGCAGCUCCAUUCUCCUCAUGUCGACCUCGACCAGGCACGCCACAUGGUGGUGUUCGACCAUGAAGCACAGGGUGUCCAGACUCACGGUGGGGUACGACGGCGGUUGGACGCGUGGGACGACGUCGACGUCGUAGCUGGUGAGGGACCAGAGGUCGUCGCAGUCGACCAGGCCGUCCUUGUGCCACGUCAUGUCGUUCGUCCUCAGCGUCCAAAUGGCAAUGGCGACCAGAGGAUACGCCUCAACGAACCUCACCGUGCCACCGUUGGCGCACACGCGCUGGUACCGCGACAUGUCCCUGUCGUCGAGGUCACGCUUCACCGGCAGGGAGACAUAACGCAGCUCGGGCGCCGGCUCCCGCCGCACGUCGGAGAAGAUGAUCCCGCGGCUGUAGUCGACCCAGCACAGGAACCGGUCGCCGACGGGGACGACGGCGUCGGUCUCCCAAGAGAGCAGCUCCGGCCGCUUGCCCUCGUCGUGGAGGACCGGCAGCCGCUUGAGCUCCCACUCGCCCGGCAACCGCUUGAGACCCCGGUCGCCGGAGCGGAGGCGGAGCAGGCAUAGGUCGGCCCCCACCGCCCCUUCCUCGUCUCCGUCUUCAUCGUUCACAUAAUCCAGCACCGCCACCAGCGGCUCCCCGUCAGCGCGGCAUUGCAGAAGCGCCGUGGCAUACAAAUCCAUGUAGAUGCGCCCGCAUUGCGGGACGGGGCAGAAAGGGGGCAGCAGAGAAAGCGACGGCGGCCGCGAAAAGUCGGCGUCGCCGGCGCUGUAGACGAAGUAGUCCGACGUGAAUCCGUGCUUAUAGUUUCUGUUGGAGAAUACAAUGCAAGCUUCUAGAGUGUUCUCAAUAUUACAAGAAAGAAGACGUUACUAUGAAAUACUCUAGAAUAUAAAAUAAAUAAAAGAGAUAACCUUUUAGUGUUUAGAUAUGCAUGAAGAAUUAUGUAGAAGUUUUGGAAUACUCUAGAAUAAGAGUUUAAAAUAAAUAAAUAGGAAACCUUCUAGUACCUAGAUAUUUAUGUAGAAGUGUGUGAAAGGCUUUAGAUAUUUUGUAUCAAUGGCUAAGAUUUUGACACAUGUCAAAGAUUCAAUGGCCAUGUAGUCCUAUAAAUAGAGGCCCUUGCCUCACACCUUGUGUAGUAGAAAAUAAGAAAGUGAAGAAGGUGGAGAACAAGGUGUGAGCAAGUGUAAAGUGUGUAUGCUCUCUCUUGUACUAAUAUUCCUAAAGCAAUAUAGUACUACUUUGUUCAUAUAAGUCUCCCGGUUAGGCCUUAUUAUUUCUAAGUACUUAGUGCAUAUAAGUUGUGAUUUAACGUGAGCGGAUUCGCGCGGAAUCACAACGGUCUUGUUUCAACGUGAGUGGCAUAGCCGCCCGGAUUUAAGACUUGCUUUAACGUGAGUGGCUCUGCCGCCCGGAAGCUUGCACUAAGUAAGUAGAAAUAAAAAGGGACUAAUCAACUACACCAAAAUAGUUGGUAUAGGUGAAUAGACCCUCUCGUAGUGUGUUAGGUCCACCUCGAAUUCUCUUCAGUUCCUGGUUUCGAUCCCGAGGAGGACGGAGUCCCCGUGGGCGGCGAUGACGAGCGUGGAGAUCUUGCUGGUCAUGCCGUUGUCCGCGCAGCCGGGGAUGUCGGCGCGCAGGCGGGACGCGGCCGGCGGCGGCGCGAGCCGAAGGACACGCGGGUGGGUCGGCCGUCCGAGAUGCGGGCGUGCGCGGCGGUCCUAGCGUCGGGAUCCGAGCAGAACCUAUUCUUAAAAAGCGUCUAGAUACAUAUAACAUUUCGACAACAAUUUAGUACAAGAUUGCCGUCAGACAACUUCAGAACCAGAUCGAGUUUCACUGCGGCAAGUGCACAACUGAAAAAUGAUACUGCUACCAAUUAAGUGUAUUAAACAUGUGUAAGUUUGUAGAUUUACCACUCCCUCCAAACGAUCACGUAUUGGAACGAUAGCACAUAUUUUUGAUCAAGAGGCAACAAUCCUUGCGCAUGUUGAUCGGAAGGGCCGAAUAAAGAGACGUGAACUUUAAACGGUUCUCGUCGGACCCAAGAAUGCUGUAUACUCUCAGCUUGUCAACAUGUGCCAAUUCGGGCAUCUCUUGAGGUCUCGCAAGGUCGGUUUCUUUGGCGCUCCAAGAAUAUCAUCUUUCUUCACGGGGCCACUGUCCUUGGCUUGCCGGCGUCCCACGGACGGACAAGGUGUUAAAAUACUGCGAGACCGCACAGGAGAGGAAGCUGCCGGUGUAAAGGUACUCGAAGCCGUAGCGGGAGACGGACCGCAGCUCCAUCCGCCUCGUGUCGACCUCGAUUAGGCGCACCAAACGGUCACCGUCGACGUCCUCCCUAUGGUAUUUUCUCUUGUGCACCACUAAGCAGAGGACGUCGGGGUCGUCCAGGCUCACCGUGGGGUACUCCGGCUUGACGCGCGGGAUGACGCCGGCGUAGCCUGGGAGGGACCAGAGCUCCUCGGAGUCAAACCACACGGGCCUUGUCCCAUGUCAUGCCGUUCAUGUCAAGCGUCCACAUGGUGAUGGUGAAGGCGUGGUGGGAGCGCGCGCAGUCGGUGGUCCCCGGGCCGCCGCCGCAGCAGCGCGCGGGGGAAGACCUCGACGAACAUCACCAUGCCGCCGCCGCCUGUGGCGCACACACUCCGGUAGCUUGACCCGCCGCGUCCGUCCCUGUAGUACGUGGUGAGGUCGGGCUUCACGGGAAGAGAAACAUACCGCAGCUCGGGGGACUCCCGCGACACGUCGGAGAAGAUGACCCCGCGGAAGUAGUCGACCCAGCAGAGGAAUCUGUCGCCGACGGGGGCGGCCGCAUCGGUCACCCAACAAGACAGCUCCCGCCGCUUGCCCUUGUCGUGGAGCACCGGCAGCCGCUUGAGCUCCCAGCCGCCGGAGCGGCGGAGAAGACAGAGCUCAGCCUCCAGUACCGGCCCUUCCUCCUUUGUUCCUCCCGUCGUCGUCGUGCCCAAAACGGGCAUCGAGCGCCGCCACAACCGUCUCGUCGUCUUCUUGGCGGCGCAGGAGCGUCAUGCCGGGUAAACCCAUGAAGCGUUCCCUCGGCCUCCGCCUCCCCUCCUCUUGCUUGGUGAGGUAGCAAGGGGGCAGCCGCGACAGCGACGGCGGCCGAGCGGGCGCGUCGCCGGCGCUGUAGACGAAGUAGUCGACCGUGCAUCUCUCGUCGAAGAUGACGGUGGUGUAGUCCUCGGUUUGGAUCUGGACGAGGACGGAGUCGCCGUGGGCCGCGAUGACGAACGGGUGCAGCUCGAUGCCGCCGCCACGGCCGGGGAAGUCGAAGCGCGGCCGCGACACCGCGGGCGGCGGGGGGAAGGCGAAGGAGAUCCGGAAGGGGUGGCCGGUGGAGGUGUGGGUGUACGCCACGGUCCUGGCGUCGGGAUCCUGGCACCACAUGGACUGCUCCAGCAGAACCCAUCGCGGGUACGCGGCGGCAGGCGGCGAAGGGUCGCCAUGGGAUGGUAGUAGUAGUUCCCGGUGAUCCAUGGCGCGCACCUUGGAUUCGUUGGUGACACAUAUAUUCGUUGGUGGCAUGUAGAAAGAUGGUUCAGAUGUAACCGCACAAUGCUGGCAUGAGGAAGACAUAUCACACACUUAUUUACUCCCUCCGUUUUAAAAUUUCAAUUAAAAAUGUCACCCGCAUGUACUCCCUCCGUUUCACUGUCGCCGGCGUCUUCUGGCUCCGACCGCCGACUUCCCGGCUGCUAUGUCAACAAUGGUUUCCUGGCUCUGACGUGGUUCGGAGGUCUAGAGGCAGCAUCGAGCUUCGCUUAUGGCGCUCCAUCGGUGAGUCCAGGCCGGACGAAAACAACAACGUUUACCUACAAGAACUUGCGUGUAAUUUUUUAUUUUAUUUUAAAGAUACAUAAUAAUUUUUUAUUUUAUUUUAAAGAUGCAUGGUUAUGUAAGGGUUGGUUGAUUUCAAUAUAUGACCUUGGUGUACUGCAUAGAAACAACAUUUGUUGCCAUGUCAUAAAAUUUCAAUUCGAAAUUAGACUCAUAACUUGAGAAACAAAAAAAACGUAUCAUACAAUUAGUAGUAGCUAAUUCAAAAUGGGCUGUGAAUUCAGCCCGUUUAUAGCACUACAUAUAGCUGAAUCUAUUAUUUUUGUUUCUCAAGAGUAUGAAUUUAGAAAUUUCCGUGACCUGGUUGUAUAUCGUGCCCAUACUGUAAAAAAGUUUGGGAUUUUUUUUUCUUCUAUUUUGGAAGACUUUUCUUGAACUCGGGUGCAUCAGUUGCACUUUGCACCACAAACCGGGAGGUAACCAAUGCAGAUGUUUUUUGCAGAUUAAGUUUGUUUGUACGGUUCAAUUUGAGCAAGCAAAAUGCACCGAAGAGAAAAUAAAACGUUUUGAGGAAAAAAAAAUGUUUUUAAAGAAGAAACAAAAUAAGGAGAAGAAUAUUGGACCAGCCAGCCACAGGCCCACAUCUAGCCCAGCUAACUAGCGUACAAACUAAAAAGCCCACAUUCGAGCUCAGCCGCUGCGUUCUUCUUCCGCCGCCACUCCUCCGUUCCCCCCGAGUUCUCGAUCUCUUCUCUCUCCUAGUUCAAACUCGCUGCCCUCCUGAUUGAUGGAGCAGCCAAUUCAAGGAUUCGAACACCAACGAAUGGAAUCCGCCGAGCGCGACAUGGAAACCCGAGCGGGUCAUGGCCAAGAGGCAUCUGGCGAGUACCCUAGCUGGGUGUUGCUCGAGACCUCCAGGCGCUGCGAGUCCGCCGCCGCGGCGCCGGAGACGGCGGCGGAAGCUCUCACCUCUAAGGGCCGCCCCGUCCUGGUCUCCUUCAACCUCGCGCCGCCGCCCGCGUUCUCCCGCCUCCACAUCAACGGCUUGCCGUUGCCGGACGACGAGUUCCGGUUCGACACGAAGAUCCUCGCGGCCCACGGCGACUCCGUCCUCGUCCAAGUCUCCGAUUACGGCGAGACGCCGGACUACUUCGUCUACAACGCCGGCGACGCGCCCACCCGCCCGCCGUCGCUGUCUCUGCUGCCCGCUUGCUACCUGCCCCAUCAGACCUGCGGGCGGGCCCGCAGCUUCUUCGCGGACACCGUCGCCAUCCUGCGCCGCGGCGACGAGGAGCUUGCGGUGGUAGUGGCCGGAAAGGGGGGUUUCUUUUCUAAGGACCUGGAGGAGGGGGGAGCGCCCGUGCAGGCCCACCUCUUGCUGCUCCGCUCCGGCGAGCACUGGGAGCCGGAGUGGGAGAUCAGGUGGGCGCCGGUCUGGCACGACGAGAUCAAGCGUUUGGAGCUGCUCCACUGUUGGAUGACCGAUGCCGUCGUCCCCGUCGGCGACCGGUUCCUGUGCUGGGUCAAUUACCUCUGCGGCGUCAUCUUCGCCGACGUGUGGAAUGAGACGCCCGAGCUGCGGCACGUGCGACUACCUGUGGAUCCCGAACGCGGGAGACGCAAUAACCCUGCUUCGUUCUACAGGGCCGUGUGCGCCGCCGGCGACGACGAGGUCAGGUUCGUCCAUGUCUCCCCCCCGCUGCUGCUGCGGCUGCCCGGGCGCCACCGCGUGCGCGCGCUCCCGCCGUGCCUUCACCAUCACCACGUGGACGCUCUGGAUGGACAGCGUGGUCGACAGCUGCGACGUGGUGACGUGGGAGAAGGUCGCCAUGGUCGACUGCGACGACAUCUGGUCCCUCGCCGCCGGUGACGUCCCGCGUGUCAGGCCGGAGUUCCCCAUGGUGAGCCUGGACGACCCAGACGUGCUUUGCUUCAUGAUGCGCAGGAACCCAUUCCAUGACGACGCCGACGUCGACGGGGACCUUGCAAUACGGCUGGUCGAGAUCGACACGAGGCGCAUGGAGCUGCGGUCCGUGUUCCGCUACGACAUGAAGAUGACAGCUUUACCUACGACAGCUAUCCCCCAACCUUUCUUCCCGGUGUGGUCUCCAAGUACUUCAACGUUUACUCUUCCCGUCAUACGGCGGCAAAGGCAAGCCAAAGGCGGAGGCAUCAACGAGACAUCCUUGAAGCACCGGCGAAACCAUUAUUGGAACCGACAUCACUAGAGGCGGCGGCGGCGAUGGCUUCCCCGGAAUAGAUGUUGGUGACGCUUCGGGAGAUACCUGGCUUGGCGUCUAGUGAUAGGCUGAGAGCCUACGGCGUUCUCGCGUGUGAUGAGAGCCGUCAGUUCAGGUACAGGUCUCUUUUGGCCCUUCCGAUGGAGAUGAGGAAGGAUUACUGCCUCGUGAUUGCCAAAUUAUCUUGCUUCAAUAUAUAGUUGCUUUUGUCUAUGGUCACAUGCAUGCUCUACAUCUUUCGAAGGAAGAAAUUACAUGAUUGAAUGAUCCACACUUGGUGUCAUUUUCAGAAAUAUGCUCAUCUUGCAGUGAAGUUCAAACAAGAGAGGAGCUUUUUUAGAAAACUGGGUACAGAUAUAUAGCAUGACGGAUUUAAUAAAACUAAUUUAGCGUGCUAGUUUGUUGGUAAUUCUUUUCUUCUUUAAAGUAGAUCAACUUUUAAUUAUUGACUUAGAAGAAAGCUUAGACCAUCUGGGAACAAAGGGAGAUACAUUGAAGCUUUUUGGUUGGAAGAACUCCUCUCCUGAGGUAUAAGGUGUUAUGGACAUGCGCGAUUAGAUCGUUGCAAAAAGUUGGCGAGAACCGAUAUUCGUUGACGAGGUUUAACAUCGACGCCUGCAUCCUUGGAGCAUGUUUAACGGGUGCUCCUGCCAUGGACGGCGGGCCAUCUCCUUGCAUUCUCAUGUAUAGCCUAUCAGCGUCUUUGCAAUCUCACAUAUAUCAAUCCUACCAGCUUCCUUUAUUCUAUUGUGCCUACGACGACACCUUUAUAUAUUAGAUAAAUUUUGCAAGUGUUCGAUUCGAACACCUAACGUACCACGUACACGUACGUAAUUGAAGUCCAACUUUAAUCUAUAUAUACAUAUAUAUUCGACACAAAUUUAACACAAGGUUUGGUGGAUUGGACUGCUUUUGCUGCAGGAUGAUAAAACUCUAAUUGUGCAGAACAAAAGACGUGAAAGCAGGCCAGAGAAUAAAUACAAACCGCCACGGCCACCUCCCCCUGUUGUUUUGCUUGAGAGACACGUUAGCACCAAAAACCCAUCCGCAGCCGGCGAAUAAUCAUGGCCGCCGCCGCCGCAGCGCUCCGCCUCCUGCGCCGCCGGCCUCCGAUGCUGCGGUCUCUUCUUGCCCCUGGCACUCCGCCGCUUCAUCCCCAAGUAAGAUAAGAACACAUUGGUUAAUUCGCUGCAGCUUUUGCUUGCUUCAAUCUCGUGCACGCGCCGCCGACGCGCGGCUUCUCGAUUUCAAACCCCAAUUCUCUCCAGGUCUCCGCCGUCGCAGCCCUCCCGGCCGUGUGCCGCCGCGCGCACGUCGUCGCUCCGCCCAUGAUGCAGCAGCCGUCCCUGCUGCGAUACUACUCGGGCAAGGUAAUUAAGCAUCGAUCCUGAGCUAUGUUAUCUUAAUUGGUGUGUAGAAGAAGAGAGGAUUAGUUAGUUAGUUCCGUCCGACUUCGAUCUCGAAAUUGGCCGUCUCUGACCGAAAUUUUGGGGUUGCAUUGCUAGCAGGGCACAGACGCUACGGCCGCCGUUGACAUCUCCAUGCUGAGACAGGUAACAGUAGCGCUAGUAAAAAUAGUUGAAUUAUAGGUUUUCAUUUAAGUGGGACUGGUAGUAUAUACCUUAAUUUCUGAUCCAUGGUUUCAUAAUAUACCGAUUUUGAUGUCAUAUGUGUUGCUAUCAUUUUAAAAAAAGUUGAUCAAAUCUAUUUAUUUUACUUAAGAUAAAAUAUAAAAGUACACUUAUUUAUGAACGGAGGAAGUAUGUUUUUAGUUGAUUAUGAUUACUGUCCUGUAGAAAGAGCAUUAGCAAAUUAGUCGAGAAGAUUAACAAGCUUCAUGAUAAAUGAUUGAUGGUUUAUGUGUUGCUUCUAGGAGUUGUGGUUGAUGUUUUGCUUCUAUGAGUUGUCUUGCACCUAUUUUGAUGUAUUGUUGUCCGGGUUAACAUUUUAAGUUGAAGACAUUAAAUCUAUCUGGUGCCUGCACUAGAUCUUACUUCUUACAUGCAAUCUAUUCCCUCCGAUUCUAAAUUCUUGUCGUGGUUUUAGUUCAACGUUCAAAUUUGAACUAAAACCACGACAAGAAUUUAUGACCGGAGGAAGUAGCUAGCUAUCGUGUGCCUUGCAAACAUAAAUGCUUGAUUUCAGAUAACUGAUCGAAUCACAUUGUCAUAUAUCUCGCCUUAAUCGUUCUGUCUGAUCAAUUUGUUAGGGUGAACAACGCUCCAACCCUGUUCCAAACACUGAAGUUGGGGAUCUAUUGAAGAUGAUCAUGGAAUAUCUCGAAAAUACGGUGAAUCACGGGCUGGAACAGGUUCGGCUGGCGAAGGAAGCUGCGGGCACUUGUGAGAGAGCUACUAUCAUGUUAGGCGGCGGUGAUCUUGACAAAGCUUUUGCAAUGUGGGAGGAAGGGUCGGAUGAGCUUGAGAGAUCUGUUGCUCUGUUGAAAAGUAGGCUGGAUGGCAUCGCCAAAUUGAACGUCAUUAUUAAGGAGUCCCCGCUUGGUGUCAUGGAUCCGUCAAAUAGAGAGUUUUCCGAAGCAAUGAGGAAGUUUAUUGAAUCAACGGAGGACGUUGUCAGGGAUACAAGACUGAUUGUUGCAGAAGUGGAGGAGUUCCACAGCACCUCGAGGUAAUUAAAUCAAACGGGGGUUACAAAUCAAUAAUUUGUUGUUGUUUUGUUAACUCGAAAUUUACUUAUGUUUUCUUGUCUUGUUUUUGCAUGGUUUGGGGAUAGCAUGACGAAGCUUUAUAGGUCUCGCAGGGAGCUCGAGACCAUGAGGAGGAGCAAUACGGGUAUUGGGCUAUCUCUGAUGCUUGUUUUGUCGUCCAUAGCGAUUUAUGAGUGGGGUUGGGUCCUGACAAACUAACCGUAUGAACUGAACAUUUUUUGUCACCGGUUCUGCUUCUGUAGAGUUCGUGCAGACGUUUCCAGGAGGUGCCAUUUUUACUGUUUGGCUGAUUAGUAUUACUCUGUAAGAUGCAGAAUAGAUUUUGCAAGGGAAUUAGGGGAGAUGGUUCAUAUAUAACCAGCUGUUUAGAUAGAGAUGAAGCUAAGAAGCUCUUACUUCUAUUCUGACAUACUUCCUCCGUUUCAUAAUUUUUGUCGAAAUAUUACAUGUAUCUAGACACUUUUUAGAAAUAGAUACAUCCAUUUUUUGGCAAAUUUGAGACAAGAAUUAUGGAACGGAGGGAGUAUAUGUUUAUGGUAAUGUUCUUCAUGUGAGGGAAGUAAUUAACAUUGCCUUCUCAGAGUCCUAAUAUGUAGUAGCUCAUUGAAAAUUGCUAGAAUCCAUCGGCACUUAGUGUCAGUUUACAGUUCAGGCUGCUGACCGAUUAUUCAGCUGUCUGUUCAUCCAUGUUAGAGAUUACAUUUUUCUUGUCCCAUAUUAACUGUUUUGCUGAUGUAAGGUGCAAAAUGAUUUUUGAAAGGGGAGAUGGUUUCGUGCCCCUGUUUAGAAACAGAGGAUGUGACCUAUGUUUAUGCUAGUUUCUUUCCUACUUCCUCCGUUCGUAACACGUACAAUAAGUCCUAUCUCUGCCACAAGUCAAAAUUGUUCAAAUUUGAUUAAGGUUAUAAAAAAAAUCUACUAGCAUACAGAACUCCAAAUAACUAUUAUUAAAACCAUUGUCAUAUAUAUUUUUUAGUAUACUCAUUUGAUAUUGUACAUAUUUGUAUAUUCUUUUUAUAAACUUGAUCAAAUUUGAAAAUAUCUACUAGCAUAUAGAACUCCAAAUAACUAUUAUUAAAUCCAAUGCUAUGCAAUGCUUUUUUUCUCUGUAGAGGAGGAAAUCUCGUCUCUACAUCGAUUGUUGCACACAUCCAUAUGGAUGUAACAUUAAAUAAAAAUAUAUAUGUCAAAUUAGAUCUCUUAAGAUUGCAAGAGCAAAGCGAGGCUGCAAAAUACACUCAUGCAAUCACAAGCAUGUUAGCAACACAACAUCCAUAAGAGUUGAAUAAGUCUAGUGCGACCAUUUCUAAACGGUCGCACCCAGAAUCUAUAGAAGCCCGCAUCUUCACAUACUACAUUACGGACCAAGUACAAAUCCAAUGAAACAACAUAUGUAUAACAAAAAAAAAGAGAACUAAAAAAAAGAUCACUUCAACAACUUUACAUUGACCAUCGUGCCCACUUUCGGUAAAACAAGAGAUUUGAUUGGUCUGCCUAACCACGCAAGUCACUUCCAAACAUGUUAGAAAUACUAUGGGUUGGUGGAAAGUUGAAACCCACAAAUAUGACUCAGCCACACUAUGCGUCCAUUCCGAUCACAAAAAGCGACAUUUCUUGUCAGCCAUCCAUUUACACACAAAGAUCGGAACCUUUGAAUUUCUAUAAGCCUUUUUUUUGUGAAAGAUGGAGGCAGUUGGUGUUCACCAUCACUGCAUACAUAGAUUCAAGUGUAAAUUGCUUUGGCGUGUUUAAAUUCUAGCUGAACACAUCCACUUGGUCGUUGGGUUUAUCAUGCGAAUUUGUCGUGUGGAAUACACACCGCUAGCUUUGUCCCAAUGAUAACACCCCUCUCCCAAAACCUUUGCUGUGGUUGAGUGUUGAUUUUGGUGAUAUUAUAUAGGGUGAAUACGGAUCAAAUAGGAGGGAUACCCAUCAAAUUAUAUUUUAAAUUUAGUGUUGAUACUCUUUUUUUAAGGAAUUGCAAAAAGAAUCCUUGCUCUUUUUUUUACAGCAAUCCCAAAAUCUUUCCUUGCUCUUUCUUACAAUGGGGAUUUGGAUUGGGUCUGGGAUUGGUAUUGGGAAUAACUUAUAAGCAAUCGACUACAAAGAGGUACUAGUAGGUUAGCCGUGUGGGAUUGGGAAUCGCUGUCACCAGGUGGUCUGGCCAAACCCUCGUCGCGUCCGCGCGGCGGCGACCAUGGCCGCGGCCCUUCGGCUCCUGCGCCACCGGCUCGUAGCGCCGCCCUCUCCGAUGCUGCGUUCCCUCUUCCCUGCGUCCUACUCCAAGGUGAGAUGGAAGCCACCAAGCUGCUUGGUUUUGCCUAAACCCUCGCCUCGAUUGGCCGCGCUAACUUCCCUCCCCCCAACUCCAGGCUGCGGCCGCCGCCGCCGACGACGACGACAUCCUCCCGGCCGUGUGCCGCGCCGCCCUGACCCCGCCGCCACCAUCUCUUUCCCGGCAAUACUGCAGGGAUGUUUUUCCAAGGAAAGCUCCCCCACCGAAGGUAAUAAUCUCUGUCGCGAGCUAAGGUUUCCGACCUACCCAAAAUCGACCGAAAUUGUUGGUCUCUUUCCCGAGCUGGUGAGGGGUAGAUGGGAUGGGGAGGUGGAAGAUAUAUUUUGAUUGACUCUGAAUCUGUUCCUCCUUGCUUUUUGCGAGACUGCCUCCGUUUGAUUGCUCCUUUGAUCUGCAACCUUUGUUGAAAACUGUUGAAUGCUCGCCGCUCACAACUCAUUAGCGCAGGCAGAAAAGUUAAUUGGCAUCCAUUGGCCAGUAUUUAUCUUCAUUAUAGCUGUGGAGCUGAACGAAUCCUGUGAUUUUGCUUCAACCCAGAGGCGGAGUGAAUUAAGCGAGAGUGCUCCCAAAACAUGUCAUGUCAAGUUGUCAAUUCAUAGACUAGUGUGUGCGAUGCUCCCGGUAUUCAUCGUGCUAUUGCCGUUUGUAUUUAGCCUUCCUUUGCAGGCAACCAGAGAAAUGCCUGACGAAUCACUUUAAUCCAAAUUGUAGUUAGCUUGUUUUCAGUUAAUGCAGAAAUAUGAAGUUGAUACUGACCAAGUGCCCUUACCUGUGCUGAACAUUGUUUGGAUGGUUUAAAUUUGACAUUGAUGUUCCUCUAUAUGUUGCUUGACUAUAUGUUGAUAUACUGUAGGAUGAACCAGGCUGCUGCACUCCUGUUCCAGAUGCCGUGAGUGAAGGUACAAAGUCGCUGCUGGAUCAACUGAAGGAUCUCAAGGAAAGUAAGAUGGCAUUGAGGGUCAGGAGAAAAAAUAUUAUGGAACACCGAGAAAGGAUAAGAAUAGGGUGUCAUGAGUGUAGGCUUUCUAGUGCUUUGUGUAAGGAACGGUUGGCACUCCAGAGGAAAUUUCUUGCCAAAAUACGUGAAGCCCGAGUUAGUUCUAGCAGAAUCAAGGCAUAUUGCUCCAAAUUGGAUAAAAUGGGGGAUGAAUAUGAUAAAGAUUGGGCCAUUGAGAUGUCUAAGGAGGAUUUGGUUGAUCAACAUAUUGAAAUGGUAGAGGAGGAGGAAAAGGACUAUCUCAAUGCUUUGAGGUAAAGGGUUUAUUGUGAUGUUUUCUAGUUUGGUGUAAGAAGCAAUAUAUUCUUAUUUGUUUAAUAACUCAGGAGUCCAGAUCCUAACAUGUAUACCUUUCCAUGUCUAUUUUGGAAGGCGGUGUCAUGAAUUGGAAAGAUCCAUCAAAGAGAAGGUGAAGAAAGUUGGGAAAGUGUGUGGCGCUGUUGGUCUCGUGGGAGGGCUUCUGUUGAUGCUGGCAAAGAUGUAGAUUAGAGCAUCGUGGGCCUUUGCUUUGCUUCGUCUUCCUUCUGUGUAGAACUGGGCUGCUAGAUGACUAGGGGCUGAGCUGGUAUUUGUAGUAGUGGAGUAGCAUUUAACCGUUUCCUCGAUUACUCUCCAUGCCGAUGUACGGCGCAUCUUCGAACCUGCAGGAGAAGUGGCGCCGAACAUGUCCUUGCUAACAAAGAGAAAGGCAAGUGAUACCCUUCAUACUAUUGCAGUUAUCUCUGUAAUACUAAUAGAACUUGGUUCAUGCUAGGAUAUGCAACAUCCUGAAGAAGACUUGGGCUGAAAGAGCAAUGUGUUCCUCUUGUAAUAGGGUUAUGUACUUAUGUCUUCUGCUGAAUUCUGAUUACAAGUUCAGUAAUUAGACUGUUUAGUAUCCUUAUGCACAGUCCUACGGAAACUGAACUUUUGGAUAAGGCAGACCAUUUACCUUGUACAUUCGAAAUUUAAAGACUUUUUUGAGAGGAUGGAAGAUUAACGUUUUUCACUGGAUCUGAAAGCAUGAGGGCUUUCUCUUUUUAAAUGGUGUCCUUGCAAUUAAGUUGAAAGAUUGUUUGAUUUUCCUCUGCUGCAUGAGUUGGUGAAAGGUUGCAAGACACAAAUAUGACUGGCCACACUGGGCGGCCAUUGGACAAUGGAUGAGAAGAUAUUGGGUCAUCUCAUCCUGGUCACAAAAGCAGCAUUUCUCGCCUCCCUUCAAACUAUGCACAAAGAUCUUGAUCUUGAGUUAGAAACAAGUCUUUUCUUGCGAAUGAGUCAAUUGGUGUUUACCACAGCUGCAUGUAAAUCACCCUGGCGUCUUCAAAUUAUAGGUGGACAAAUCCAUUUGGUCAUUGAGAUUGACCCCGACGAACUUGUCGUGCAGUGGCGGAUCCACAUUCAGUUAGAACCCACAUAAUUUAUGAAAUCACAUUGAAAUAUAUAGUAAUCACAUAGCAACUGUUGUCAUUUGGAAUAUUUCAUGCAUACGACUACGAGAGGUGAUAUUCGGCUACUUCUCUCUUAAGAUCUUUGUCACGGUUGAGUGUUGAAAAAAAUCCUUGCUUUUUUUAAAGCGGCAAAAAAGAAUUACUGACUCGUUUUUCACUGGGAUUGGGAAUGGGAAUGACUUGUAAGGAUUCAACUAAAAAGACGCAGGCUGGUCAUGUAGGAGUGGGAAUCGCAGUCACCAGGUGGCCAAGGCCAUGGCCGCGGCCCUCCGGCUCCUGCGCCGCCGCCGCCGCCGCUGUCUCCGAUGCUGCGUUCUCUCUUCCCCGCGUCCUACUCCAAGGUGAGGUGGAAGCCAUCCCGCCGCUUGGUUUUGCUUAAACCCUCGCCUCGGUUGGCCGCGCUAACUUCCCUCGCCCACAACUCCAGGCCGCCGCCGACGACGACAGCCUCCCUGCCGCGUGCCGCGCGGCUCUGACCCCGCCGCCAACAUCCCUUCCCCGGCAAUAUUGCAGGGAUGUUUUUCCAAGGAAGGCUCCUCCUCCAAAGGUAAUAACUUGUGCAGUGAGCUAGGAUUUCCGACCUCCCCAAAAUUGACAGAAAUUGUUGGUCUCUUUCACGAGCUGGAGAGGGGUAGAAAGGAUUGGGAGGUGGAAGAUUUGGUUUAUUUGUUUGCUUCUAUUUCGAGCUGUCGAUUGAAACAUUGACAAGGGGGGGAGAUAUACUAUGAUUGACCUGAACCUCUUCCUCGUUGCUUUUGGGAGACUGCCUCCAUUUGAUUGUUUCUUAAAUCUGCAACCUUUGUUGAAAACUCCUCAAUGCUCGCCUUUCGCAACUCAGUAGCGCAGGCAGUGGAGGGAGAUCGAAACCUGCUUCCGUGGGGGAACAAGACUAGUUGAGGAAGUGGCGAGAGAGAUUUUCGAGACAGCAAAGGGUUGGAAUCCUGUUUGGGUUCGAAUAGAGAUGGGAAGCCGACUGCUAGAGUUUGUUUGCUGCUGGAAGAAGCUUUUAGCUCUUUUGGGGGUGGCUCAGUUCGAGGCUCAUGGAAGGAACAUCUUCUGAAGAGGGGCUGGAUAUGUAGUGUUUUUCUUCUGUUGUGGUCUGUGUCUGUUGCUCUUUUCUCCGAUUCUCCGAGCCCUGUUCUUGCUGCUGUCGAGAGAUGUUGUUCCAAGCUCUUUUUUGUUUUGUUUCGUCAGUGACAUAACUGAAUCUGGUAGCAGAACCUGGGACCCUCUUUUUUUUUAAAAAAAGUAGCGCAGGCAGCAAGAUCAAUUGGCGUCCAUUGGCCAGUAUGUAUCUUCGGCAUAGCUGCGGAGCUGAACGAAUUUUGUGAGUUACUUCAACCCAGAGGCUGAGUGAAUUAAGCGAGAGUACUCCCAGAACCUGGCAAUUCAUAGACGAGCACGCGACAUGCUCCCAGUAUUCAUUGUGCUAUUGUCAUUUGUAUUUACCCUUCCUUUGUAGAGAAAUGCCUGACGGAUCACUUUGAUCCAAAUUUUAGUUGGCUUGUUUUCAGUUAAUGCAGAAAUAUGAAGUUGAAACUGACCAAGUGCCCUUGUGCAAAACAUGGUUUGGAUGUUUUACAUUUGACAUUGAUGUUCCUCUGUAUGUUGCUUGACUAUAUGUUGAUAUACUGUAGGAUGGACUAAGCUGCUGCACUCCUGUUCCAAAUACCGUGAGUGAAGGUUCAAAGUCGCUGCUGGAUCGACUGAAGGAUCUCAAGGCUGCUGCCAACAGCCUCCCGGCCAUGUGCCGUGCGGCCCUGACCCUGCCGCCACCAUCCCUUUCCCAGCAAUACUACAGGGAUGUUUUUCCUAGGAAGGCUCCUCCUCCAAAGGUAAUAAUCUGUGUCCUGAUUUCCGACCUCCCCAAAAUUGGCUGAAAUUGCUGGUCUCUUUCCUGAGCUGGAGGGGGGUAGAAGGGAUUGGGAGGUGGAAGAUUUGGUUUAUUUGCUUCUAUUUCGAGCUCUCAGUUGAAACAUUGAAAAGGUGUGUGGUUGGCCCGGAACCUCUUACUUCGUUGAGAACUGUUGAAUUUUCACCUUCCACGACUCAGUGGUGCAUGCAGCAAAGUCAAUUGGCAUCCAUUGGCCAGUAUGUAUCAGCAUAGCUGUUGAGCUGAACGAAUUCUGCGAUUUUACUUCAACUCGGGGACAUAUUGAAUUAAGCUAGACUGUACAAACCUGAUGUGCCAAUUCAUAGCGGAGCGCGUACCAUGCUCCCAGGAUUCCUUGAGCUAUUGUCGUUUGUAUGUAGCCUUCCUUUGUAGGCCAACCUGAUGAAUCACUUUAAUCCAAAUUAUUGUUGGCUUGUUUUCAAUUAAUGCAGAAAUAUGAAGUUGAUACCGACCAAGUGCCCUUACUUGUGUCAACCAUGAUUUGGAUAGUUUACAUUUGUUGUCAGAGUUCCUUUAUAUGGUGUUUGACUGUGUGGUGAUAUACUUUAGGAUGAACCACGCCGCUGCAGUACUGUUCCAAAAAUCACGAGUGACGGCACAAAGUCGCUGCUGGAUCAACUGAAGGAUCUCAAGGACAGUAAGAAGGCAUUGCAGGACAGAAACACGAAUCUUGAGAAACACAAGGAAAUGAUAAGUAAAGAAGUACAUGAUUGUAUGAUUUCUAAUGCUUUGUUUAAGGUACGGUUGGCUGGCCACAUGAGACUUUCUCGAUGCUAUGAGGUGAAGGGUUUAUUGCAAUGUACAGUAUAUGUUUAGUGUAAGAAGCAAUAGUCUUAUUUUAUUUAAUAAUAACUCAGGAUCCCAGAUCCUAACAUGUAUACCUUUUCAUGUCAAUUUUUGAAGGUGGUGUCAGGAAUUGCAAAGAUCCAUCGAAGAGAAGGUUAUGAAGGUGUGUGUCAGUCUUGAGGUGUGUGCCGCUGUUGGCCUCGUUGGAGUGCUUCUGAUGAUACUGGCAAAGAACUAGAUUAGAGCACCAUGGGCUUUUCUUCAUCUUCCUUUUGUGUAGAAAUGACUAGGCCAAGCUGGUAUUUGUAGUGGUGGAGUAGCAUUUAACCGUUGCCUUGAUUACUCUAUGUGCUGUUAUACAGUGCAUCUUCAAACCUGCAGGAGAAGCGUGCCGUCCAUGUUCUUGCUAACAAAAAGAAAGCCAAGUGACACCCUUCAUACUAUUCCAGUUAUCCCCAUGUAAUACAAUAGAACUCGGUUUAUGCUAUGAUAUGCAACACCUGAAGAAGACUUGGGGUGAAAAAGUGAUGUAUUGCUCUUGGAAUAGGGCGAUGUCAUGAACUUGAAAGAGCGAUGUUAUCUCUUCUGCUGAAUGCUGAUUACAAGUUAAGUAACUAGAACUGUUUAGUAUCUUUCUGUACGAUGCCAUCAUUCUCCAAGCUUUUUUCGUGUUUGCAAAGGAAAUGUGCAGCACGCUUGACUCCUAUUGGUGCCUGUUCUUUUCCCUCAAUAAGCAUUGGUUGUGCCUUUUCAUUCAUGGAAAGAAUUGUGCCUCAUGUUUGUUGAUAUUUAGAACAGGUCAGCAAUACUCUCAGAACAAUGUGCUGCUGCAUGAGUCUAUGAAGCCCUGGAAUUGAUUUCUUGGUCUGUAUUGCUUGACAUGAGUAACACCAUUCACAUCUCAGAUGCAGUUUUGACGUAAACUGUAGAUUUUAAAGACAGAUUAGGAUACUGUACUCUAAAUUCAGCUAAUCUCCUUGCAAAGCAGAUUCCAUAGUACACAAUGCAACAGCACAGCACUUAGCAACCAAUGAGACAUGUCAUCUUAGCUUGCAGGCAUCAAGUUGAUGCCAUACACUUGCAUGCAUUUUUUUCCUACAGAAACACUAAAGAGUUUCAGGCACAAGCUAACAACACGUGAGAGUAGGAAUGAGAGUAUCCAAUUCUAAAGCUACAUCAUGAAUGAAGACUAGCUAGAUUGAUGAAAGAUCCUCAUACACAGACUUGAUCCCAGGCCUUUCUGAGACCGGCCUGAUGCAUCUCAAUGCAAUGCCGAGCACCUCCUUCAUGCCCUUCACGGCCUGUGGGUUCUCCGAGUCUGAAGCCAUGGCUGGGUCGAAGCACUCCGAACCAUGGCCUUCCGCCACCCGCAGCCGGACCCAGUCGGUUAGGUCAACGCCGCCCUCGGCCCCCGAGACAAUGUCACCAGCACACCUGCCAGUCAGAAGCUCCAGCAAUGCAACACCAAAGGCGUACACAUCGGACUUGAACGAGGGGGAUGGCUUCUUGGACGCUGCAAGCUCCGGGGCACGGUAGCCCAGAACACCCAGGUCAAGGAUCUGUUCGACGACACCAGCCUGGGUCAUCAGGCGGUGCAGGCAGUAGUCAGCGACACGGGCGUUGAGGUCAAGGCCAUCCAAUAAGAUGUUGGAAGCCUUGAGGUUUCCAUGAGGCAUUGCACGGUCAAAAUGGAGGUAGUUGAGACCACGUGCAACAUCGACUGCAAUCUUGAGUCUCUGCGCCCAGGUCAGUGGAGGACCUCUCCUUCCCGGACGAUCUGCUCAGUUAAAUAAAUGCAUCCCAUUUAAAUGAAUGACUGAAGAAGUCUUCAGAAUAAGGUUAUCUGGACUCGCUAAUUAUUGGAGUAUACAAAGACACUUAUUGAAUGCAUCUAAAUAAAAUGGGAAACCGGUGAAUGAGAGCAUUACCAUACAAAAAGCUAGCAAGACUUCCUGGCGCAACAUAAUCUGACAAGAUCAAUUUCUCAUGUGGUGUUGGACCCCAGUAGUAUCCACGCAAGCCAACCACAUUAGGAUGCCUGAUGUUUGAAAAUUUCUUGGCCUCCUUCGUAAACUCUUUCUUGGGCCUUGCAACACCUUCCCUUAGCCACUUCACUGUCAAGAAUACACCAUUCUCCAGCGUUGCCCUGUAUGAAGUUCCAUGGCUGCUCCUCCCAAGCACUUCAGCAGGUGCCCUUGACAGUUCUUCUGGCGUCAGUGUAAUUGUUUCAUCCAGGAAGUGCAACUCCCCUGCUAGCCUGUCAGGUGAUCUGACAUCCAACCGUGCCAAGCCUUCCUGAGCAUACGCCUCUCCAGAAUCCGGUGACCAAGAGAAACGGCUACCCUUGGAUGGUGAAAAUCCCCCCACAGCUGAUAACUUUUCUUCUUGGCUUGGUGCUUCAGAUGUGGAGCCCUUUCGAGGAGCAAGAUCAUCUGCCGAGACCUCCGAACCACCUUUGUUGUCCUUCCUUUUCAUACUCUCAAUGUCUUUAGUAGCUCUAUGGAGGUUCUUGUCCGAGACUUUUUCUGAGCUAGGGAACUGCCGGGAGAUCCGUUUGUAGUGGCAUACUAUCGCAACAAGGAUAAUGAUGACAAGAACAACGAUACUAGCUGCUACAAGUGCUAUUUUAGCACCUGUACUGAGUGGUUUGCCACCUGCUGAACCAGAUGCGGAACCACUGGAUCCAGAUGAGCUAGCAGGAUACUCUAAUCUCGAGUUCCCAGGAUGGAAAGAGGAUUCUGGAAACUUCCUCAAGUUAACAGGCACAACACCAGAUAGGUCAUUAUAGGAGGCAUUGAGGGACUGGAGAGUAUCUGGAAGUGCCUCUGGCAAAGGCCCAGUGAACUGGUUCAUUGAUAUGUCAAGAGCAGUAAGUGCUGCAAUCUUAGAGACAGCAGCUGGCAAAGGGCCGGAGAAAUUGUUUGAAGAUAUGUCAAGAACUUGGAGGCCAGAUAAGGAGGCCAGAUCAUCAGGGAGGCUGCCACUAAAAUGGUUGCCAGAAAUGUCGAGCACUUCAAGACUCAAAUUUUUGGACGACGAUCCCGGGAACGAUAUGCCACCGGUAAGCAUGUUAUCUUGGAUGUAGAGCUCAUGCAGCAUGGAUGAAGUAAGUAAAUUGGCAGGAAUAAGACCACUGAACUGAUUGGAGCUCAGGUCAAGGACAGUAAGUUUGGGGUACUUAACAACAGCUUCAGGAAUGGUGUUAGCUAGAGAAUUGUGAGAAAGAUUCAGGUAGUUCAGGCGAAGGAAUUGAGAGCUCACGUCAGGAAUAGUCCCAGUUAUAUUGUUCUGGCUAAGGUCAACAUAUUCCAAAUCAUUGCUCCAUUUGGUAAGAACUGACAAAUUUCCUCUAAAUUGGUUGUUUGAAAGAUCUAACACGGUGCAGCUUCCAGCAAGCAAAGGGAGAUCCCCAAAAAGAGCAUUUGAGGACAGAUUAAGAAUCUGCAAGGUAGUUGAUGUGAUCAUAUUGAUAUGUCCUGCAGAGUACAGAGAACUACAAUUAGUAAGAAAUAAAAGAUUUAGAAACUGAUGGCCCGAUACUGAGAUUAUUAUCGUAGGGAAUGCCAUGCUAGGAAAGUCAAAAUGCAGAUGUUGAUGCAUGCAUUUACAUAUAUGAAAAAUUUCCUGCCUUUCUUAUACAUUGAAAAUCUAGGGAAGACAAUUUUACUAAAAAUAAACCAGAGUUCUGCAGAGCGUUAGGUGCAAGUGACACAGUGAUGGAACUGUACAGUGUGCAACAGUUAUUGCUCAUACAGCUAGGUAUCAUGUGUACACAGUUGGUUGCCUCCUAUUAAUACUAGCAGGAGUUAGAGACGUCCACACCACACGUUCUGGUCCUUCACUGCUUAGAGCUGUAGGCCAUUCUACCAAUAGUAAAGGAUCUUGCAAGAAAGGUGAAGGCAGCAAACAAUCUCAGGGAAAUUAGUUCAGCGGGAGAUGAAAUGGUGAAGAAAACAAAUAAAGAUUGCAUACCAUAGAAUAUGUACUUAGAACAGAAAAGUAUAUUGCAGUUUAACUCAGCCUGUCAAAAUCCAUCUACAAAAUUAUCAGCGCUGUAUUCGAUUUUGUUUAUAUACGUGAAGCAACUUGACUCUAGGAAAUCAAUUAAUUGGCACAUGUGGAUUGGCACCAAUACUUGCAAAUGUGGAUUGGCAUGACGAAGACUUCCAAAUUAGAUAAGCUUUUUUGUUCUUUUGACAACCACUGACCAGUGAAAGAUCAACUUGUUGUGUAAUCACUAUUCACUAGCUCGGAUCAUAUUUGGCAUUAAAAAAAGCUGAUAUAAAGGUUACAGAAAGAUAAACACCAAGUUUCACAAGCUUCCAAUACAACCAGAUUACAGCUAAUACCUGUCAGAUUGUUUGCACUUAGGUCCAGCUCGCUCAACACCAGAGAAUCUCCCUUCAGAAGUCCACUAGGUACAAACCCAGUGAAUGCAUUGUUUGCAAGACGCAGAACCUCAAGAUCAUAAACAUAAUUGAACCCUGGAAGGUCUCCAGACAGCUGAUUAUUGCUCAGAUCAAGCACCUUCAACCUCCCAAAAGUUGAGAGCUCAACUCCAUCAAUCAAUGACCCAGUCAACUUGUUGCUGCUAAGGUUCAGAUAUAGAACCGUCUCCGAAAUAUCUGCAAGAAACUUGAGUUCCUUGGGGGUGGUACUGGUGAGCAAGUUCCUGCUGAAGUCAACAUGAGCAACACUUGACUCGAUCAAGAACUUCCAGUCAACACCACCAUCCAAUUGAUUCCAGCUCAGAUCCACAGACUGGAGGUUCACAAGGAGGCCAAGCCCAGCAGGAAUGCCCUUUGUGAAGGCAUUGCAAGAGAGGUUCAGAGCAACCAUGCUCCGGAGGCCUUUCAAAGCCGCAGGCAGUGGGCCAGACAAAGAGUUGCCGCUCACAUCCAAGGACAGAAGCGAUGUAAGCCCAUCAAUGGAUUCAGGCAGAGGACCUGAGAAGUUGUUCCUGGCAAGCGACAUGUUCUGCAGGCUUCGGAGACUGCCAAUAUCAUCAGGGAUCGAACCCGAGAACCGAUUGUUCGAUAUAUCCAGGAACUUCAAGCUCUUGAGACCACCCAGUUUGCUCGGGAGGCUCCCGGAGAGAUUGUUAUUGGCCAUGGAAAGCUUCACAAGCAUGGUCAGGUUGACAAACACAGAGAGAUCAGCGACACCCGAGAUCCGGUGGCCGUCGAGCACCACCCCCGCCACGCUGGCGCCAUUGCACACGACGCCAUUCCAGGAGGCCGGGCAUCCAUUGAAAUCGAUGGACUCAUCGUUCCAUGAAUCAGUGAUGAAGCCGGCGGGGUCAUGCGUGAUCCCCUUCUUGAAGGCGAGGAGUGCAAGGAUGUCCUGUGACGGCAGCUGACCGGACGCUGCAGGGGUCACCACCAGCAGAAGCAACACCAAGAAGAAUCCCCCUACAAUCCCCAUUACCCGCUCUCCUCCAGUUGAAGGGUAGAUUUAUAGCUAGCAGGCCUCAAGAACACAUCACCUGAGGCAGCAUAUCCCGGAGCAAGAUGGACCGAGCUUGGAGUGUACCUAUCUACCACACCUGCACUAAUAGCCACAGGAGCACUACUUGUCCCUUUCAGCUUGAUCUACGACUGCACAGCAGCCAGCAUUCCCACCAAAAUCCCAAGGACCCUGGAACCUGAAACGAGCACACAAAACGGCAAGUUAGCCACAGAUUCCUGCUUUCACAAUGCACCCAAAAAGGAAUCUUUGAGCAUUCAAGUAGGCAAAAAUAAAAUCUAGCUUUAACACUUGGUAAUAACUACCCUAAAGGAAAAACCUUUACGGAUCCAAACAGUUAGUCAAAACUCAAAACCACCGGCUUUUAACCCCCAAAUAUGCAGGUGAAACUGAAAGUGCCAUGCUCCGCCCACUAAACGCAGCCACCCACCACGGCUUGAGCCAUGAACACAGCUCAAAAGGAACCAUAGAAAGCCAGAAACACUUUCCACAUCCAAGAAACCAAUCCCAAAUAAAAAACCAAAUCAGAGGACCAGCAGCGACAUCUCCUUACCGCGCAAUGAGAAGAAAGAAAGGACGCCGGCUCUAGCUCUCGCCGGCACCGGCACGGCGGGUCGGUAACCUCAGGGGAAUGAAUAUGGUUGCGCCGAGCUGGGCUGCCGGCAGAGGAAGGCAAUGCGGUGGGGUUGAGGGAGCCGGGAGUGAGAGGGCAAGUGCGCGCGUAACCCUAACCCUAGCAGCCAAGGAUGGGAUUCUUCUUGGCUGCGGCGAAGGGGAGAGGAGAAGGGGGAGAGUGGACUGGCUGGAGUAGUGGAGUGGCAAGGCAAGGGACAGUGGGGGAUGGGACUCCACUGUGUUUUCUCUGUGUGUGUUUUUUACUUCCCCGCGGUUUUUUUUUUCCUUAGUACUAGGCCUUUUGCGUUUUGGUCCUUGCAAGAGGUUAAGUAUGGGUUUUGACCCUUUGCUAGUUUUUGGAGCAUUCGUUUGGCAAAUUUCAUCUUUGAGGCUUGCAAUUGGCAACCUUAAAUUUUUCAUUGUACGUCUUUGAGACCAUCCUUUUCUAUCGCAAGUAUCGUUCAUUUGGGAUCUUUCGUGGGGUAGGCAAUCCACUUAUACUUCAACACUCCUUACGUGUGACUCCCUCAGACCUAAACAUGGACCGAAAAUAACCAACAAUUUAAUUGCGCCAGCCAUGUCUUGAAUUCGAAACCUCUUGUUUCUGAUACCAUGAAGAGCGUCAUGCGCUAAACCAAUACAACCAAAAGGCCGAUCCGAUGGAACGUGCUAAGCAAUCCACCUAUACUUCGACACGCACGCAUAUUGCAGGAUAAAAAAAACCCAAGACGGAGCAAGCAGAGAUGACAAUGCUUAUAUUUCUUUUUUCUUUCACAAGUAUUCCUUCCAUUGCAUGAAGACCGGCGUGGCCUUAAAGUUUGAACUAGAUCUAGUUCGAAAUCGUGCCAAUCUUUAUGGAAUGGAGGGAGCAAAGAAAAAAGUUUGUUAUACACACAACUCUACAAAUUAAUACGGAGCAUGCAUCAACAAUGCGGGCUAGUAUAGUUCGAACAAGUAAAUUUGAAGGUGCAGGCAGAAAAAGGAAGAACAAAAGAUAACCUGUGACGAUGCAAAUACACGGGAACCUGAGGGCUAACAUCGUAAAAGCGGCGGAAAGGGCGAGCCUUUUCGGUUUCCCGCUAUCUUUUCCUUGCCCGUGCCGCGCCACACCCGCCAAAACGGGGGCAACAGAACAGCGCAGCCAGCCUCGGGUCCUGCUAGGUGGGUCCCUCUUCUCCGUUUGCCUUUUCCUCGCGGACCCCAAAUCCGCACCUCAAAUGCGGCUCACCCGCGCGCCGCCAAAAAAGGUUUUCUUUUCCCUCCCCAGCGGGGCCCACGCCUCAGUGGGACACAAGUAACCUCGAGGAUUCCUCCCUCCCUCUGGUAAUAGUUGGGUGAGGUCAGCCAACUAGUCUGACACGCGGUCCCCACCUGCAGUCAUCAGUCUCCCGCUGGCCGCUGUCAUCACUCCUACGGUCAAACCUGGUGCGGGUAAAAACCGUAAAGUAUACUCACGUCCUCCAGCAGCAAAGCAGUUAAAAAGGGUCACCUAGAUUGACCAUUAUUUAAGGCUGGUUUAACUGAUACACUCACUCACCCGUACCCGUAUCCACCAACCUGGUUGCUCAUCAGUUAUACUACCGGUACUACAAUACCAGCACUACGACCAUGUGAUUAAAAAAAAAGUACCUCCGACUCAUAUUAGUUGCCUCAAAUUUAUCUAAAUAUGAAUGUAUUUAUGUUUUAAAAACGUCUAGAUUCUUUCAACAAGUAAUUCCGAUCGGGAGCACUACAACCAUGUACACUAUACUGAACUACUGUUCAUUCUUUGGACCAGGAGACACAUACUCACCGGGACAGUAAAAAAAGAAAUCACUGCUCCACCAUUUUCAGUUACGCAUUCUGCUCAUCUGCUAGUACUGUUUUGUCUUAAUUAGUUUCCUGCCUUCGUUUUUUGCUUAAUGAAAAAAGAGAGAACUUUCAAAAGUUCAUAUGCUCAAUUUUUUUAAUUACCCACUUUGCUUCCCUUUUUCUUUCUCUCUCUGUCAAUCAGGGGCUCAUGCAUCUUUCUGUGCUUAAGUAAAGCUGCGGCGUGUGUACAUUGACCCCAAUUAAGCACCACUGAUGACCUGCUAACUACUUUGUUCAGUCCUGCUCAGUUUUGGGAAUCCUUUUGUAAAAAAUAAAUAUUCUACUACUUUUGAGGUCACAUGAACUUGGACCUGGGCAAAGUUUAGCCUGUCAAAUGUACCGCCCUCUCUUUUGGCAAUGGAAUAACUGCUUCUCUCUCUACUCCAGAUCUCUUAGCCUUGCAGUUGCAAGCAGCAGCUACAGCAGAGAUGAUGAGGUGGUGGUUAGGCUAGGCAUUGAUGCAGAGUCAAAGGCUCCAGCAGCAUCCAAUGGUGAUGCCCAAAAAGCCCCACUCUUUCUACACAUGUGCCAACUGAAGCAUGCAACAUGAUUGUUCACUGCUGGCAGUGCAUCCAAGAGCUGGCCCAAACUUUGUUGAGUUGAUGCUUUGGAGGAAAAUGCCUGCCACUUUGCAAACUUUCUAGCUGAAUUCAACAGUAACAACCUAGCUUCCUUUUAAACAGCUUUGUUGUUAGUACAUGUUACAGCUUGAUCAGGAAUUAAUCUGAAUUAACUAGUGUUUGUUACUUUUUACCUGCAGAUUCAGUAACAAUGUAGGUGAAGACAAAGCUUGUGCCCAGGCACAAAACCAGCCAAUUAGAAGGUCUGAUCCCAAACAAGUCAAUUAAGUCACUACCAAAACUUGUCAAAGCCGCUGUAGAUCAGUAUUCAGUACAAGCAGCUAAUGCCAAGCAGUUGAAGGUUUGAAUGGAUCAAGCGGGGACACCACCUAACAUGUACAAUUCCCUUCAAUUCUGUCUUGAUUCCGUUGUAUUUGGGCGCGAAUGCAGUUUGAUUCAUGUAUAGGCAAAAAUUCAAGUGUUCCAGAAGGGCGUCAAUAAGACAGUCAAUUCAGUCAGGACCAGUACUGAAGCUGCAAUUCUUAUCUGUCUUUGCUUGAAAGUUGCAGCUAAGCUAGGCCCAACCGCCUAAGCUUAAAGAACAAUACUCACCAACCGAAUAAUAUCUAGUACUGUUAGUGGGUAAGGGCAAUCAAGUGCACAUUAUCAAAAGUCAUCCCUUUUUUGUAGGUGAAUCAAAAUUGAAAAAGGCAUUCUCAUGUCCAAUCCUCUUGUCUCCUGACAAAUUGGAUGAGAGGGGAAAACAACUGCACAAGUGCUAGCUAGCCUGUGAUCUUGGUUUAGAUGAUCAAAACAAAUUAGUAAGGGCAUGUUCUGUUUUAGGCCUAAUUAAUGGGCCCACUCAGCUGAACAAAAGAACUGUCAUUAGGGCAUAUAUAGUGGAGUGAUUACUUUCCAAGGGUGCAUGAUGAACCUAGUCUUUACAGCAAAGAGGGAGCAUGCGAGAUCUCCAAGCAUUGUGCAUCAACACUAGGACAAUUUGCAUGCACUUCCUAGCUACAAAGUACCUGAAACUUACAGCAUCUCCAGCUUUUUUUUUUGUCUUCCUGAGAUUGUUUUGUAUGCAUAUUUUAACGGGAAGAGUUGACUGCAAAAUUAAAGCACAAGGAAAAAAAAGCAAAAAAGGGCACGGCAUGGUCAACAAGAAAUGGUCACUCGCAAAAAACAAACAAGAAAUGGUCAAACACUAUCUGCAAUUAAGCAAGCAAAGUACCAAACCAUGGUACUAAUUCAGGAGAAUAAUGCUCAUUGAAGAACAUCAUGUCCGGCCUAGUAAAAUAAGAGAUCCAUUUCCUCUAGCUGGCUCCAUGUGCAUUCCCCUACUUUCUUUUUGUCGUGUGUAAAUUGUACGUAGGUCCUUUUUCCUAGUGCAUCCAGUACACACUUUGUGCGUACGUGCGUUCUCCUUAAAAAAAAGUGAGUACUCGUAUGCUGAACCCUUUUUUUUUAAGGGAAUAUGCUCAACCCUUCGAACACAAGAUAACAUGCACAGACCCCCUGGGAUAAGAUAAAACAAGUAAUGAUUGAAAUCCCCUUUUUUCCCACCAGAAAACACUAGCUUAUCCAAGUUUGAUGGAUACUCUCCUUUUAGUAGACUACACGAACUGAAUAUAAUCUUUCCAUACUCAUUAGUAGACUACACCAAGGUUGCAAUAUAUUUUUAAUCAUACUGAUUAAUCAAUAAAAAAAUGGUGCACUUGAUGAUCCAACUAGUCUUUACAGCGAAGACUAACAGAUUAACAGCUUGCAUGCACUUCAGACACCAGAAAAUUAAAAUAAAGGCCCGGCAGUCUGCAAUGACAGUGUCACCGGGUUCCAACAAUGCCCGUUCAUAGUUGUGGCCAUCCAAACUUUGUACUUAAUAAAAAUUUAGUAAUCGCCGUUGUGCCAACAAAGCCUCCGUAGCAUAGUGGUAGUGCGUUCCCUUCGUAAGGGAAAGGUCGUGAGUUCGAUCCUCACCGGGGGCUUCAUUUUUUUUUACUUUUGCACUUUUUUUUUACCAGUGUUUAGCGCCUUUUCAUUCUCUAUUUUUGCAACUUCUAAAACAAAUCUUUGGUGUCGCAAAUUCUAUUCGGAUGCUGCUGGCCCAGUUAGGGAUAAUAUCCAUGUCAAAAACUCAAAAUUGACCUGUGAGGAGACACCCGAAUUUUUUUUCAACCAAGGAAACAGUUAAAUGAAAUGAUGAAAGUCUGAGUAUUUUUUUUUCUCGAGAAAACGCAAAACUUGCAUCUCGAUGCAUUGAUAGAAAGAAUGUAUUUGCAAGCCCAAGAACAGGCCGACACAACCGAGCACUUAAAACAAAAACACGACCAACGACCGCUAGACUAACAUUACAACCAACGCCACCAAACAACCUCAGGCCUAAAUGCCAAAUACACAAAAGUACAGGAUAACGAAGAAGGCGCCGCGGCCCGCUGGCCUCGCAGAACUCGAAGACAAGCCCGCGAGCCGUCUCGUCAACUGCAGAAGCCUCGGGCCGCCGAUCACCGCGCUCGUUACGAACAAUGCGUCACCAUAUCCCACCGCUCCACUGUUGGUCACAACAAACGCCCAACUUCGUCGGUCGAUACCCGUCGAGUGCACCCAUGCGACCAAGAUGCAGCAGCACGGGAUCCUUCGCUAACCACUAUCCUUGUCAUCCAAGGUGGCGCACUUGCACGAUGCCGGUGUGUCCAAAAUCUGCUCGCUAAAGCUAAGGCGUGUGCCACCGGAACACACUCCAGCCAAGGGUUAUCCUCCAAGAACAACGCCUCCAACA
rnacentral:lncRNA from 1 species